rnacentral:lncRNA from 1 species
GCGAAAUAAAGAACGCCCGUUUGCUACCCGGCUUGUAGCAGGAAAAAGGAGUAGAAUUGAACUUGUCGAUACACACGUAAUCAUGUGAGCUGCCUAGCGUCUGGAGUCUCUGCUGACUUUCUUGUAAAUUUAAUUUUGGCUGAAUUGGAUUCUUAGGCAUUGGCAUCUUGGUGAGUUGAAGUUGCAGUUUCCGACGAGUAACAUUGGUUAGUGAACUCUUGUGUGGAUGUGUGGGUGAAGCUUUGAGCUAAGCAAGUCCUUGAUGUACCGACUAUCAAGUCCUCAAUGUACCGACUACCAAGUCAUACUGUAAUCAGUUUUCAGAUAUGAAUGAAAAAUUGUUGGGCUGAAUUUGAGCAGAGCAUUUGAGUAACGCUGUAUUUUUUUUAUGUUUCUAUGCGUCUUGAAACACUCCGCUGCUCUUGUCAGAAAAGUAUGUACACGAGGUACGAUCCGAUGGAUUCACCUAUGAUUUCACAAUCCUUUGUUGAGUUGUGAAGCGCAUGGACAUGUUUGGGGGAGUUUGUGGUUAUAGAUACAGCAAUCUGAUUGUCAAGAAUGUGAAAAAGGUUGCAGCUGUUUGGCAAAUAGGUUGGGUUUUUCUCAGAUCAUGUUAGCUUUUCACUUGGGUGUCAAGAAUGUGAAAAAGGUUUCAGUGCAACAGCAGUCUUACGUUCUCUGGCUCCUUCAGAAAUUUUCCUGUUCAUUUGAAUAUUACAAAUUCCACCGUCCAUCCUAACAUCUUCACCAAGCAACCAAAUAUUGGGCUUGUACCAUUGGGCAUUGCUUGGAAUCACUCGAUCUAAUUUGUUACUUUUAAUCCCCCGCAAAAUUUUUUUUUGUUACUUUUAAAGGAGCGACAACAUGCUCAGAAGAAACUGAUGAUAUUUAAAACUUUGCUAUCACCUAUCAGGUGAUUCAUAUUCUGGACCCUGAAUAUGCAGUGCUUGCAUUUGCAGUGCAUGAAAACUGAAUUUUAGGCAUAUUAAGACAAUAAUAACUUUGUUGGAACUUUUGCAUGCUCAAAUGCCAAAUCAUUCUAGAAGACAUAAUAUCUUUUUUAAUUAUAUUUUCUUUUCCUGCUGCAUUUUUUCCAUUGUGUGUUCAGUGACGAAAAAAUGCCUUUUUCUGCAGUUCUGCUGCAUUUUUCUGAUGAGUGUUGAAUGAUGAAACAAUUUCCAAGAUCUUACUGAACUUCUUUACGUAUACAAACAUAUUUUGAACUUAUUUACAUAUACAAACAUAUUCUGAACUUAUUUACGUCUACAUUUUCCAAGAUCUUUCUGAACUUCUUUCUGGACCAUUCUGAACUCUGAGGUCAGUUGUUUUUCUUUUGUUGUUCCUUCCUAACCUCAUCGAACUAGCUAAGUUGCUUGAUUAGACUGAUGAAUAAUGAACAUACAAAAUCAAUCAACCAUUCUGAGUUGGAACAUGCCAACAACCAUGUCCAUUCAAUGAACACAAAAAGAUGAAUAAAAUCACUUUCGCCCAGAAAGAUUUUGAGUGAAAGCACAUGGAGCUGGACAGCUGGAUGUAACAUCCCAGUUUUUAUUAAAUUUGGAUGUUAAAUAGAAUCAUCAAUGCAUAUCAUAUUUUAUUGCAUUUUGGAAUUUUUCUGAAAUAUUUAAAUAAUUCCUUCCUAACCUCAUCGAACUAGCUAAGUUGCUUGAUUAGACUGAUGAAUAAUGAACAUACAAAAUCAAUCAACCAUUCUGAGUUGGAACAUGCCAACAACCAUGUCCAUUCAAUGAACACAAAAAGAUGAAUAAAAUCACUUUCUCCCAGAAAGAUUUUGAGUGAAAGCACAUGGAGCUGGACAGCUGGAUGUAACAUCCCAGUUUUUAUUAAAUUUGGAUGCUAAAUAGAAUCAUCAAUGCAUAUCAUAUUUUAUUGCAUUUUGGAAUUUUUCUGAAAUAUUUAAAUAAUUUUUCCAAUCGUGAAAAAAUUAAAAGAGAGGGGAUGAGAUGACUUCCUCAAUUAUAAAAGAGUUGGGAAAUUUAUUAGAAUAUUAUUUGGAGUUUGGAGUUUAUUUGGUAUUUAUUUUAUUUGCCAAAAGUGCACUAAUUGCAUUAGGAAAUUAUUUUAGAAAAAAUUGUGCUUAGAUUAAUGUUCACUAUGCUCUAUUUAUUCUAUAAUGAUUUUAAAAUUAUUGUGGUAUUUUUAUAAAUUAGUUCGGUGUUGUUUUGGACCUCAAAAUGUUUUUUGUAAAGGAAAAAAAACAAAACACACGCACGCUAGCAGGCCCAAGCACCGCGCCAGCCGACCGGCCCGCUCGGCCGAAAGCGGCCCAAGGCCAGCCCCGUGUCUGACUGGCCUUCGAGCCGGCCGCCCGCUCUCACUUCUCGCUCCCUCACCCGCCGAAACUGGGCCCCGCCCAUCGCCUCCAACCUCCCGCUCGCCCCACUUAGAUGAGCACCGCACCGCGCCCGCUCACAACCACCAUCGCGCUCUACCCCCGGGAUGAGGCUUAUCCUGCUGCUCCUCGAGCCCCUAGUCGUGCCUAUAAAUGCCCCGCGACCCCCACUUCUCAUCUCGCCUUCCCGCAUCGUCCCACGCCGCUCCUACCCUGCGCCGUCGCCACUUGGAUCUCGCCGGCCGAGCCGACCUCGCCGGAGCUUUCCGACGCCCAUAAGCGACCUCGGCCCCGUUUUCUUCGUCAAACGAAUUCCCGGCUCUUUGCGCAUCUUUUUGACACGUUUUGGUCGCCUAGGUCUCGCCGAAGCCGCCGCCCCGACGACCCCGCGCCGUCGCUGGAGCACUAGGCCGCUGCCUUCGCCUCACCUGUCCUGGCCACCUCGAGGACCCCACCACCAUCGUCAUGACUGAGGGAGUCCUGGAUUAGGGGGUCCUCGGACAGCCAGACUAUGUACUUGUGCCGGACUGUUGGACUAUGAAGAUACAAGAUUGAAGACUUCGUCCCGUGUCCGAGUGGGACUCUCCUUUGCGUGGAGGGCAAGUUUGGCAAUUCGGAUAUGUAGAUUUCCUUCUUUGUAACCGACUUUGUGUAACCCUAGCCCCCUCCGGUGUCUAUAUAAACCGGAGGGUUUAGACCAUAGGACGAGAACAAUCAUAAUCAUAGGCUAACUUCUAGGGUUUAGCCUCUACUAUCUCGUGGUAGAUCAACUCUUGUAAUACUCAUAUCAUCAAGAUCAAUCAAGCAAGAAGUAGGGUAUUACCUCCAUAGAGAGGGCCCGAACCUGGGUAAACAUUGUGUCCCCCGCCUCCUGUUACCAUUAGCCUUAGACGCACAGUUCGGGACCCCCUACCCGAGAUCCGUCGGUUUUGACACCGACAUUAGUGCUUUCAUUGAGAGUUCCACUGUGCCGUCACAAUAAGGCUUGAUGGAUCCUUCAAUCAUCCACAAUGAUGCGAUCCAGGGUGAGGUUUUCCUCCCCGGACAGAUCUUCAUAUUCAGCGGCUUCGCACUGCAGGCCAACUCGCUUGGUCAUCUGGAGCAGAUCGAUAGCUACGCCCCUGGCUAUCAGGUCAGGUUUGCAAGCCUGAAUUACACUGCCGACGUCCGCAGAGACUUGAUCUUCGAUGGAUUCGAGCCCAUGACAGGUGUGUCGUACAGUCACGUUGAGCAUGACUUAGAUCUGCCAUCGGACGGCGUUCAAGAGAACGCACCUGCAGCUGCCCUGGCCUUAGAUCCGGAGCAGAUCAUGCCAUCCGAGGACGGGUGGAUAGACCCCGCCACGGAGGCCGCACACUCAUCGGCGAUAGAGCCGAACACAGACUUCGCCUCUAAUGAGGUCUGUGUCAUCGGACCCUCGGACUCGUCUCCGCCCAUAGGCUCCAAACCGCGCACAUCCGUGCCUAUCGAACCUGAUUGGGCACCGAUCAUGGAGUUUACCUCCACGGAUAUCUUUCAGCACUCGCCCUUGGGCGACGUGCUAAAUUCAUUGAAAUCACUCUCCCUGUCACGAGACUCCUAGCCGAACUUGAGAGGGAAGCAGACGACGAAGAAAUUCAUUUCCCACCCACCACCCACUUAAUAGCCACUGUCGAUGACUUAACUGACAUGCUUGAUUUCGACUCCGAAGACAUCGACGGUAUGGACGACUAUGCCGGAGAAGAACAGGAACCACCGCCCACAGGGCGCCGGACAGCCACCUCAUUAUGUGAUAUAUAUAUGGUGGACACACCCAAAGAAAGCAAUGGCGAUGAGACAACGUAGGAUAACCCCCCUGAGAAGCAAUCCAAGCGCCGGCGUCAGCGGCGCCGCUCUAAGCCCCGCCAUAGCAAAAAUAGCGAUACCGGCACAAGAGACAAUAGCACUCCAGAAAACAAUCCCGCCCAGCCAAGCUUCGAGCAAGCCGGACGGGAGGAUGGGCAAGCUAGCCCUGAUGAAUAGGCAAUGGAUGGAGACUCGGAGGACGAAAAUUACAUGCCCCUCUCUGAAGACGAGGAGAGCCUCGGCGAUGAAGAAUUUAUCGUGCCUAAGGAUCCCGCUGAGCAGGAGCGCUUCAAGCGCCGGCUUAUAGCCACUGCAAAAAGCCUGAAGAAAAAGCAGCAGCGGCCUCAGGCUGAUCAAGAUCUGCUAACUGAUAGAUGGACUGAGGUCUUGGAAGCCGAGGAAUACGGACUCGAGCGCCCAAGCAAAAGUUACCCAAAGCGCGGGUUGUUACCUCAAUUCGAGGAGGAGGCACUAGAGCCUACACUACCAGCGCAUGAUGCGGCUGACCGGCCACCUCGUGGCCGAGACAAGGCGGCGUAUCAGCCCGAACACCAGCCCGCACCCCGUUGCAAACCAAACAAAAACACGAAGGCCCGGGGCUACACGCAUGAACUGCAAGAGGAAUUGGAAAACAAAGCAGGACGGUCAAGAUCGAUCUAUGGAUCACGGGGGCGCGCCCCAAUGCGUGACGAUGACCGCCACGCCGGAUAUACUAAAUGCAAAUCUGGCCGGGCCGAAUACAACAGACCAGACUCAUUUGAAUUGCGUCGUGAUGUAGCCCGGCAUAGAGGUGCCACACACCCCCUAUGAUUCACUAACGAAGUAAUGGAGCAUGAAUUCCCAGAAGGGUUUAAGCCCGUGAAUAUCGAGCCCUACGAUGGGACUACGGACCCCGCGGUAUGGAUAGAAGAUUUCCUUCUCCACAUUCACAUGGCCCGCGGGGAUGAUCUACACGCCAUCAAGUACCUCCCACUAAAACUCAAGGGACCGUCUCGGCAUUGGCUGAAUAGUUUGCCGGCAAACUCCAUUGGAAGUUGGGAGAACCUGGAAGACGCAUUCCUGGAUAACUUCCAGGGCACUUAUAUGCGACCACCGGAUGCUGAUGAUUUAAGUCACAUAACCCAACAGCCCGGAGAGUCAGCCACGAAAUUCUGGACUCGGUUCCUAACUAAAAAGAACCAAAUUAUCGACUGCCUGGAUGCUGAAGUCCUAGCGGCCUUUAAGCAUAACAUCCAUGAAGAGUGGCUUGCCCGACACCUCGGCCAAGAGAAGCCGAAGUCCAUGACAGCCCUCACGACACUCAUGACCCGCUUUUGUGCGGGCGAGGAUAGCUGGCUGGCUCGUAGCAACAGCACAUCAAGAAAUCCUGGCAUCUUAGAUGCCAGAGAUAGCAACGGCAAGCCCCGACGCAACAGACACAAGCGUCGCAAUAAUGGCGAUAACACCAAAGACACGGCCGUUAAUGCCGGAUCCAGUGGCUCUAAGUCCGGUCAGCGGAAAAAGCCAUUCAAAAGAAACAAUCCGGGCCCAUCCAGUCUGGACCACAUACUCGAUCGUUCAUGUCAAAUUCACGGCACCCCCGAUAAACCAUCCAACCACACCAACAUAGGUUGGGUGUUUAAACAGGCCGGCAAGUUGAAUGCCGAAAACAAGGAAAAGGGGCCGCAUAGUGAUGACGACGAGGAGCCCCGGCUGCCGAAGACAGGAGGACAGAAGNNNNNNNNNNNNNNNNNNNNNNNNNNNNNNNNNNNNNNNNNNNNNNNNNNNNNNNNNNNNNNNNNNNNNNNNNNNNNNNNNNNNNNNNNNNNNNNNNNNNNNNNNNNNNNNNNNNNNNNNNNNNNNNNNNNNNNNNNNNNNNNNNNNNNNNNNNNNNNNNNNNNNNNNNNNNNNNNNNNNNNNNNNNNNNNNNNNNNNNNNNNNNNNNNNNNNNNNNNNNNNNNNNNNNNNNNNNNNNNNNNNNNNNNNNNNNNNNNNNNNNNNNNNNNNNNNNNNNNNNNNNNNNNNNNNNNNNNNNNNNNNNNNNNNNNNNNNNNNNNCGGUAAAUAUGAUAUACGCAACCCAUAUUCCCAAGCGGGAAUGGAAGCGUGCACUAAGGGACGUCUAUGCGAUGGAGCCAGUCGCCCCAAAGUUCAACCCAUGGUCUUCUUGUCCGAUCACCUUCGAUCGCAGGAACCAUCCGACCAGUAUCCGUCAUGGUGGUUCAGCCGCGCUGGUCCUCAACCCCAUCAUUGACGGAUUCCACCUCACACGAGUCCUUAUGGACGGUGGUAGCAGCCUGAACCUGCUCUAUCAGGAUAGAGUGCGCAAAAUGGGCAUCGAUCCCUCAAGGAUCAAACCCACCAAAACCACCUUUAAAGGUCUCAUACCAAGUGUAGAGGCCUGUUGCACGGGCUCAAUCAUACUGGAAGUAGUCUUCGGAUCUCUGGACAACUUCCGAAGCAAGGAGCUAAUCUUCGAUAUCAUCCCCUUCUGCAGUGGCUAUCACACACUGCUCGGACGAACCGCAUUUGCCAGAUUCAAUGCAGUACCGCAUUAUGCAUACCUCAAGCUCAAGAUGUCAGGACCUCGCGGGGUUAUAACAGUCAAUGGAAACACAGAGCGCUCCCUCCGCACGGAGGAGCACACUGCAGCCCUCGCAGCAGAGGUAUAGAGCAGCCUUCUUAGGCAGACCUCCAAUUCGUUAAUAAAACCCCGGACACCGCCAAGCGAGUCCGAAGUACUCUGCAAUAGGAUCGUCCGGCACAUCCAGAGCUCGCGUAGCAAUUCGGCCUCCGCCCUAUUCCCAGUCAAGCGGUGAAAUUUGUGCCGUGCGUACAUAAUUACGCACUUAAAAUACCAUGGGCAUAGACGGAGGCACAACUAGAAUGCGGUCCAUAAUGCGGCUCAGCCGCCCCAGGAUCCGUAUACCUUCACCCCUUUCCUUUCUUUCAGGUCUCUAUUUUCUGGAGGCUCUUCCGAUAGCCUGAUUAUCGGACCCAUCACGGGACGGAAACACCAAGGAGGCAAGGAGCUUUGACGUACAAGGGAAUCCCCAUGUGGUCUCUGAUAAUGAUUGAUAUACAUGUUUUACAUACCCACACGUAGCUCGCUCUUGGUUAGGACAUGUUAAAUAGUCCUAUUUUGCUUAUCGCACUACUUGUAUACAUACGCUUUGACGUAUUAUUCAAAUAAUAAUGGAAAAUAAUGUACAACUUCAGCUUAUUAUUACAUUUCUUUAUCUUUUUCCUUGACUGUUUAUUUAUUACAAAUUGCACCCGUACAUUUUGGUACGUUCAGCUCGCCAGAGGCUUUAGUGUACCCCAUAACACGGCAAGAAAAGUCCGAACACUUUCGACAGUGUGGCACCCCGAACUUAUAGCAUCAUAUGCAUCAGCUCCAAAUCAUGUCUUGGGUCAAUAGUUGGGAUUGCCCGGCUCCCAUGUUUUGCUGCCUUACGUUCCGCUAUAUCGGCUAAGGUGGCACAGGGAGAACUACUGCGAUUGUGUCCCGGUUCUUUCGGAUGAGCACCUCAGUAGAGAAAGCCGAAAACUGACUAUCAUGAUGUGGCGAGAGCUGGUCACUGUUCGAGAGGUCUCAAAUCCUUAAAGAAUUUUCCGCUUUGGGUGAGGAAUCGGCCUUUGUCCGAUUUAGGCGUGUAUAGUGCCCCAAGUUCGGCCUUCCGAAUACCAGGGGCUACGCCAAAAUUUAAAAUUAUAGAACUUCUAUGGCUAAGUGAGAGUGAUAAAGUCGUAUAGUCCAAUUGCCUUGUUCGUUGCGCUAAACACCUCCUUAAAGGACCAAAUUUUUUGAUAAAGAGUGUUUAGAUUUAUCCCGAACACCCCGGUACUAGUUACAUUGGGGCAGAAGCCGACGACUGGCCAACUCUCAGAUUUUAUAAACGGCCGCACAGAAGGUAAAAAAUUUAAAUCAGCAAGCGUUAUAUUGCACACAAAAAACUUGUUUCAUAUUACAGGAUAAAAUGAGUAUAUUCACUCAAAGAUUACAUCCUUCGCACAUUGCUCCGCCACAAGGCGGGAGCCCUUUAGGGCACUAUCAUAAUACUUUUUGGGGUGGCGAUGCUCCUUGCCCUUCGGAGGCCCUUCGGUCAUCAGCUUCUUGGCACCCAUCUUCACCCAGUGCACUUUUGCACGGGCGAAGGCCAUUCACACAUCUUCAAUGCAAACUGACCGCUUUAUAACUUCAAGCCACGGGCAGGCACUCACAAGCCGCUUUACUAGGCCAAAGUAGCUGCUGGGCAGAGGCUUGGCAGGCCACAGCAGGACUAUGAGGUCCUUCAUGGCCAAUUCGGCCGCCUUGUGCAGUUCGACCAGUUGCUUCAGCUGGUCGCUCAAGGGCAUCGGAUGUUCGGUCCCAAUAUACUGAGACCAGAACAACUUCUCCGUUGAGCUCCCUUCUUCAGCUCGGUAGAACUCUGCGGCAUCAGAUAUGCUGCAUGGCAGAUCUGCGAAUGCUCCUGGAGAGCUCCAAAUUCGGGUAAGUAAAAGGAAAGUCUCCUUCACAUGCUUGCUUUGCAUAAUGAAUGCCUUACCCGCCGCAAUCUUCUUGGCCGCCUGAAUCUCCUGGAGGGCCUUUUGCGCUUCAGCUCUGGCAUCUCGUACGCUCUAGAGGGCCUUCGCAAGCUCGGACUCUUGCAUCUUAGAGUCACGCUCCAAGGACUCGUAUUUUUGGACGAAAUCCUGGAGCUCUUGCUGUACCUCGUUGACUCGGGCCUCUUGCUUCUCGCGCUCGGCGCACUCCUUGGCCGCUUUGUCUUCGGCCUCGGUCAGCGCCGUCUUAAGGGCCGCCACUUCGGUCGUGGCCCCUAGUAAAGUUCAUGACGCUUUCAUCAGCAGAAACCAUUUUUUCCUUUCUAAAUAUACAGACGGGGUAUUGUGUACCUUCGUUUUCCUCGAGCUUCCUCUUCACAAGGUCGAGCUCUCCCUCGGUCCGCUCCAGGUCCCGCUUCAGUCCGGAGACCUCCGCAGUACGAGCGGCAGCGGCCAGCAGUGACGCCUGCUUAUUCACAUAGACAUCUUUUGUUAGACUCCUGCGGCUGUUAUUUGAUCCUCUGUUCGGCCUUUCUUUCCGAACACCAAACAGAGCAUCAGGGGCUACCGUCUAUUCUGUGAUAUUUUCUUACAAUUUUGUUACUUACCUCAAAGCCUGUUAGGAGGCUGGCGCAGGCUUUGGUCAAUCCGCUUUUGGCGGACCGGACCUUCUCAAUCACCGCACUCAUAAGAGUACGGUAUUCUUCAUCAAUGGAAGUGUCGCGAAGCGCUUCCAGCAAGUUGUUCGAUGCCUCUGGAUGGACAGAGGUCAUCGGUACAGGAGGCUCGCCCCUCUUAGAGAGAGGCUGCCUCCCUGAAUUCGGAACCGCUUGGGUUUCCGGAGUCAUAUUCGGCUGAGGGCUAAACUCGCUGCGGCCCCCUUUUUUGGAGUCCAUGGGGGUUCCCCCCCCAUGUGCCCGGCGAUUAGGAUUUCGCCUGGGGGCGUUUCCAGAACUGUCUUCCCCUGGUCCGGUAUCCUCUGAGACAACACCUCGGUGUCAUCCGCGGGCCUAGGGGAGGAGGCUGUCGGGAGUGAAUCGCUGUUCAUCGCUGACGGGCCCAGGGAUCCCUCCGAAGAGGAUACCCCAAUGAGGGAUUUGGCUGGACUGCAUAUGCAUGUUCGGCAUGAUAAGAAGCAAUACUGGAAGCAUUAUAGUGUCUGGAUACUUACGACUUACCUAGGGGCUUGUCCCUGGGCAACCACUCCUCGCCGCUGUAGGUGGUCGUGGUGAAGUGGUCUGGAAGGAAGGUCUUUCCCUUCUUGGACACCUCGGCCUCCCCCUGCAGGGUGGCCUUUCUCUUCUCCCCCUCCCCAGUUGGGGGGAGGGACUUCCUCUUCCUCCUCCUCGUCUUCAUUGGAGGAGUGCGCCUCGGUGUCUUCGGACGUCAUGUCCGAUACAACCUUGCGCCGGAGACCUUUCCUGGUCCCCACGACCUUCUUCUUGGCCUUCUUCUCUGGCACCUCAUAGGGCGCCGGAAACAACAUUUUCAUUGGAAGAGAUGAUGCUGGAUCUUCAGGUAGCGGAGCCGGACAGUCGGUCCGGUCCGCUAUCGCUACCCAGUCCUAUUGAAUCAGCAUGGAGGCUUAGAUUCCUCCCGCGAAUGUGCUGGUAAAAGGCACAUCUUGCAAAAUGUAAAAACUCACCGGAUGCGCUUGGCGUUUCACGCUGAGUCCGCGAUCUUCGGUUAGGGGUGGGGCGACCUCGUUGGCCUUGAAGAGCACCUUCCAGGCGUCUUUGUGCGUCGUGCCGAAGAGCUCUUGCAGCAUCUGGUGUUCGGUCGGGUCGAACUCCCGCAGAUUGUAAGCCCGUCUCUGACACGGGAGGAUCCGGUGGAUGAGCAUGACCUGGACCAUGUUGACAAGCUUGAUUUUCUUGCCUAUCAUAUUUUGGUCGCAGGUCUGAAGUCCGGUCAGCUCCACCGAUGAGCCCCAGGCUAAGCCCUUCUCUUUCUAGGAGGUGAGCCGCAUGGGGACGCCAGAUCGAAAUUCGGGGGUCGCUGCCCAGUUGGUGUCGUGCGGCUCGGUGAUGUAGAACCACCCCGAUUGCCACCCCUUCACAGUCUCCACGAAGGAGCCUUCAGUCCAGGUGACAUUGGGCAUCUUGCCCACCAUGGCGCCUCCGCACUCCGCUUGCUGGUCAACCACCACCUUUGGCUUCACGUUGAAGGUCUUCAGCCAUAGGCCGAAGUGGGGCAUAAUGCAGAGGAAGGCCUCGCACACGACGAUAAACGCCGAGAUGUUGAGGAUGAAAUUGGGGGCUAGAUCAUGGAAGUCCAGCCCGUAGUAGAACAUGAGCCCGUGGACGAAUGGGUGGAAAGGGAAUCCCAGUCCGCGGACGAAAUGAGAGAGGAACACUACCCUCUCCUGGGGUUUUGGGGUGGGGAUGAUCUGCCCUUCAGCCGGAAGCCGGUGCGCGAUGUUUGUGGACAGGUAUCCGGCCUCCCGAAGCUUUGUAAUGUCCUCCUCCAUGACGGAGGAGGCCAUCCACUUGCCUCCCGCUCUGGACAUGCUUGGAAUGACUUUGCGGAGAAGGUGAAAGCUUGGGCGCUAGAGCUCGAGCAAGAAUGGAUGAGCAGAGGAAGAACAGGGCGUGGGUGAAAAAGGGGAAUCCUUAUCUCUUUAUAAAGGCGGUAGAAACUGUGCGCUUCCCCACUUGCCCCGUAAACUCGCUUAUUCCCCAAGCGCCGCAUUGAUAGCGCGGUUGGGUUACCCACACCCGUAUUGAUGAGAAUCCCGUGAUAAGGGGACACAAUCUCUGCUUCGAUAAGAUGUGCCAAUAAAACUGCCUCGCAAUAUGUGCAGUAGCAGGCUGGGAAAAACGGUUCGAAUACUGACCGGGCCGGGGUGUGAUGUCACGCUAUGAAAAAGUUGUCAGUAGGUUAGAUUUGUGGGAUAUUGUGCUCUCUACGAUUAUGUGUGAAAUUUGUUUUGCAGAGCCGGACACGAUUCAUGUGUUCAAAAACCUACCUUGGAGUAUUCGGAGAAGGAACCCGCCUUGCAAUGCUGAAGACAAUCUGCACGCGGAACUCAUCAUCAUUGAAGCCUGGUUCAGGGGCUACUGAGAGAGUCCUGGAUUAGGGGGUCCUCAGAUAGCCGGACUAUGUACUUGUGCCAUACUGUUGGACUAUGAAGAUACAAGAUUGAAGACUUCGUCCCGUGUCCGAGUGGGACUCUCCUUUGCGUGGAGGGCAAGCUUGGCAAUUCGGAUAUGUAGAUUUCCUUCUCUGUAACCGACUCUGUGUAACCCUAGCCCCCUCAGGUGUCUAUAUAAACCGGAGGGUUUAGUCCGUAGGACGAGAACAAUCAUAAUCAUAGGCUAACUUCUAGGGUUUAGCCUCUACUAUCUCGUGGUAGAUCAACUCUUGUAACACUCAUAUCAUCAAGAUCAAUCAAGCAGGAAGUAGGGUAUUACCUCCAUAGAGAGGGCCCGAACCUGGGUAAACAUUGUGUCCCCCGCCUCCUGUACCAUUAGCCUUAGACGCACAGUUUGGGACCCCCUACCCGAGAUCUGCCGGUUUUGACACGGGCAAUGACCGCUUCGACACACCGGACCCUGCCGCCUCCUUCCCCGUCGCUAGAACCUGCCGGAGCGGCCGCCCCGCCGAUGCCGAGCCUACCCGACGCCGAUGUCGUCACUACUGUGAGCCACCGCCCCUUCUCCCGUACGUUUAGUUUAUUUUUUCGAACCGUUCGGUUUUAGUUAAACCAAUCUUCAGUUUACUUUCUAUUUAGCCACCGCCGCUGUUUUUCUUAGUUGCCAGUCGUCUGCUGUUUAAACACCGCAGCAAACGGGUAUGCAUCAGUAGGAAUCUCCCACAUGGCCAAGGGCCUGUUUGUAGUUAUAUUUUCUUUUUUGUUUCACUGUUUAGUCCCUAAAUUUAGCAAAUUAGUCCCUAAAUUUUCAAUUAGCCAUAACUUUUAAACCGUAGAUCCAAAUUUGAUGAAACCAGCGUGUCCUGGUUUUGUCACGGCAGAUGCUCUAGUGAAAGGACUUAGGUGUGGAUCCAUUGCAACUACGUUUGCUUGAAGGGGUUGAACAGUACAAAGGACACAACUAGAGUUGUAUUGCUUGAGCUUGAAGGGGUUGAAUGGGACAAUCACAACUAGAGUUAUAUCCCCAACAUUAGGCCCCAGGUUGAUUUGAACUUGUUCAUAUCAAUCUUCAUUGUUAAACUUAGCAGAAUGUAUUAGUGCCGAAUCUUCAUCAGACCGCUGUAACUCGCCAUGACGUCACAUAAGCAGACCCAUUGUAACCCGCCAUGACCUCAUGCACAUUAAUUCCACACAAGACCCAGGAUAUCUCAACGGAUCUUUAUCUUAAUGGGCUUCCCAAGAAUCGAGGCAUUCACAUUGUUAACAUCACCAUUUUGCCUGCUCGAUUUCCGCGCAUGCCAUCUUAUCACCUCCUUAUAAAUAGGGACAGGGGGCCCUCUUUUCACUUUUUACCCCUACCUCUGCCUCUUCUUCUUCCUCCUCAUGACACCACUACGACCCGAGCUCCGCCGCCACCGUCCUCCUUCAGCGACGUCAACACCAGCCGCUCCAUCAACCUGAAUGAACCCGAGAAACGCGGUGUACUCCCGCUCCCCAUCUCCAUCAUCAGGUACCACUUCCUAGUCUUUUAGAUCUGCAUUGGUUACCAACCUUUCGCGAUUUCGUCGGUGUUCAUCCCUGUCGUCCGUAGUUCAUCCAUCACGCCAGCUAGUCGAACUUAGAUGUAAUGCCAAAAUCAUGUUUUAAUCCAUUUGAUGCCUGCUUGUCAACUACAGACCCAUUACUUUCUGUUGAGAUUCACCCCCAACAUAGCAGUUCAUCCUCUGCAUAUUAGGUUUAACAAUUUCCACCUGUUUUUCGAACGGUCGUAGAUCCGAAAUUAUAGGCUGAAUCUGUGAAACUUGUUUGUGUAGCACUUAGUGAACUUUUAUUCAAUUCCCAGAUCUAUAACCAUCUACUUGACCAUUGUCGUAUAGGCGGCUCAAAUGACACUUUGUAAUCCACCAAAUACAAGCCGGCUUACUUUAUGAGUUGUUUAAACCGCCAGUACUUAUCCAAGGUUGACAUUAUCCAGCUAUUUUAUUGUCUUCUACCAUUAAGCAGCUUACCGAUCCUUGCGCAUAACCAAUUCAACAUAAUAAAAUUACUUUGUUCAGCCAUCAGGCGACUCAUCAUCACAAAUUUGACCCGUCAUGAUUUCCUUUCUAGGCUUUUACUUGAUGAAAAUGACUAAGACCGUCACCACCUGCGACUGGGUCGUUUCCACUGUCACAGAACGGUCUCUCCAAGAGUUUGUUGACAUGGGCGUCUUGUCGUCUAAGGAUGUCAUCCAUUGGAGGGUUCCUGGAGCUGAGGUCCCACCUCAACCAAAGUAAGGAGAAGUCAUAGUAUUCUCUGAUCACAUGCUCCGAGGUGUCUCACCGCCUGGCUCAAAAUUCUUCCGUGAUGUUCUGAAUUUCUAUCAGCUGCGCCCUCAAGACAUCGAACCCAAAUCAGUUUCCAAUAUCUGCAAUUCCCAAGUCUUUUGUGAAGUAUAUCUUCAAGAGGAGCCCAGCAUUGACGUCUUUAGAUAAUACUAUUAUCUGAACCGCCAAACAGAAAUGACAAAUGGACUCAGAAUUGAACUCGGCGGAAUCUCUAUCCAGAGAAGAAGAGACAAUGUCUUUCCUGCAGCCUCUCUUCCCAGUCAUCCUAAAGAUUGGAAUCGGACUUGGUUUUAUUGCCAAGAUACCUCUCUGGCAGGUGAGAACCCUCUACCGGGUUUCCGUAUCCACCGGCUCAACCCAAGAGACCCACUUCUAGACUAGACCAACUCUGUUGAACGGGCCAAAUAUGGACCCAUUUUUGCCAAAAUAAGGGCCUUGGUGGCAAAUGCCUUAGCCGUCGCCCCAGCUUAAUGUGCACAUACACAGGCGAUGUCAAAGAUCCCCUACGGUUUAAUUCAACAUGCCCUGAAGAGAAGGAUAUUAAUGAAAUGACCGAGUCCUUGCUCGGAGAGACUUUAGAAAACUGCGGUAAAACAGGGCUGAGCCCAUUCUGUAUUCUUAACCCGGCUCUAGCUGUAAGUGCUUCAAAUCAUUUUUUACUUUACUUACUAUUCUUAUACAUUUUAUUCUCCUUAUCCUCACUUGCUUUAUCAUCUUGCUUUCUUCAGGUCGAUUCUCCUUUUUGGAACAAGAAGCUUCAAGAUAAACCGGCUAAAAAGGCUAGGGCAAAGACUAAGGCUCCGAAGAAACCCGCUGAUAACCCACAAGUGUAGGGGAUCGCAACAACUUUCGAGGGUAAAGUAUUCAACCCAAAUUUAUUGAUUCGACACAAGGGGAGCCAAAGAAUAUUCUUGAGUAUUAGCAGUUGAGUUGUCAAUUCAACCACACCUGGAUAACUUAGCAUCUGCAGCAAAGUAUUUAGUAGCAAAGUAGUAUGAUAAUAAAGGUAACGAUAGCAAAAGUAAUGUUUUUGGGUUUUGUAGUGAUUGUAACAAUAGCAACGGAAAAGUAAAUAAGCGAAGAACAAUAUGUGAAAAGCUCGUAGGCAAUGGAUCAAUGAUGGAUAAUUAUGUCGGAUGCGAUUCCUCAUGUACUCCCUCUGUAAACUAAUAUAAGAGCGUUUAGAAUACUAAAAUAGUGAUCUGAAUGCUUUUAUAUUAGUUUACGGAGGGAGUAAUAGCUAUAACAUAGGGUGACACAGAACUUACUCCUGUUCAUCAAUGUAAUGUAGGCAUGUAUACCGUAAAUAGUCAUACGUGCUUAUGGAAAAGAACUUGCAUGAAAUCUUUUGUCCUACCCUCCCGUGGCAGCGGGGUCCUAGCGGAAACUAAGGGAUAUUAAGGCCUCCUUUUAAUAGAGAACCGGAACAAAGCAUUAGCACAUAGUGAAUACAUGAACUCCUCAAACUAUGGUCAUCACCGAGAAGUAUCCCGAUUAUUGUCACUUUGGGGUUGUCGGAUCAUAACACAUAAUAGUGACUAUAGACUUGCAAGAUAGGAUCAAGAACACACAUAUAUUCAUUAAUACAUAAUAGGUUCAGAUCUCAAAUCAUGGCACUCGGGCCCUAGUGACAAGCAUUAAGCAUAGCAAAGUCAUGGCAACAUCAAUCUCAGAACAUAGUGGAUACUAGGGAUCAAACCCUAACAAAACUAGAUUACAUGGUAAAUCUCAUCCAACCCAUCACCGUCCAGCAAGCCUACGAUGGAAUUACUCACGCACGACGGUGAGCAUCAUGAAAUUGGUGAUGGAGGAUGGUUGAUGAUGAUGACGGCGAUGAAUCCCCCUCUCCGGAGCCCUGAAUGGACUCCAGAUCAGCCCUCCCGAGAGAGAUUAGGGCUUGGCGGCGGCUCCGUAUCGUAAAACGCGAUAAAACUUUCUCUCUGAUCUUUUUCUCCGCGAGACGGAAUAUAUGGAGUUGGAGUUGAGGUCGGCGGAGCCUCAGGGGGCCCACGAGACAGGGGGCGCGCCCCCACUCUCGUGGACAGGGUGUGGGCCCCCUGGUCUUGAUUCUUUCGCCAGUAUUUUUUAUAUUUUCCAAAAAGUGCCUCCGUCGAUUUUCAGGACAUUCCGAGAACUUUUGUUUUCUACACAUAAAACAACAUCAUGGCAGUUCUGCUGAAAACAACGUCAGUCCGAGUUAGUUUCAUUCAAAUCAUGCAAGUUAGAGUCCAAAACAAGGGCAAAAUUGUUUGGAAAAGUAGAUAUGUUGGAGACAUAUCAACUCCCCCAAGCUUAAACCUUUGCUUGUCCUCAAGCAAUUCAGUUGAUAAACUGAAAGUGAUAAAGAAAAACUUUUACAAACUCUGUUUGCUCUUGUUGUUGUAAACAUGCAAAGCCAUCAUUCAGGUUUCAGCAAAUAUUAUGAACUAACCAUACUCACAAUAACACUUAGGUCUCACAAUUACUCAUAUCAAUAGCAUGAUCAGCUAGCGAGCCAUAAUAAUAAAACUCGGAUGACAACACUUUCUCAAAACAAUCAUAACAUGAUAUAACAAAAUGGUAUCUCGCUAGCCCUUUCUGAGACCGCAAAACAUAAAUGCAGAGCACCUUUAAAGAUCAAGGACUGACUAGACAUUUUAAUUCAUGGUAAAAGAGAUCCAGUCAAGUCAUGCCCAAUAUAAACCAAUAAUAAUGAAUGCAAAUGACAGUGUGCUCUCCAGCGGGUGCUUUUUAAUAAGAAGGGUGAUGACUCAACAUAAAAGUAAAUAGAUAGACCCUUCGCAGAGGGAAGCAGGGAUUUGUAGAGGUGCCAGAGCUCGAUUUUAAAAUAGAGAUUGAAUAACAUUUUGAGCGGCAUACUUUCACUGUCAACGCAACAACUAUGAGAUGGCUGUAUCUUCCAUACUACAUGCAUUAUAGGCAGUUCCCAAACAGAAUGGUAAAGGUUUAUACUCCCCCAACCACCAACAAGCAUCAAUCCAUGGCUUGCUCGAAACAACGAGUGCCUCCAACUAACAACAACCCUGGGGGAGUUUUGUUUAAUUACUUUGAUUUGCUUUGAUCUUUUUGGAUCAUGGGACUGGGCAUCCCGGUUACCGGCCCUUUCUCGUGAAUGAGGAGCGGAGUCCACUCCUCUUGAGAAUAACCCACCUAGCAUGGAUGAUAUAGGCAGCCUUAGUUGAAACAUGAGCUGCUCGAGCAUGCAAAACCGAAUUUCAUUUGUAGGUUUGGAGUUUGGCACAUACAAAUUUACUUGGAACGACAGGUAAAUACCGCAUAAAGGAAGGUAUGGUGGACUCAUAUGGAACAACUUUGGGGUUUAAGGAGUUUGGAUGCACAAGCAGUAUUCCCGCUUAGUACAGGUGAAGGCUAGCAAAAGACUGGGAAGCGACCAACUGAGAGAGCGACAACAGUCAUAAACAUGCAUUAAAAUUAAUUCACACUGAGUACAAGCAUGAGUAGGAUAUAAUCCACCAUGAACAUAAAUAUCAUGAAGGCUAUGUUGAUUUGUUUCAACUACAUGUGUGAACAUGUGCCAAGUCGAGUCACUCAAUUCAUUCAAAGGAGGAUACCAUCCCAUCAUACCACAUCAUAAUCAUUCUAAUAGCAUGUUGGCACGCAAGGUAAACCAUUAUAACUCAUAGCUAAUCAAGCAUGGCACAAGCAACUAUAAUCACUAAAUGUCAUUGCAAAUAUGUUUACUUCAUAAUAAGCUGAAUCAGGAAUGAUGAACUCAUCAUAUUUACAAAAACAAGAGAGGUCUAGUUCAUACCAGCUUUUCUCAUCUCAAUAAGUCCAUCAUAUAUGGUCAUUAUUGCCUUUCACUUGCACGACCGAACGAUGUGUAUAAUAAUAAUAGUGCACGUGCAUUGGACUAAGCUGGAAUCUGCAAGCAUUCAACUCAAGAGAGAAGACAAGGUAAUAUGGGCUCUAAGUUAAAUAAACAAUCAUGCACAUGAGAGCCACUAAACAUUUUCAAUAUGGUCUUCUCGACCCCCAAAGGAAAGAAAAGAAAAUAAAACUAUUUACAUGGGAAAGCUCCCAACAAGUAAGAAGAACAAGAAAUCUUUUGGGGUUUUCAUUUUAAUUACUACUACAAGCAUGGAAAUUAAACUAACUAAUUUUUUUGUUUUUUUCUUAAGGUUUAUCAAACACACAAGAAGAAAGCGAGAAAAAGGAAAUUAAACUAGCAUGGAUAACACAAUGAAAAAGUAUGAGCACUGACGACUAGUGUGUGAACAUGAAUGUAAAGUCGGUGAGAAAUAUAUACUCUGAUACGUCUCCAACGUAUCUACUUCUCCAAACACUUUUGCCCUUGUUUUGGACUCUAACUUGCAUGAUUUGAAUGAAACUAACCCGGACUGACGCUGUUUUCAGCAGAACUGCCAUGAUGUUGUUUUAUGUGUAGAAAACAAAAGUUCUCGGAAUGUCCUGAAAAAUCCAUGGAGGCACUUUUUGGAAAAUAUAAAAAAUACUGGCGAAAGAAUCAAAACCAGGGGGCCCACACCCUGUCCACGAGGGUGGCGGGCGCACCCUCCCCCUGGGCGCGCCCCCCUGUCUCGUGGGCCCCCUGAGGCUCCUCCGACCUCAACUCCAACUCCAUAUAUUCCGUCUCGCGGAGAAAAAAAUCAGAGAGAAAGUUUCAUCGCGUUUUACGAUACGGAGCCACCGCCUGAUACGUCUCCAAUGUAUCUAUAAUUUUUGAUUGUUCCAUGCUAUUAUAUUACCCCUUUUGGAUGUUUAUGGGAUUUAUUUUACACAUUUAUAUCAUUUUUGGGACUAACCUACUAACCGAAGGCCCAUCCCAUAUUGCUGUUUUUUUGCCUAUUUCAGUAUUUCGAAGAAAAGGAAUAUCAAAUGGAGUCCAAACGGAAUGAAACCUUCGGGAGCAUGAUUUUUGGAACGAACGUGAUCCGGAGAGCUUGGAGUGCAAGUCAAGAAGCACCCGAGGCCCCCACGAGAUAGGAGGCCACGCCCCCUGUCUCGUGGGCCCCUCGGGCGGCCACCGACGUAUUUCUUCCUCCUAUAUAUACCUACGUACCCCGAAAACAUCCAGGGGCACCACGAAACACAAUUUCCACCGUCGUAACCUUCUCUAUCCGCGAGAUCUCAUCUUGGAGCCUUUGCCGGCACUCUGCCGGAGGGGGAAUCAACCAUGGAGGGCCUCUACAUCAACAUCCUUGCCCCUCCGAUGAGUUGUGAGUAGUUUACCACAGACCUACGGGUCCAUAGUUAUUAGCUAGAUGACUUCUUCUCUCUUUUUGGAUCUCAAUACAAUUUUCUCCCCCUCUCUUGUGGAGAUCUAUUCGAUGUAAACUCUUUUUGUGGUGUGUUGUUCGAGAUCCGAUGAAUUGUGGGUUUAUGAUCAAGUUAAUAUUUGAAUCUUCUCUGAAUUCUUUUAUGUAUGAUUGAGUUAUCUUUGCAAGUCUCUUCGAAUUAUCAGUUUGGUUUGGCCUACUAGAUUGAUCUUUCUUGCCAUGGGAGAAGUGCUUAGCUUUGGGUUCAAUCUUGCGGUGUCCUUACCCAGGGACAGAAAGGGUUCCCAGGGACGUAUUGUAUUGUUGCCAUCGAGGAUAACAAGAUGGGGUUUAUAUCAUAUUCCUUGAGUUUAUCCCUCUACAUCAUGUCAUCUUGCUUAAUGCGUUACUCUGUUCUUAUGAACUUAAUACUCUAGAUGCAGGCAGGAGUCGGUCGAUGUGUGGAGUAAUAGUAGUAGAUGCAGGCAGGAGUCGGUCUACUUGUUAUGGACGUGAUGCCUAUAUACAUGAUCAUGCCUAGAUAAUCUCAUAACUAUGCGCUUUUCUAUCAAUUGCUUGACAGUAAUUUGUUCACCAACCGUAAUACUUAUGCUAUCUUGAGUGAAGCCACUAGUGAAACCUAUGGCCCCCGGGUCUAUCUCUUAUCAUAUUUGCUUUCAAUCUACUUUUAUUUGCAUCUUUACUUUUUGCAUCUAUAUUAUAAAAUACCAAAAAUAUAUUUAUCUUAUCAUACUAUCUUUAUUAGAUCUCACUUUCGCAAGUGGCUGUGAAGGGAUUGACAGCCCCUUUAUUGCGUUGGUUGCGAGUUCUCAGUUUGUUUGUGUAGGUGCGUGGGACUUUUGAGGAGCCUCCUACUGGAUUGAUACCUUGGUUCUCAAAACUGAGGGAAAUACUUACGCUACACUUGCUGCAUCACCCUCUCCUCUUCGAGGAAAACCAACGCAAGCUCAAGACAUAGCAAGAAGGAUUUCUGGCGCCGUUGCCGGGGAGGUCUUCGCUCAAGUCAAGACAUACCAAGUACCCAUCACAAACCCAUCUCCCUUGCAUUUACAUUAUUUGCCGUUUGCCUCUCGUUUUCCUCUCCCCCACUUCAUCCUUGCUGUUUUAUUCGCGCUCUCUUUCCCAAUCUCCUCCUCUCUUUUUCGCUUGCCGUUUUUCUGCUUGCUUGUGUGCCUGUUUGUCCUUAUGGCUUCGCCUAAGGGUCCUGACCACCUUCUCAGAAGGAUGGAUGAGAUUGAAUCAAAUAUUAGAAGCUUUAUGAAUUUGCAAUUUGAGCAUAAUAAUUUCUUUAGAAAAGAACUUAAGGAACAAAAAGGUUUUUUGGGGUUUAUGAACAAAGAGCUUGAUGAUAUGAAUAAAGAAUUUUAUGGUGUUAAUGCUCAAAUUACCCGUCUUGAAAAUGCUAUAGCCAAAAUUUCCGAUAAGCAAGCCACCUUAGUCAAUAAGAUGGCCGCUAAACCAGAAAAGUUAGAUGAAAAUAAUGAUGAGGAUCUUAAAGUUAUUGAUGCGUCUCCCUUUAGAUCUAUGUUUUGCAAUAUGAAUUUUGAUGAUUAUGGGACUGAUGAUGAAUCAACUUUGCCUAGAAGGCGUCCCAAGAAUUCGGAAUCUUUAGAUCUUGAUGCUAAAUUUGGUAAAAGUGAGAUUGGAGAAUCCUCAACUUCUAAACCUUAUAUACCGGACUUCAAGGAAUUUGAUUAUGAUAAUUGCUCUUUAAAAAGUUGUAUUUCCUUGUUGCAAUCCGUUGUUAAUUCUCCUCAUGCUUAUAGUCAAAAUAAAGGUUUUACCAAACAUAUUGUUGAUGCCUUGAUGCAAUCUUAUGAUGAAAAACUUAAUUUGGAAGUUUCUAUACCUAGAAAACUUAAUGAUGAGUGGGAACCUACUAUAAAGAUUAGAAUUAAAGAUUAUGAGUGUUUUGCUUUGUGUGAUUUGGGUGCUAGUGUUUCCACGAUUCCGAAAACUUUAUGUGAUAUUCUAGGUUUCCAUGAUCUUGAUGAUUGCUCUUUAAAUUUGCACCUUGCGGAUUCCACCAUUAAAAAGCCAAUGGGAAGGAUCAAUGAUGUUCUUAUUGUUGCAAAUAGAAAUUUGGUGCCCGUAGAUUUUAUCGUGCUUGAUAUAGAUUGCAAUCUUUCUUGCCCUAUUAUUCUUGGUAGAUCUUUCCUUAGAACGAUUGGUGUGAUUAUUGAUAUGAAGGAAGGGAAUAUUAGAUUCCAAUUUCAAGGCAUGGAGCACUUUCCAAGAAAGAAAGUCAAAUUACCUUCUGAAUCUAUCAUGCGUGCUACUUAUGAAUUUAGUGCCAAAAGAUGGCACUAGUUAGAUCUAUCUUUGCUUUUUAUGCCUAGCUUGGGGCGUUAAACGAUAGCGCUAGUUGGGAGGCAACCCAAUUUUCUUCAUGUUUUUUGUUUUUGAUCCUGUUUAGUAAUAAAUCUUGCAUCUACCUUCUGUUUAGAUGUGUUUUUAUCUUUUAAUUAGUGUUUGUGCCAAGUAGAACCUAUAGGAUAACCUACGAUGAUAGUUGAUUUGAUUCUGCUGAAAAACAGAAACUUUGCACGCACGAAUAUAAUUUUUUUAAAUCACAAGAACGUGCUUUUGUAUUGAAUCCUUUUGCUGCUGUUCAAUAAACAAAUUUUCCAGGACUUCCUAUUUUGGUAGGAUUUUUAGAGGUCCAGAAGUUUGCGUUAGUUACAGAUUGCUACAGACUGUUCUGUUUUUGACAGAUUCUGUUUUUCGUGUGUUGUUUGCUUAUUUCAAUGCAUCUAUGGCUAGUAUAUUAAUUUAUAAACCAUAAGGAAGUUGUAAUACAGUAGGUUUAACACCAAAUUAAAUAAAUAAUGAGUUCAUUGCAGUACCUUAUGUGGUGGUUUUGUUUUCUUUCACUAACGGAGCUUAUAAGAUUUCCUGUUGAGUUUUGUGUUGUGAAGUUUUCAAGUUUUGGGUAAAGCUUUUAUGGACUAUGGAAUAAAGGGUGGCAAGAGCCUAAGCUUGGGGAUGCCCAAGGCACCCCAAGAUAUUCAAGAAUAGCCAAAAGCCUAAGCUUGGGGAUGCCCCGGGAAGGCAUCCCCUCUUUCGUCUUCGUUCAUUGGUAACUUUACUUGGAGCUAUAUUUUUAUUCGCCACAUGAUAUGUGUUUUGCUUGGAGCGUCGUGUAUUAUAGUAGUCUUUGCUUUUUAGUUUACCAUAAUCAUCCUUGCUGUACACACCUUUUGUGAGAAGCCUAUUUGAUUAGAAUUUGCCCACAAUCAUCCUUGCUGUACACACCUUUUAUGAGAAGCCUAUUUGAUUAGAAUUUGCUAGAAUACUCUAUGUGCUUCACUUAUAUCUUUUGAGCUUGAUAGUUUUUGCUCCAGUGCUUCACUUAUAUCUUUUAGAGCACGGUGGUGUCUUAAUUUUGAAGAAAUUUCUAGUCUCUCAUGCUUCACUUAUAUUAUUUUGAGAGUCUUCUAGAACAGCAUGGUAUUUGCUAUGGUCAUAAAGUUGGUCCUAGAAUGGUAGGCAUCCAUGUUUGGUAUAAUAAAAACUAUCAUAGGAAGUGAAUUGGAUGCUAUGAUCAAUUUCAUACUUGAUAAUUGUUUUGAGAUAUGGAGGUAGUGAUAUUAAAGUCAUGCUAGUUGGGUGAUUAUGAAUUCAAAGAAUGCUUGUGUUGAAGUUAGCAAGUCCCGUAGCAUGCACGUAUGGUUAAAGUUGUGUAACAAAUUUGAAACAUGAAGUGUACCUGGCUUGUGCAUCCUUAUGAGUGGCGGUCGGGGACGAGCGAUGGUCUUUUCCUACCAAUUUAUCCCCCUAGGAGCAUGCACGUAGUACUUGGUUUUUGAUGACUUCUAAAUUUUUGCAAUAAGUAUAUGAGUUCUUUUGACUAAUGUUGAGUCCAUGGAUUAUACGCACUUUUACCUUUCCACCUUUGCUAGCCUCUUUGGUACCGUGCAUUGCCCUUUCUCACCUUGAGAGUUGGUGCAAACUUCGCCGGUGCAUCCAAACCCCGUGAUACGGUACGCUCUAUAACACAUAAACCUCCUUAUAUCUUCCUCAAAAUAGCCACCAUACCUACCUAUUAUGGCAUUUCCAUAGCCAUUCCAAGAUAUAUUACCAUGCAACUUUCCACCAUUCCGCUCAUCAUCAUCAUGACAUACUUUACUUUUGUCAUAUUGCCAUUGCAUGAUCAUGUAGUUGACAUCGUAUUUGUGGCAAAGCCACCAUGCAAUAUUUUCAUACAUGUCACUCUUGAUUCAUUGCACCAUCCCGGUACACUGCCGGAGGCAUUCAUAUAGAGUCAUAUCUUGUUCUAGUUUCAAGUUGUAAUUCUUAUGUUGUAAUCAAUAGAAGUGUGAUGAUCAUCAUUAUUAGAACAUUGCCCAAAGAAAAAAAAAAGAAGAAAGGCCAAACAGAAAAAAGAAUGGCCCAAAAAAAGAAAAAGAAAAAAAAAGAAAAGAAAGAAAAGAAAAAAAGAAAAUAAAUAAAAAGGGCAAUGUUACUAUCUCUUUUUCCACACUUGUGCUCCAAAGUAGCACCUUGUUCUUCAUGUAGUGAGUCUCAUAUAUUGUGCUUCAAAGUAGCACCAUGUUUUGAGUCUCAUAAGUUGUCUUUUUCAUACUAGUGGGAAUUUCUCAUUAUAGAACUUGGCUUGUAUAUUCCUAUGAUGGGCUUCCUCAAAUGCCCUAGGUCUUCGUGAGCAAGCAAGUUGGAUGCACACCCACUAGUUUUCUUUUGUUGAGCAUUCAUUUGUAGCUCUAGUGCAUCCGUUGCAUGGCAAUCCCUACUCCUCAUGUUGACAUCAAUUGAUGGGCAUCUCCAUAGCCCGUUGAUUAUCCUCGUCAAUGUGAGACUUUCUCCUUUUUUUGUCUUCUCCACACAAUCCCCAUCAUCAUAUUCUAUUCCACCCAUAGUGCUAUAUCCAUGGCUCACACUCAUGUAUUGCGUGAAGGUUGAAAAAGUUUGAGAUUAUUUAAGUAUGAAACAAUCGCUUGGCUUGUCAUCGGGGGGUAUAGAAGUUGGGAACAUCUUUGUGUGACGAAAAUGAAGCAUAGCCUAACUAUAUGAUUUUGUAGGGAUGAACUUUCUUUUGCCAUGUUAUUUUGAGAAGACAUGAUUACUUUAAUUAGUAUGCUUGAAGUGUUACUAUUUGUUUUAUCAAUAUGAACUUUUAAUUUGUAUUCAUUUGGAUCUGAACAUUCAUGCCACAAUAAAGAAAAUUACAUUAUGAAUUAUGCUAGGUAGCAUUCCACAUCAAAAAUUCUCUUUUUAUCAUUUACCUACUCGAGGACGAGCAGGAAUUAAGCUUGGGGAUGCUUGAUACGUCUCCAACGUAUCUAUAAUUUUUGAUUGUUCCAUGCUAUUAUAUUACCCCUUUUGGAUGUUUAUGGGCUUUAUUUUACACAUUUAUAUCAUUUUUGGGACUAACCUACUAACUGGAGGCCCAGCCCAUAUUGUUGUUUUUUUGCCUAUUUCAGUAUUUCGAAGAAAAGGAAUAUCAAACGGAGUCCAAACGGAAUGAAACCUUCGGGAGCGUGAUUUUUGGAACGAACGUGAUCCGGAGAGCUUGGAGUGCAAGUCAAGAAGCACCCGAGGCCCCCACGAGAUAGGAGGCUGCGCCCCCCUGUCUCGUGGGCCCCUCGGGUGGCCACCGACAUACUUCUUCCUCCUAUAUAUACCUAUGUACCCCGAAAACAUCCAGGGGCACCACGAAACACAAUUUCCACCGUCGUAACCUUCUGUAUCCGCGAGAUCUCAUCUUGGAGCCUUCGCCGGCACUCUGUCGGAGGGGGAAUCAACCACGGAGGGCCUCUACAUCAACAUCCUUGCCCCUCCGAUGAGUUGUGAGUAGUUUACCACAGACCUACGGGUCCAUAGUUAUUAGCUAGAUGGCUUCUUCUCUCUUUUUGGAUCUCAAUACAAUGUUCUCCCCCUCUCUUGUGGAGAUCUAUUCGAUGUAAACUCUUUUUGUGGUGUGUUUGUCGAGAUUCGAUGAAUUGUGGGUUUAUGAUCAAGUUAAUAUUUGAAUCUUCUCUGAAUUCUUUUAUGUAUGAUUGAGUUAUCUUUGCAAGUCUCUUCGAAUUAUCAGUUUGGUUUGGCCUACUAGAUUGAUCUUUCUUGCCAUGGGAGAAGUGCUUAGCUUUGCGUUCAAUCUUGCGGUGUCCUUACCCAGUGACAGAAAGGGUUGCAAGGCACGUAUUGUAUUGUUGCCAUCGAGGAUAACAAGAUGGGGUUUAUAUCAUAUUGCUUGAGUUUAUCCCUCUACAUCAUGUCAUCUUGCUUAAUGCGUUACUCUGUUCUUAUGAACUUAAUACUCUAGAUGCAGGCAGGAGUUGGUCGAUGUGUGGAGUAAUAGUAGUAGAUGCAGGCAGGAGUCGGUCUACUUGUUAUGGACGUGAUGCCUAUAUACAUGAUCAUGCCUAGAUAUUCUCAUAACUAUGCACUUUUCUAUCAAUUGCUCGACAGUAAUUUGUUCACCCACCGUAAUACUUAUGCUAUCUUGAGAGAAGCCACUAGUGAAACCUAUGGCCCCCGGGUCUAUCUUUUAUCAUAUUUGCUUUCAAUCUAGUUUUAUUUGCAUCUUUACUUUUUGCAUCUAUAUUAUAAAAUACCAAAAAUAUAUUUAUCUUAUCAUACUAUCUUUAUUAGAUCUCACUUUCGCAAGUGGUCGUGAAGGGAUUGACAACCCCUUUAUUGCGUUGGUUGCGAGUUCUCAGUUUGUUUGUGUAGGUGCGUGGGACUUUUGAGGAGCCUCCUACUGGAUUGAUACCUUGGUUCUCAAAACUGAGGGAAAUACUUACGCUACACUUGCUGCAUCACCCUCUCCUCUUUGAGGAAAACCAACGCAAGCUCAAGAUGUAGCACCGCCAAGCCCUAAUCUCUCUCGGGAGGGCUGAUCUGGAGUCCGUUCGGGGCUUCGGAGAGGGGGAUUCAUCGCCGUCAUCAUUGUCGGUGUCAAAACCGGCGGAUCUCGGGUAGGGGGUCCCGAUCUGUGUGUCUAAGGCUAAUGGUAACAGGAGGCAAGGGACAUGAUGUUUUACCUAGGUUCGGGCCCUCUCGAUGGAGGUAAAACCCUACUUCCUGCUUGAUUGAUAUUGAUGAUAUGGGUAUUACAAGAGUUGAUCUACCACGAGACCAUAGAGGCUAAACCCUAGAAGCUAGCUGUCGGUGUACUAAAGUAGGGGUACCUUAGUACCCCGAACUUGUGCACGGGCAGUCGCAGCGUCCCGCGGCAAGACUUGCCGGGCAUCCACCAAGAUCCUCCGUCAUUCCUAUUUGAUGCCAUUCAAGAACAAAGUGUUUAACUGAGAAGACAAGGCCCCGACAAGAGGAGCUUGCCGGGAAGGACAAGGCCCCGGCAAGAGGAGCUUGCUGGGAAGGCCAACCAAGGCAUUUUCAAGAGACUUGCCACGACGCGCCGCGCGUCCCGGCAAGACCCGUCGAGCGACAAGCUUGCGGGUGCGACAGGACAGCGACCGCGGCAAGGCGCUUGCCGCGACGAAGCCACCACUCUGCGCCCACGCUCCAGCGCAUCCGACGACGUGUCGCCGCAGGAUCGUUCUUGGUGCACGUGGCGAGUAGCUGUGCAGCCGAGCGGUGCGAGGUGGCGAGUGGAGAUGACGAGAAGGCCAUCGUGGCGAUCGGUGGCGCCCCUAACGGUCGUUUCUUGCACUGUUUGGGCGACCGGACGGGCAUUAAAUGCCCUUGUCCCCUGCCGUCAGAGUUAGGUAGGGGGCACUGUUGAUAGCGGUUGUACCAACCUCUCUUUUUACUUCUUUACCCCUCUCUGCGUUGCCACCUGUUGGUGACCCCUUUAGCCUAUAAAAAGGAGGCCCAUGCGCACGUAGGAGGGGUUCGACUCAUUCGAAACUACAACACACGCACGCUCUCAAGCAAGAACAGGAUACAAACACAAAGCAGCAGUAGGAGUUUUAUCUCUCCGGAGAGCUCCGAAGCUGGGUAAAAUCCCUCGCGUGCAUUACCUCGAUCUGCUCUUCGUGCGCCCUCCGCUCCCUGCCGGACCGAGAAGGGGCCCUGCCCCAUAGGUGCUCGUUUCCCACGACACUAGCCUAUGAUGAUUAUGAUUCUGUCUCUAAGGACUAAACCCUCCGGUUUAUAUAGACACCGGAGAGGGCUAGGGUUUACAUGGAGUCGGUUACAAAGAAGGGAAUAUAAUAUCCGGAUCGCCAAGCUUGUCUUCCACGCAAAGGAGAGUCCCAUCCGGACACGGGACGAAGUCUUGAGUCUUGUAUCUUCAUGGUCCAACAGUCCGGCCAAAUUAUAUAGUCCAGCUGUCCGGAUACCCCCUAAUCCAGGACUCCCUCAGCAGCCCCUGAACCAGGCUUCAAUGACAAUGAGUCCGGCGCGCAGUUUGUCUUCGGCAUUGCAAGGCGGGUUCCAUCUCCGAAUACUCCAAAGUAGUUAUCGAACACUUAAACCGUGUCCGCAUCUUCAAGAUGAUCUUCACAUACCACCGUAGAGAGCAUAGCACUUCAUAAAUUUGAUUUGCUGGCAAUUUUUGUACGGCGUGCUCCUGCAUCGUGGCUCGGCCCAACACGAACCGGUUUUACUUGGCCUCCCUCGAUACGCGUUGCGAGGCGGUUUUACUGGCACACCUUGCCAAAGCAGAGAUCGUGCUCCCCUUAGCGUGGGAUCUUCCAUUAAUAUAGGUGCACACGUACCCAUGAUGUUUGUUGGUAUGAAUCUAUGUUUUUAGGUAAGUCCUGAGCGGUUACGCUGAGGGCGCUUGAUAUUCUCCCCCUUUAUAAAGGGGCCGAGGCCUAUCCCUCUUUUCCACCUCCCUUGCGCUUCUUCGCAUCUCGAGUUCUAACACCCGAAACCCAAGCUCAAGCACCUCGGACCCUCAACCAUGUCCGGAUCCAACCCUCAAGGCCGGUGGGUGGCCUCCUCGGUCACAGAGGAGGACAUUGCGAAGCUUAGGGAGGUCGGAUAUCUGACCGCCGACAUCAAGCACAGGCUUCCUGCUCCAGGGCAGGUCAUUCCUACUCCCGAGCCCAACGAGAGCGUCGUAUUUGUUUCUCACUUCCUUCGCGGCUUGGGCAUUAGCCUUGUCAUCAUAAUUCAGGUAAUGCUAAUCCGAUGGAUGUUGCUGUGCAAAUGCCAGCCUCUCCGGAUGUGGGAAUUCAAUCCGGAAGGUCCGCAGACUAUUCUGCACUUCUUCGGCCUGACACUCGAAGGGAUGUGUAAAUUAUUCUUCGGACCACAAGUAAAGUGUCCAGACACCACCAAGGAUGCAAGCCUGAGCUGCAAUCGCCCAGAUACCCAAGUAAGUAACCCAGAAAUCGAACACUUCGUUUAUAUUUAUCAUAACCAUUAUUAUGAAAAUCCUCCGUGGCCAGGAAUGGCUCAGCAAGGUGGAGAGAAUCAGGUGUCCGACGCCACUUCCCGAAGGCUCGCCAAGUCCCACCAUAGCCAAGAUGCUUGGUCGUGUGCUAAGUAAAGUGCCUUCGGGGAAAGGCGAAGGGAAGAAUAUGGAAGCAGAACUUCACACAUUGCACAUCCAAACAGGGGGAAUUGCUACCUCCCCAGAGGAGGAUAGUCGGGGAGGGGAAUCUAAGGUCUCCUCCCCUCGCGGGAAGAAGAGGGUCGCCUCCGAAGACUUGGAGACGGAGGCGCCCAGACAAGGGAAGAAGACUUCACCAUGGGGCCCUGCCCCGAAGGGCGUCUUCGCCGCGCCUUGCCUGCAAACGGGCCAGUCCUCAGCAGAGCCAUAAGUUAAUUGUAAAUACAAAGCCAGUGCUUCCUUCUCCAAAAACAGUAACCAGGAUCCAUUCCUUGCAGUCCGGCUAGCAGCUUUUCUCGACAGAGUUCGUCUUCGGGGGAUCUCCUUCCGGAGAUGAUGGAGAGUGAGACCCCAUGUCGGUGUCAAAACCGGCGGAUCUCGGGUAGGGGGUACCGAACUGUGCGUCUAGGCGGAUGGUAACAGGAGACAAGGGACACGAUGUUUUUACCCAGGUUCGGGCCCUCUCGAUGGAGGUAAAACCCUACUCCUACUUGAUUAAUAUUGAUGAUAUGGGCAGUACAAGAGUGGAUCUACCACGAGAUCAAGGAGGCUAAACCCUAGAAGCUAGCCUACGGUAUGAUUGUUGUAAUGGUUGUUUGUCCUACGGACUAAACCCUCCGGUUUAUAUAGACACCGGAGAGGGCUAGGGUUACACAGAGUCGGUUACAAUGGUAGGAUAUCUACAUAUCCGUAUUGCCAAGCUUGCCUUCCACGCCAAGGAAAGUCCCAUCCGGACACGGGACGAAGUCUUCAAUCUUGUAUCUUCAUAGUCUUGGAGUCCGGCCGAUGAUGAUAGUUCGGCUAUCCGGACACCCCCUAGUCCAGGACUACCUCAGUAGCCCCCGAACCAGGUUUCAAUGACGACGAGUCCGGCACGUAUAUUGUCUUCGGUGUUGCAAGGCGGGUUCUCCUCCAAAUUCCAUGUGCUUGCCGAAUAGUGUCCGGCUUCCCUACAAAUGUUGCGCUCCUUGGCUUCCAUGCCCAAUAAUGGCCCUCUUCCACGUGUCGCACGAAUGCGAAAGGCCAGGGUAUUUUUAUAUUUUACCCCCUAGCUGCGCAAAUAAUCUGCCUAUAAGAGAGGCAAGAAUCCACAUCCAAAUCACACCAUCUUCCUUCUGCGAGUACUCAUCGGAGCGCUUCUGACCAAAAAUCCAUUUCAUCAUGGACCGUCGACGCGGCUCCUCCUCUCACGCUCCUAGCCCUCAGCCAGGAGAUUGGAGGAGAUGUUCAGUUCCGCACAACGAGCUGGUGACGCUCCAAGCGGAGGGAUACCUUCCUCCGGCCUUUAUGGUCCCAGUUCGAGCCGGGCUGGCCACCUACAAAGGUGGAAAGCAAGCGGAGGCCACCCCUAGUCCCUCCAAAUGAGAGCGGGUGUGCUUCGUCCCUUAUCUAAUAAGGGGGCUCGGAUUUCCCAUACAUCCGUUUCUCCGGGGGCUUCUGGAGUUCUACGGACUCCAGCUUCAUCACCUCACGCCCGCCUCUAUUCUGCACAUCGCGGGUUUCGUAGCUCUUUGCGAGCUGUUCCUGGGCAUCGAGCCCCAUUUUGCGCUGUGGAAGAGACUAUUUUGCCUCGCACCCUGUUCUCACGAGGGGUCAAUAUAUCAAGUGGGUGGAGCCGAAAUAUGGCGCAUCGCCGGGACCGGAUAUCUAUCCGGAACCCCAAAGAAGGCGUCCGAAGAUUGGCCCUCGGAAUGGUUUUAUGUGGAAGAUGCUCCACUGCCAGACCCAGUUCGGAUUGGCCUCCCGAAGUUCAGCAAGGCUCCUCUGAAGAAACGCCUAAGUUGGCGCCCGCGGAGCCCUCAACAGGAGGAAGACAGGAGCGUCCAUUAUUUGAUGGGCCGGAUAAGGUUGCUGGCCCAUUCCGGAUUGACCAUGAUUGGAGUCAUGGCCACGUGCAUUAUGCGAGGGGUGCAGCCGCUCCAAUAUAGGGGCCACCCCAUGUGGGAUUUCAACGGGGAGAAUGACGCCACCCGUCAUGGCUGCAAGGGGCCGGGAUCGGCCGCGGAUCUGGUGAAGAUACUGUCCGACCUGUACAAGGGGGAGAAGGAGGACUUCCUACAGACGAGCCCAUUGAAUGGGUUCUCCAUGAAUAACCCUCGGAGCUAGGUAAGCAGACAUUUAUUCAUCCGACCCGUGCUUUCAAAGUUAACUGCCUUACUUUAUGAUUUUGACGCAGGAACUGCGUCGGGAUGUGGAGGGCAUACACAGUCCGGCUCCACAACCCGAGGACCCGGGAAGAUCCCUUGACCCGGCCGCCGAAUGUGACACUCCAAAAAAUUUAUUUGGUUUUUAUCAAAAACUUUGUGGUUAUGAAAAGAGGCCAUUUAAAUUUUUUUUUCUACUUUUAGAAAAUCUCCCUCUUAAAAACUUCCUUUGCUUUGGCAAGGAUUUUAUUUUUUUUCAAACUUUGGUGUUUGAUCUUUUGAAAACUUCUUCUCUGUUGGUUCCCUCUCAAAUUCAUUUUUGGGAGUUUAAUCCUUUUUCUUUUAAAAUGAAACUCUAUGAAAAUUUGGGGAUUUUCAUAUCUUGGAACCACCCUUGACUUUGCAUUGUUCCCAUGUGGUAAAACCCCUCCAAAACCUCCCCUACACCUUGUGAUCAACCUAAGUUCUCUGUCCCAACUAAUCCAAACAAGUUUUGGAUUUUAUUCUAAUUAUUUUUCCUCUCAUAUCAAUUCUGAAAAUUAUUUGGAGCCUGAGGGAUUUUCAAAGCAAGUACCCUAUUGCAUUUGAGUUUUGACCUCAAACCAACUCUCCUGGAUAGUCCUUUGUACCCACAACUCAGAACCAUCUUGAUCCACUCCUCUUUUCAAAUUUUUCAAAAUUCAGUCUCUGCAAGUUUGGACCAGAUUUGCCAAAUUUGAUGAAAUUCAUAUCUACCCUCCUCCAAAUAUUCCACCAAAAUUCAGGCAACCUAUUUGAGCAAUGAGAAGCCAAUCCACCAAGUUUCAGCUCAAGGAAAAAUCCCCAGAGGCCAAAUUCAUUCUGUCGAACACCUUGCAUGCACUGUUGCUGUUCAAAAUUCAGAAAAUUCAGUUUCAGUGUCAUCUUGCGUUCGUCAGUUUCACUCACGCGUUCACAGUGCACUUGGCACGUUCCUCGUAGCCCCUCCCUCUUGUCCGGAGCUUCACACGCGUGCGUGGAGCCUUCCUGGCGUCGGUGGUGCGCUGGCCUGCCCUCGCCGGCGUCUUCUGAGGCGUCGGGACCUCCCGUGGCGGCCGACAGAAGGCACACCACGGCAGAACGCCGUUCAGCGCCGCCCAAAGCCCCUUGGCUCUCCGCGUGUCCCUGCCAUGCCAGCGCACGCCCGUGGCACCGUCGCCGUGGCCCGGCAAGCACGGAACGUGCUCCCUGCCGCCGACGGGCCGCGCCACCCCCGUUCCGUCGAGCUCACCCAUAACGCCAAACCUCAGCCCGUUUAGCGCCUAAAUGGGACCGGUGGACCUCAACGGCACUGCCCAAGCCCCUAACCCCCCUGCACAUCCACGGCACCGCCGUAAUCACUCGGUGGAGAUCCCCGUUCAUGGCAACCGCCUCGGGCCGCCUAUAAAAAGGGCCCCCGAGCUCACCCUCGUGCACGCCUCAUCCCCACUCCUCACCAACGCCACGCCAGGCCACUAGGGGGACCCCGAGGAGGUCUCCCCCCCAACUCCGGCCGCCCCGAUCCGCCUCGGCCUCCACCACGAUUCGCUCCGGUGAGGCCGUCUCCGGCGCCCAAACCCCGUCUGUUACUCUCUCUAGCUACCAGGAGCCUAACCCCCUCGUCAAUUUUACCUCUGCAGCCCUCUCCGAUGAAUUCCUCGACCACCCGAGCCGCCGUCCGCCGGAGCAAAGCUCGCCGUCGACGUGGUACUCGCCGGCGACCACCACCAGCACCAACCGACGCGGAAUGGCGCCCUGAGCACGGAGGUACCCUCCGAUCCCCCUGCCUCACCGUGGAUCGCCGCCGGCGACCACCGCGGCUCUCGGGCGCCGACGAGCUCCGUUUGCCUUUUUUUGAAAUUCAAACCUGACGCGUGGGACCCCACCGUCAGCCUCUCUGCUCUCUCUGUUGAAACGUUUUCUGGAAGCGUCUUCGGGCAAAGUACGUUUUCCCUUUGAGCUGGCGUAGUUUCUGCCGAAGCGUUUUCUGCUUUUAUAAGCUAGCCCCUGGAAACUUUCUGUUUCAUUACAGAUGAGUCCCUGGGCAAAAACCCUUAUAACUUUUAAACAGAAAAGUAUUUUUGAUUGAUUCUUUUUCUGUUCUCUUUAAAAUUUUGUCUAGUUUUUUAUCAGAUUUAUUUGAAAAAUAUUUGGUUUACUUUCUGUGCACUCCUUGGUAUUUACGAUAGCGCAUAUAUUUUCUUUAUACCGUAGAUACCGAAGGAGGUGACGGAGCCGCGAACUUCACCGAGCUAGGCUCCGACUACUCUGAACUAGGCAAGCAUGUUUGAACUUUUGAUAUGAUGAGUGUCUUGGCAUGUUUUGCAUUUAGUUAGUUUUAUGGCAUGUUGAGAAGCAUAUCGAUGAACGUUAUUUUAUGCGAUAAUGAGGUAAGUGAGUUCGAUGAUCCAUAAGUGGAUGGAUGUAAGUAUGAAUGGCCAUGUGUUGGCAUGAGGAUGGGUGAGAUGGCAGUGUUGUAGCAUGCCAGUCUUAUGCCAGACUAUGUGACUUCAGUUGUCAAACCGUAUCGGUCCAGUUCCUCUCAUUUCCUUCCCUGUACUACCACAUGUUUUCCGCAAGGAAUAUGGUUUAGUAAGUUGCAAACCGCUUUUCUGGUACACACCAAAAAGGAGAGGCCAUGAUGAUGGUUCCAUGGCCCUGGAUUAAAGCCAGUCAUCCGGUCAGGGGGCAUGGGUGUUUCCGGUUGGGACCGAGAGGGGGGCACCCCUUAGAGCGCGCGUAUAUAAAUUUGAUCCCAUGCUAUUCGAGAUUGUGAUCUCCCCGUCUCAAAAGUUUUUCUUGGACGAUGUCUAGGGUGAUUCCUAGCAUCGAGAGGUAGGAUGGGUGUGUACUGGUUAGCUGUGUUUUCUUCUGAAAUACCGUAAACGGAACUAGUCCUUCAUGACUACGGAAAUCCGUUGGCUCUGGGAAAAUUUUUUUUGUACAAACUCUGCAGAGUCAUAUAUUCCUCCAAAUCAUCUAUUCCCUGUCCUAGACCGAUAUUAUCUUAUCCUAAUCAAAUGUCAGUUUUGAUGACAGAGACUCCGGUGAAUCGCAUGAGUGCUAAGUCCGGUUAAACGAAUAUUCCUGUGGAUGGACUAACCCAUUUAUUCUCAAGAAUUAAAUGUUUAUUAUGAGUAUUAUUUACUUGUGAAUAAAAGCCCUUUCUGUGAUGUCGCUCAGACGUCUGACUGUGGCAUUGUUGUAUUUUACUUUCUGUCAAAGCCCUUUCUGUGAUGUCGCCCCGACGUCCGACUGUGGCAUUUCUUUUUAAAGCCCUUUCUGUGAUGUCGCCCCNNNNNNNNNNNNNNNNNNNNNNNNNNNNNNNNNNNNNNNNNNNNNNNNNNNNNNNNNNNNNNNNNNNNNNNNNNNNNNNNNNNNNNNNNNNNNNNNNNNNNNNNNNNNNNNNNNNNNNNNNNNNNNNNNNNNNNNNNNNNNNNNNNNNNNNNNNNNNNNNNNNNNNNNNNNNNNNNNNNNNNNNNNNNNNNNNNNNNNNNNNNNNNNNNNNNNNNNNNNNNNNNNNNNNNNNNNNNNNNNNNNNNNNNNNNNNNNNNNNNNNNNNNNNNNNNNNNNNNNNNNNNNNNCGACUGUGGCAUUUCUUUUAAAGCCCUUUCUGUGAUGUCGCCCCGACGUCCGACUGUGGCAUUUCUUUUAAAGCCCUUUCUGUGAUGUCGCCCCGACGUCCGACUGUGGCAUUUCUUUUAAAGCCCUAUCUGUGAUGUCGCCCCGACGUCCGACUGUGGUAUUUCUUCUAAAGCCCUUUAUGUGGUGUCGCUAAGACGCCCGACUGUGGCAUCAUUUCCUUAUAUUUAUAUGUUCACCUUUCGAGGCGUCGCUUCAGACACCCGAUCGGUAUUCAUUUAUGUUUGGUGGGGAUUUCAGGCGGACUACCGCCGUUUCCCUUUUACCUACCUUGUUAUGCUAAUUUUUGAUUGUACAUUGGUGAAUUAUUCAUGACGCAUCCAUGCAUGCAUUUGUUAUAUCUUACGUCCGAACUGUCUUGCGAGUACUUUCAAAGUACUCACUGGCUUGUUGAUUUGGCCAGAUGCUGACGAAGGCGAUCUCAUGGAUGAAGAGUUUGAUAGCGAGUCCGACACCUAGAGGAGUCCCAGUCAGUCUCGUGCGACCUUGGAUUUGGUCACUGUUUUAUAGCCGCUUCCGCUACCAAAUAAAUUCAUCGAGCCUCACCUCGACGCUCGAUGAGAUGAUAGACUUAGAGUCUUGUAUUUCUCUCCCCGCUGUGUUUCUCUGCCACCGCCAUAUCCUCGAGUCAGUAGUAUGCCUCCACACCACUGUGUCAUGUCCGCCAUUAUGUAUAAUGAUUGGCGUGCUUGUAAUAAUUUGGUUGAGCAACCGCAGUUCAACCCUGUAAUAUAUUUUAUGCUACUGGCUUAUUGUAUCAAGAAUCUGUCUACCAGUGAGGAGGAUUUCUCUCAUACUGGACUCAAAAGAUUGGUUUCUCAAUAAAUAUUUUUAUUGGAAAACCGGUCGUGACAAGCUUGGUACCAGAGCCAGGCUGACUGUAGGAAGCCACUAGGUGCGAUCGCUAAUUGGUUAUUAGCAUGAUAGAGCUAAAUUAUAUUUUUGCAAUUGUAGUCAUUUUCUGUCAGUCAGCAUAAAUUUAUGAUCUGACCCUGCAGAAUUUUUGCCUACUUUUGUAGAUGGCCGACAACAGCUGCGAGUCUUAGACCUUCGCCAACGUGCCCGAUGGGUUCGUCAAGCUUCUUUCUUUCAUCGUUCAGGUCGCGAUGGGGCCAUCCGUGCGCCCAGUCUUCACACUCUGCCAGCACCGAGUCAACGACAGUCUAACCAUGCACCAGGCCGCGGUGCAGUUCAAGGGAGGGCGUGGUGAGUUACGCCGCUUCCGGUUCAUGGGAAGAGCCAUGCCUACGGAGAGGCAUGCUAUGCAGAUGGCAGCCCGCGAGGCGAUAGCUCGUCUCAGGGAUGUCCUUCCCGUGAUGAAGACUCGUCGUUACCGUUAUCUUCCAUGCCAUGUGCCUUACACCUGUCACUACGCAUACUCCUGCCCCAGAGGAGAACGAGACGAGGCUUUUGAGAUGCUCAUUGAGUAUCUCCGGGCCCUGGAGGCAGCCUUCGACAACCUGGUGGACGACUUCGUAGCUACCCGCAUGGACUCAGUUCAUGGCUGUGCUGCCAACAGGAGGGAGCUCCUACCCAUCGCUCCGCCACUGACUUUGGUCUCGUCCUCAGCAUCUUAUACGCCGACUCGUCGCCUGCCUUCUACCGAAGAAUUCAACCAAGUCAUUGCGCCCACUCCAGCGCGCACUACACCACCCUUCGCGCCCACUCCUGUACAUGUUGCCCCGCCCCUGGCAACCGUUCCGUCCACUCUGCGCAACACCACACGUAUGGAGCCCAUUAGCGAGGAGGAAGUCGAGUCCCCAACCUCGCUACGCCUCGCCCUCGGCAGGGCAAAGGAGGUCGUCAACAUCUCUGCCUGAGUACGCUUAGCUGCCGUGUAUUGUACCGCUUUGUAAGAUAUGUACAUAGGUUGUGAGAAGUAGCUUGUUUGCGCAUCAUGUAGGAUCUGGAGAAGUGCACUAGCCUAAAUAACAUGUCAGGAUUAUGUACGCAUAUCCUGAGUGAUGUAUUGUAUAAUUAUCGCCCGCGUGUAAGAUAUGUAAUGAGUAGUCCUUCUCCGUGCGCAAGUCGAUUUGUUUUUCUUAAGUAAGCUGAGUUAUUUAAUUCUAUUUGCCAGCUUUAUGCGUUUAUGGAUUUGUUUUUGCGACUCUUUCCGCUUUUCUUAUAAGUUUUACAAAAAAACAUUUCCCUAGAGUGAAAAAUGUCUCGUCCUUGGACUCGCUCCAUGCCAACUCCACCAGAGGAAAUUUAUGAUGCACAACCCAGCAACGAGUUCACUCAGGGACAGUCAAGCCAACAGAGCAGUGAAUCGGCACUUUCACAAAUGUGCCGCCUUUAUGAGCAGAGUCAACAACAACAUCGGGAAAUGAUGAACAAGUCAUCAACAUGGGAAAUCACCAUGGACAGUAUCAGCAGCAUUCCAAGUUAUCUGAGCUACAGAAGACACAUCCUCAAACAUUUUCUCACACUGACAAACCUCUUGAAGCCGAGGACUGGCUUCGAGAUAUGGAGAGAAAAUUAAUUAUUGCAAAAUGUUCAGACCCCGAGAAGGUAUUAUAUGCUCCGCACUAUCUCACAGGAGCAGCCGCAUCGUGGUGGGAGAAUUUUCUGCAUAUGCAUCCCAACGAAAAUGACAUAACCUGGGAUGAUUUCAAGGAAGGUUUCCAUGGUGCACAUAUUCCUAAGAGUAUUAUGAAAAUCAAGAAGAGAGAAUUCGAUGACCUCAAACAAAGGAACAUGACAGUAUCAGAUUACAACAGUCAAUUCACUCUAUUGUCCCGCUACGCCAAUGAAGAGCGUAUGACUGAAAUCAAGAUGGAGAAAUUCCUUGACGGUCUGGCGCCCGCGCUUAAAUGCCAACUGGUCGUGCACACUUUUCCUGAUUUUAAAACACUGGUGGACAAAGCCAUUACUCUGGAAAAUGAGAGACGCAGUCUGGAAGAUAUCCGCAAGCGAAAAAGGGACCAGACUAACCAUGCUCGCAAUCACCGAAGCAGGACAGAUUUUCAAAAGGGUGGGACACACAAAUCCUCAUCCAACGUCUCACGCCCAAUCAAGAAUUAUCAUGCAAGAGACAAAGAAUUCACCUAUCGCCCCGGCGUUACUUGUUACGCUUGUGGAGAAGAAGGGCACUAUGCCAAACAGUGCCCCAAGCCAAGGAAUUCAACCCCAAAGCCGAACAACGGCGGCAAUAAUUCAGCGCCCAAGCGAAACAAUUUCAAUCCCAACAAUAACCACAGGAAGGGUCAUCUGAACCAUGUAACCAAAGAGGAGGCACAAAAUGCUCCGGAUAUCGUACUCGAUACGUUUCCUGUCAACACAAUACCUGCAAUGGUUUUGUUUGAUUCUGGAGCUUCUCACUCUUUCAUUUCAAAAAGUUUUGCUUUGCAAAAUAAUUUUUCGAUGCUCCCUUUGGAGAAAUCCAUGAUCAUCAAGUCCCCUGGGAUUCAGCAAGUUACUCAGAAUUACUGUCAGAAUGUGGUCAUUGAGUUCGAAGGAUUGAAGUUUCACACAAAUCUUAUUGUGUUGAAAAAUAAAGGACUGGAUGUCAUCCUAGGGAUGGAUUGGCUAGCCACCAAUAAGGGUUUUAUCGACUGUUAAUAGGACCGUAAUUCUCACACACCACCAAGGGAAGACAAUAAGAGUAUCAGCCAAGGAAGGAAAAAUACCCCGGCAACCGAGAUUAAAUAAGAUGGACGUUUCUGAGCUAAACAAGGUUCCAGUAGUGUGUGAAUUUCCAGAUGUAUUCCCUGAAGAACUACCAGGCAUGCCACCAGACCGAGAAAUAGAAUUCCGCAUUGAGCUAGCACCAGGAACCACCCCCAUAUACAAGAAACCAUACAGAAUGGCACCAUCCGAGUUGAUCGAGUUGAAGAAGCAAAUAAAGGAAUUACUGGAAAAAGGAUACAUUCGAGCCAGCUCCUCACCUUGGGGAUCACCAAUUUUAUUUGCCAAAAAGAAGGAUGGAACGCUGAGAUUGUGUAUCGACUAUCGAGCACUUAACAUGGUCACAGUCAAAAACAAAUACCCGAUGCCAAGGAUAAACGAUUUGUUUGAUCAACUCACUCAGGCCAAGGUAUUCUCAAAAAUUGACUUAAGGUCAGGAUACCAUCAAUUGAAGGUACGAACGGAAGAUAUCCCCAAAACAGCCUUCACCUCCAGAUAUGGACUGUACGAGUUCACAGUGAUGCCAUUUGGAUUAACUAACGCCCCAGCAUAUUUUGUUCACCUCAUGAACAAAGUAUUUAUGAAGUUUAUGGACAAGUUCGUCGUGGUAUUCAUCGAUGAUAUUCUGGUAUUCUCCAAGACACCAGAAGAGCACGCAGAACAUCUUAGGAUUGUGCUAGGAGAGCUAAGAAAACACCAAUUGUAUGCCAAGUUCAGCAAGUGCGAAUUUUGGCUAAGACAAGUAGGCUUUCUAGGCCACGUGCUGACCCAAGACGGUAUCGCAGUGGACCCAGAGAAAGUCAAGGCCGUACUUGGCUGGAAGUCACCAGCCAGCGUAACGGACAUUCGGAGUUUCUUGGGAAUGGCAAGAUAUUACCGCAUAUUUAUUGAAGGAUUUUCCACCAUAGCCAAGCCUAUGACACAUUUGCUCAAGAAAGAUAAGAAGUUUGAAUGGACAGAAGCCUGCGAGAAAAGUUUCCAAGAGCUAAAGCGGAAGUUAACGACAGCACCGGUAUUAAUUGUACCCGACAUACACAAGAAUUUUGAAGUAUAUUGUGACGCGUCCAGAAAGGGUCUCGGAUGCGUAUUGAUGCAGGAAGGCAAGGUUGUCGCCUACGCUUCAAGGCAACUUCGCAAGCAUGAGGAGAAUUAUCCCACUCAUGACUUAGAAAUGGCAGCAGUUAUUCAUGCACUCAAGGAAUGGAGGCAUUUCUUACUUGGGAAUCAAUGUGAAAUAUAUACGGAUCACAAAAGCCUCAAAUAUAUUUUCACGCAGCCAGAACUAAAUUUACGGCAACGACGUUGGUUGGAGUUGGUAAAAGAUUAUGAUGUUGGUAUCCAUUAUCAUCCAGGAAAGCAAAUGUAGUGGCCGAUGCCCUUAGUCGGAACCCCAGCUCCGACGAAAACAAUCUGCACAGCUUGAGGCCCGAAUUCCAACAAGAAUUUGCCAAGCUCAACUUGAUAAUGGUAGCAGAAGGCACCAUAUCAAACUUGGAAAUACAACCCAACCUUGUGGAGAAAAUUAAAGAAGCUCAGCCCGGUCACACCAGCAUCGAAGGCAUCAAAAGAAAGUUGAUUAUGGGCAAGGCCUCGGAAUUCGUAAUAGACAAUGAAGGAAUAUUAUGGUACGGAGAAAGGCUCUGCGUGCCAAACAUAGAAGACCUUAAGCAGCAAAUUUUAGCUGAAGCACACACCACUCCAUAUUCAAUUCACCCUGGAGGAACCAAAAUGUAUAAGGAUAUUCAGGAAAGGUUUUGGUGGCACGGUAUGAAGAGGGACAUAGCCACCUUCAUUGCAUGUUGCGACUCAUGUCAACGCAUAAAAGAUGAACAUCAGAGACCAGCCGGACUACUGCAACCUAACAAAAUACCUGAGUGGAAAUGGGAUGAAAUAGGGAUGGAUUUUAUUGUCGGACUACCUCGGUCACGACACGGGAAUGAUGCCAUAUGGGUCAUCACUGACAGGUUGACCAAAGUGGCACGUUUUAUUCCAGUGAAGACAACCUACAACACUCAGAGGCUUGCCAGGAUUUAUCUUUCCCGCAUAGUUUGUCUGCACGGUGUCCCGAAGACUAUAAUAUCCGACAGAGGCACUCAGUUUGUCUCAAGAUUUUGGGAGCAUUUACAACAAGCUCUGGGAACCCAACUAGCCUUCAGUACCGCAUACCACCUACAGACUGAUGGACAAACAGAACGCGUAAACCAGGUUUUAGAAGACAUGCUGAGAGCAUGUGUCCUCACAUAUGGAACCAGUUGGGAAGAAAGCCUGCCAUACGCCGAGUUCGCGUAUAACAAUAGCUACCAGACCAGCCUACAAAUGGCACCAUUUGAGGCUUUAUAUGGACGAAGAUGUCGUACCCCGUUAAAUUGGUCAGAGACCAAAGACAACCGCAUCUUCGGACCAGACAUGCUCAGAGAAGCCGAGAAAAAGGUCAAGCUAAUCAGAGACCGACUUAAGACCGCUCAAAGUCGACAGAAGAGUUAUUAUGAUCAGAAACAUCGAAGGGUCAGCUUCGAACCCGGUGAGUUCGUAUACCUGAGAGUAUCCCCUAUGAGAGGAUUGCAACGAUUCAAGAUUAAAGGAAAGUUAGCACCAAGAUUCAUAGGACCAUUCUGCAUAGUGGCACGAAGAGGCACUGUAGCCUACUAGCUAGACUUACCCGAGGAAUUAUCCGAUAUUCACGACGUGUUCCACGUCUCUCAAUUAAGGAAGUGCGCAAGCAACCCAGAGAAACAAGUAUCCCAUGAAAACAUUGACGUGCAGCCAGACCUCACUUAUCGGGAACGUCCCGUAAGAAUAAUAGAGGAGUCUGAAAGAAGGACCCGACAGAAGACCAUCAAGUUUUUCAAAGUCCAGUGGAGCAAUCACACCGACAGUGAGGCAACUUGGGAAAGCGAGGAUUUUCUUCGGACAGAGCAUCCACACUUAUUUAAGGAUCAGCUGAAAUCUCGAGGACGAGAUUUUUCCUAAGGGGGUAGGUGUUGUGACACUCCAAAAAAUUUAUUUGGUUUUUAUCAAAAACUUUGUGGUUUUGAAAAGAGGCCAUUUAAUUUUUUUUUCUACUUUCAGAAAAUCUUCCUCUUAAAAACUUCCUUUGCUUUGGCAAGGAUUUUAUUUUUUUUCAAACUUUGGUGUUUGAUCUUUUGAAAACUUCUUCUCUGUUGGUUCCCUCUCAAAUUCAUUUUUGGGAGUUUAAUCCUUUUUCUUUUAAAAUGAAACUCUAUGAAAAUUUGGGGAUUUUCAUAUCUUGGAACCACCCUUGACUUUGCAUUGUUCCCAUGUGGUAAAACCCCUCCAAAACCUCCCCUACACCUUGUGAUCAACCUAAGUUCUCUGUCCCAACUAAUCCAAACAAGUUUUGGAUUUUAUUCUAAUUAUUUUUCCUCUCAUAUCAAUUCUGAAAAUUAUUUGGAGCCUGAGGGAUUUUCAAAGCAAGUACCCUAUUGCAUUUGAGUUUUGACCUCAAACCAACUCUCCUGGAUAGUCCUUUGUACCCACAACUCAGAACCAUCUUGAUCCACUCCUCUUUUCAAAUUUUUCAAAAUUCAGUCUCUGCAAGUUUGGACCAGAUUUGCCAAAUUUGAUGAAAUUCAUAUCUACCCUCCUCCAAAUAUUCCACCAAAAUUCAGGCAACCUAUUUGAGCAAUGAGAAGCCAAUCCACCAAGUUUCAGCUCAAGGAAAAAUCCCCAAAGGCCAAAUUCAUUCUGUCGAACACCUUGCAUGCACUGUUGCUGUUCAAAAUUCAGAAAAUUCAGUUUCAGUGUCAUCUUGCGUUCGUCAGUUUCACUCACGCGUUCACAGUGCACUUGGCACGUUCCUCGUAGCCCCUCCCUCUUGUCCGGAGCUUCACACGCGUGCGUGGAGCCUUCCUGGCGUCGGUGGCGCGCUGGCCCGCCCUCGCCGGCGUCUUCUGAGGCGUCGGGACCUCCCGUGGCGGCCGACAGAAGGCACACCACGGCAGAACGCCGUUCAGCGCCGCCCAAAGCCCCUUGGCUCUCCGCGUGUCCCUGCCGUGCCAGCGCACGCCCGUGGCACCGUCGUCGUGGCCCGGCAAGCACGGAACGUGCUCCCUGUCGCCGACGGGCCGCGCCACCCCCGUUCCGUCGAGCUCACCCAUAACGCCAAACCCCAGCCCGUUUAGCGCCUAAAUGGGACCGGUGGACCUCAACGGCCUGCCCAAGCCCCUAACCCCCCUGCACAUCCACGGCACCGCCGUAAUCACUCGCCGGAGAUCCCCGUUCAUGGCAACCGCCUCGGGCCGCCUAUAAAAAGGGCCCCCGAGCACACCCUCGUGCACGCCUCAUCCCCACUCCUCACCAACGCCACGCCAGGCCACUAGGGGGACCCCGAGGAGGUCUCCCCCCCAACUCCGGCCGCCCCGAUCCGCCUCGGCCUCCACCACGAUUCGCUCCGGUGAGGCCGUCUCCGGCGCCCAAACCCCGUCUGUUACUCUCUCUAGCUACCAGGAGCCUAACCCCCUUGUCAAUUUUACCUCUGCAGCCCUCUCCGACGAAUUCCUCGACCACCCGAGCCGCCGUCCGCCGGAGCAAAGCUCGCCGUCGACGUGGUACUCGCCGGCGACCACCACCAGCACCAACCGACGCGGAAUGGCGCCCUGAGCACGGAGGUACCCUCCGAUCCCCCUGCCUCGCCGUGGAUCGCCGCCGGCGACCACCGCGGCUCUCGGGCGCCGACGAGCUCCGUUUGCCUUUUUUUUAAAUUCAAACCUGACGCGUGGGACCCCACCGUCAGCCUCUCUGCUCUCUCUGUUGAAACGUUUUCUGGAAGCGCCUUCGGGCAAAGUACGUUUUCCCUUUGAGCUAGCGUAGUUUCUGCCGAAGCGUUUUCUGUUUUUAUAAGCUAGCCCCUGGAAACUUUCUGUUUCAUUACAGAUGAGUCCCUGGGCAAAAACCCUUAUAACUUUUAAACAGAAAAGUAUUUUUGAUUGAUUCUUUUUCUGUUCUCUUUAAAAUUUUGUCUAGUUUUUUAUCAGAUUUAUUUGAAAAAUAUUUGGUUUACUUUCUGUGCACUCCUUGGUAUUUACGAUAGCGCAUAUAUAUUCUUUAUACCGUAGAUACCGAAGGAGGUGACGGAGCCGCGAACUUCACCGAGCUAGGCUCCGACUACUCUGAACCAGGCAAGCAUGUUUGAACUUUUGAUAUGAUGAGUGUCUUGGCAUGUUUUGCAUUUAGUUAGUUUUAUGGCAUGUUGAGAAGCAUAUCGAUGAACGUUAUUUUAUGCGAUAAUGAGGUAAGUGAGUUCGAUGAUCCAUAAGUGGAUGGAUGUAAGUAUGAAUGGCCAUGUGUUGGCAUGAGGAUGGGUGAGAUGGCAGUGUUGUAGCAUGCCAGUCUUAUGCCAGACUAUGUGACUUCAGUGUCAAACCGUAUCGGUCCAGUUCCUCUCAUUUCCUUCCCUGUACUACCACAUGUUUUCCGCAAGGAAUAUGGUUUAGUAAGUUGCAAACCGCUUUUCUGGUACACACCAAAAAGGAGAGGCCGUGAUGAUGGUUCCAUGGCCCUGGAUUAAAGCUAGUCAUCCGGUCAGGGGGCAUGGGUGUUUCCGGUUGGGACCGAGAGUGGGGCACCCCUUAGAGCGCGCGUAUAUAAAUUUGAUCCCAUGCUAUUCGAGAUUGUGAUCUCCCCGUCUCAAAAGUUUUUCUUGGACGAUGUCUAGGGUGAUUCCUAGCAUCGAGAGGUAGGAUGGGUGUGUACUGGUUAGCUGUGUUUUCUUUCGAAAUACCGUAAACGGAACUAGUCCUUCGUGACUACGGAAAUCCGUUGGCUGUGGGAAAAAAAAAUUGUACAAACUCUGCAGAGUCAUAUAUUCCUCCAAAUCAUCUAUUCCCUGUCCUAGACCGAUAUUAUCUUAUCCUAAUCAAAUGUCAGUUUUGAUGACAGAGACUCCGGUGAAUCGCAUGAGUGCUAAGUCCGGUUAAACGAAUAUUCCUGUGGAUGGACUAACCCAUUUAUUCUCAAGAAUUAAAUGUUUAUUAUGAGUAUUAUUUACUUGUGAAUAAAAGCCCUUUCUGCGAUGUCGCUCAGACGUCCGACUAUGGCAUUGUUGUAUUUUACUUUCUGUCAAAGCCCUUUCUGUGAUGUCGCCCCGACGUCCGACUGUGGCAUUUCUUUUUAAAGCCCUUUCUGUGAUGUCGCCCCGACGUCCGACUGUGGCAUUUCUUUUGAAGCCCUUUCUGUGAUGUCGCCCCGACGUCCGACUGUGGCAUUUCUUUUAAAGCCCUAUCUGUGAUGUCGCCCCGACGUCCGACUGUGGUAUUUCUUUUAAAGCCCUUUAUGUGGUGUCGCUAAGACGCCCGACUGUGGCAUCAUUUCCUUAUAUUUAUAUGUUCACCUUUCGAGGCGUCGCUUCAGACACCCGAUCGGUAUUCAUUUAUGUUUGGUGGGGAUUUCAGGCGGACUACCGCCGUUUCCCUUUUACCUACCUUGUUAUGCUAAUUUUUGAUUGUACAUUGGUGAAUUAUUCAUGACGCAUCCAUGCAUGCAUUUGUUAUAUCUUACGUCCGAACUGUCUUGCGAGUACUUUCAAAGUACUCACUGGCUUGUUGAUUUGGCCAGAUGCUGACGAAGGCGAUCUCAUGGAUGAAGAGUUUGAUAGUGAGUCCGACACCUAGAGGAGUCCCAGUCAGUCUCGUGUGACCCUGGAUUUGGUCACUGUUUUAUAUCCGCUUCCGCUACCAAAUAAAUUCAUCGAGCCUCACCUCGACGCUCGAUGAGAUGAUAGACUUAGAGUCUUGUAUUUCUCUCCCCGCUGUGUUUCUCCGCCACCGCCAUAUCCUCGAGUCAGUAGUAUGCCUCCACACCACUGUGUCAUGUCCGCCAUUAUGUAUAAUGAUUGGCGUGCUUGUAAUAAUUUGGUUGAGCAACCGCAGUUCAACCCUGUAAUAUAUUUUAUGCUACUGGCUUAUUGUAUCAAGAAUCUGUCUACCAGUGAGGAGGAUUUCUCUCAUACUGGACUCAAAAGAUUGGUUUCUCAAUAAAUAUUUUUAUUGGAAAACCGGUCGUGACACCGAAGAGGAUCCGGACAUAAAGGUGGAGCUAAUUGACGGGGUGUUCUAUCAACUCAGCAUGGACAAUGCUCUAGUCGCCAUUACGGCUGACUACCCCGGCUUAUCUUCGGCUUCCCAGGUAAUUAUGACCGGAGUCCUGACAACAUUACUUCAUCCUUGCGUAUUUCUAACCACCGUAUACGACAGUGUCUUGCAGGAGGUGCCUUCAAGGCAGGAAGGCGAACCCGCGGCGGCUGAUCAACAAGGGUCAGUCCGGCCCAGCAGGCGGAAGAGGGGUGCGGUGUGAAUCGAAACGUCACCGCAACGGUAUAGCUCGCGACCGUUGUUUAGGAAAAAGAUUCCUAGGAGGUGUAUUAAUGCUCAUGACUUUUCCAGGAGAAAGAGCGCUCGCAGGACUGUGCCCGGAGAGGUUGCCAACCAAGCCUCCGAUAGCCAAGCUCCAACACCAGGUCCGGAGGGGGAGGCAAGUGCAAGGCGCGAGCCGGAUACUCCUCCAACGGAGGAUGCCGACAGGCUGUCCGCCACCAGGUCUGAGGUGGAGAGCGCCAUGAAUCAUAGGCGCCGCCGGACAGUUCUUCGUGACGCGUGUUUCUCCCUAGAGGCAUUAAAUGCCUUUAACACGGGAUACGCGCACCUCCGUGCCGCUCAAGAUGGUUUAACCAGAGCCACGGAGCAGUAUGUAAAAGACAUACGGGUAAAGGAUUUUAAUAGUUGUAUAUGCCAGUAGCCCCCGAGACUUAAAGUAGUUAAAAUAACUGAUUUAAGGAUCAUUUGAUAUGCAGGAUCUCAUGGAGAAGAAUGCCCAAUUGUCUCAGGAGCUACAAGGGUGCAAGGCCCAACUUGAGGCCGCACUAGCCGCCGCAGGAGGAGACACCGAGACCCCCUCCGGUAACACAUAUUUCGAAAAGAUAAGCAGUGUGCGGCGUGCGUAUAAGUCUAACAAUAAUAUUGUAGAUGUUGCCGGACUUGAUCUGGACAAGCAACAGCUACUGCGCCAGCUGAAGGCCGGUGAGAGGGUGCUUAUGAAGGUGCAGCAGGAGAGGAACAAACUCCAAGAUGCCCACACCCAGCUUGGAGAAGAGCUAAAAGGUGUUCGGGCCCAGCUGUCUGGCUCCGUGAAGGAGAAUCAGCGGCUUCGUCGCGGCAUCUAUAGUAAGUGCUUGAGCAAACUCUUUUGAAAAGAAGAGUUCGACGAGGAAGUCAAUUGACAGAAAUAUGUCUGUAGGUGUGCUCACAGGUCGCCCUGUGGAGGAAAUGCCCGGUUCAACCGGUGACCAACUUCCCGAGCUGGUGCAACUGCUCGAACGUGUUCGGCAGGCGAUGAGUGGCGUCGUCCAGGCCUUAUGGCCGUCCGUCUCCCUACCCGAGGGCCUUGGAGAGCUUGCGGAGAAGCUUCAGGGAGCACGGCAGCGCUUCCGUUUAUGGAAGAUAUCGGCCUGCCGUCAAGGUGCCAGGGAGGCCUGGGCCAUGGUGAAGACGCGGUACAAGAAGGCGGAUCCAAACCACAUGGCCAAGGUCGGACCUGUGGGGCCCGAUGGGAAGGGGAUCCCUGUGAGCUUAGCGGACAGCCAAGUAGAGUUGGCCGCUAAGUAUUCCCAACGGGACUGUAAAUUAGACAGCCUAUUAGACGGGAUUGAGGAGGAGUACAGUCAGUCGAUUUGACAAUGUAUUUAAAAUGACAUGUAAAAUGCCUUCUAGCCGGAUUGUAGAUUGUUUGUCUUUGCUGACCUUUUCGCUUCAACCUCGGGACCCUAGAGUCCGGAGUGUGUCCGAAUACCUUCUCGGUUAUGAAAAACCGGGGCAUGCAUGGAGACCAAGCGUAGGGGUCAUUAGUGCUUUAUCAGACAAGUGCCCAACUAGUUAUGUUAUAUUAUAUGGUUAGUAAGAAACAUCUUACAGGGAGAAUAGUUCCGUUAAGGGUUCCUUUCCCUGGGAGGCAUGCCCUAAAGUGCAUGUCCGGACUGCGAAAAGAGCAGGAAAACAUCUGGGGGCAGAUAAAUAAAUAUGUAAAAAAUCAUCUUUCAAGUCACCGACCGAAUAUUCCCUUAAGAACGCUAGCUUUCGGCUUCACCCAGUCUGAGGUACACAUCCGGCUGACCCGGCAGUAGCAAUCGCAGAGGUGCUCCCUUUACCUCCUAGCCGAACAAUCGGGAAUGUAGGGGUAAGCACAGGAGCCAGGCAACCCAGCUUGUCCAAAACUUAAGUCAUAUCGAUGCAUAUAAUGGUGAAUAAAAGGUACAUGCGGAAGUUUGACACAUGUGUUGGGCAUAAAGCCCGUAUAAGUAAGCUUCUGUUAAAGAAGCCCCCAGCUAUAAUGAGUGCGGGUAGCACAUCAAGUGUGUGCGAACAAUGCGCAAAUCAGCCCUCAAGGGCUUUAUGAAAAAGGUGGGAGAAAAGAGAGAAACAAAAGACAGCUGAAGUGUAAAAAUGUGGACGGAGGAAGGAGACGAACUCUGAGUCCGGCGCUAGGCGUAGAAUCUUCGGAGGCGGGCUGCGUUCCAUGGGUUCGGCUCGAGUCGGUUGUCCGAUGCGUCUUCGAGCCUGCUGCUAAUAGAAUGCGGAACGAGCCUUGGCCAGGUCGCGCGCCUCCUCCAAUGCGUCCAAGCUGUCCUGUCGAUCCAACUUGGCUUCUCUUUCUUCGUACAUGCGCACUCGAGGUGAGUCAUGAAUUAUGUCGCAGGGCAAAACUGCCUCUGCGCCGUAUACCAUAAAGAAUGGUGUGAACCCGGUAGUACGGUUUGGCGUGGUCCGCAGCCCCCAGAGUACGGAGUCGAGCUCCUCUACCCAGUGCGUGUUAGAUUACGUAAGGGACCACACUAAUCUGGGUUUGAUGCCGCUCAUGAUUAGACCAUUUUCUCGUUCAACUUGACCGUUGGUUUGAGGGUGAUAGACUGAAGCGUAGUCGAGCUUAAUGCCCAUAUUUUUGCACCAGAGUUUAGCCUCGUCGGCCGUGAAGUUCAUGCCGUUAUCGGUGAUGAUGCUGUGGGGGACACCGUAACGGUGUACUACCCCGGAUAUGAAGUCUAUCACAGGUCCGGAUUCGGCCGUUUUAACUGGCUUGGCCUCUAUCCAUUUGGUGAAUUUGUCCACCAUGACCAAUAGGUAUUUUUGCUUGUGGGUUCCCCCUUUAAGGGGUCCAACCAUGUCAAGCCCCCAGACCGCAAACGGCCAGGUGAUGGGUAUAGUUUUGAGGGCGGUGGGUGGCAUGUGGCUCUGAUUAGCAAAGAGCUGACAACCGACGCAUCGUUGGACUAAGUCCUGAGCAUCUGCCCGGGCCGUCGGCCAAUAAAAUCCUGUACGGAAGGCCUUACCUACAAGGGCCCGGGCUGCAGCGUGGUGUCCGCCUAGUCCGGCGUGAAUUUCAGCCAGAAGAUUUCGCCCUUCCUCUUCGGAGAUACACCUUUGAAGGACUCCGGUUGCGCUUUUCUUAUAAAGUUCCCCCUCAUGGACCUUGUAGGCUUUAGAUCGCCGAUCUAUGCAGCGGGCCUCAUUUUGGUCUUCGGGAAGUUCCUGCCUAAUUAAGUAGGCUAGGAAUGGUUCCGUCCACGGGGCAAUGACUGCCAUUAUUUCGUGGGCGGAAGGUGUUAUGUCAUUGGCUGAGCCACCGGUUGUGUCGGAAUGUUCGGUGUUGGGCGGUGCAGUUGGUUCCGGAUUGUUGUUUCCGGACUCCUCUUCCCAUACUACGGAUGGCUUAAAGAGCCGCUCCAGGAAGAUGUUUGGAGGGAUGGCGUCGCGUUUCGCGCAGAUGCGUGCCAACACGUCGGCCGCCUAGUUAUUGUCCCGGGCUACAUGGUGGAAUUCGAGUCCUUCGAACCGAGCUGACAUUUUUAAGAUGGUGUUAUGGUAGGCUGCCAUUUUUGGAUCUUUGGCAUCGAAGUCUCCGUUUACUUGUGAUAUUGCGAGGUUUGAAUCCCCGCGUACCUCGAGGCAUUGAAUGCCCAUGGAGAUUGCCAUCCGGAGACCAUGCAGAAGGGCCUCGUAUUCGGCUGCGUUGUUGGAGUCUAUGUACAUUAUUUGAAGUACGUAUUGGACUGUGUCUCCGGUUGGGGACGUCAAAACGACGCUAGCCCCCAAGCCGGCCAACAUUUUAGAGCCGUCGAAAUGCAUGAUCCAAUUGGAGUAUGCGCCAUACUCUUUAGGGAGUUCGGCUUCAGUCCAUUCAGUGACGAAGUAAGCCAAGACUUGCGACUUUAUAGAUCGCCGUGGUUUGUAGGUUAUGUCAAAUGGUAAGAGCUCAAUGGCCCAUUUUGCAAUCCUGCCCGUCGCGUCGCGGUUGUUUAUGAUGUCGUUGAGGGGUACUUCGGAUGCCACUGUUAUCGAACACUCUUGAAAGUAGUGUCACAGCUUCCGGGAUGCCAUGAACACCACGUAUGCUAUUUUUUGAUAAUGCGGGUACCGGGACAAGCAGGGAGUUACGACAGUGGAUACGUAGUACACUGGUUUUUGAAGAGGGAAUUUAUGCCCUUCUGUUUCUCGUUCGACGACGAGCACCGCGCUUACAACUUGAUUUGUUGCCGCGAUAUAUAACAACAUUGGUUCGCCCAGGUUAGGCGCGGCCAGGACCGGAUUUGUUGCCAAUAUGGCCUUUAUUUCUUCGAGUCCGGCAGUGGCAGCAUCCGUCCACUCAAAGUGUUCGGUGCGCCUGAGGAGGCGAUAGAGGGCCAAUGCCUUUUCUCCCAAACGGGAGAUGAAGCGGCUUAGAGCCGCCACACAUCCAGUCAAUUUUUGUAUUUGUUUGAGGUCUUUUGUAAUAUCCAGCUGUGAUAGAGCUCGGAUCUUGGCUGGGUUUGCUUCAAUUCCUCUACCGGAUACAAUGAAGCCCGGGAGCUUUCCAGCUGGUACGCCGAAAACGCAUUUUCCGGGUUCAGCUUAAUGUCAUAUGCUCGGAGGUUGUCGAAUGUGAGCCUCAAGUCGUCUACUAGAGUUUCGACGUGUUUGGUUUUGACGACCACGUCGUCUACGUAUGCCUCUACUGUUUUGCCGAUCUGGGUAGCCAGACAUGUCUGGAUCAUGCGCUGAUAUGUUUCGCCGGCGUUUUUGAGUCCGAAGGGCAUCGUGUUGAAGCAGAAUGGUCCGUAUGGAGUAAUGAAUGCCGUUAUGGCUUGGUCCGCCUCUGCCAUCUUGAUUUGAUGGUACCCGGAGUAUGCGUCGAGGAAGCACAAUGAAUCGUGCCCUGCAGUAGCAUCGAUUAUUUGAUCGAUGCGGGGAAGGGGGAAAGGAUCCUUUGGGCAAGCCUUGUUGAGGUCUUUAAAAUCGACACAUAGGCGCCAAGAUUUGUCCUUCUUUGGUACCAUUACCAGGUUUACUAGCCAGUCCGGAUGUUUGAUGUCUCUGAUGAAUCCGGCUUCCAAUAGUUUGGCUAGCUCCUCUCCUAUUGCCUGUCUUUUGGGUUCGGAAAAUCGCCGAAGAGCCUGUUUGACUGGCUUGAAUCCUUUUAGGAUGUUUAGGCUGUGUUCUGCCAAUCUGCGUGGGAUUCCUGGCAUAUCUGAGGGGUGCCAGGCAAAGAUGUCCCAAUUCUCCCGAAGGAAUUCUCCUAGUGCGGCGUCUACAUCAGGGUUUAACUGUGCCCCAAUGGAGGCCGUCUUUGUUGGGUCCGUUGGAUGGACCUGGAAUUUGACUAUUUCGUCCGCUGGUUUAAAAGAGGUGGACUUGGAUCUCUUAUCGAGUAUCUAAUCAUCCCUGUUCACCGUAGAGCGCAGCGCAGUGAGUUCCUCCGCCGCUAGGGCUUCGGAUAGUGCCUCUAGGGCUAAUGCGGCUGUCUUUUUUUCGGCGCGGAGUGCUAUGUCCGGAUCACUGGCAAGGGUGAUGGUUCCAUUGGGCCCGGGCAUUUUAAGCUUCAUGUACCCGUAAUUGGGUAUGGCUUGGAAAAUUGUGAAUGCCUCUCGUCCUAAUAAAGCGUGAUAUCCACUGCUGAACGGGGCCACUUGGAACGUGACCUCCUCGGACCUGUAAUUGUCCGGCGAGCCGAACACCACAUCAAGUGUGAUUUUUCCUGUGCAGCGUGCUUCCCGGCUAGGGAUUAUUCCUCUAAAGGUUGUGCUGCUUCGCUCAAUGCGGCUCCAGUCUAUUUCCAUUUUUUGAAGGGUUUCCUCGUAGAUGAGGUUUAAUCCGCUGCCGCCAUCCAUGAGUACCUUGGUGAGACGAAAGCCGUCCACUAUUGGACUGAGGACCAAUGCGGUUGGUGCUCGGGCUGUUUAGAAUUUAGGUUCGUCGCUGGCGUUGAAGGUGAUGGCCGUGUCGCUCCAUGGAUUUGUUGUUGCUACUUGGUAGACUUCGGCGAGGCUGCGGAUUGUUCUUUUCCGCAUAUUAUUUGAUGCGAAAGUCUCGAAGACUGUUAAUAACGUACUGGUACUGUUGGGGUGGGUCUCCGGGGCUAGAAGCUCUUCGCCACUUUUGGCCACCUGCCGCAAUAUCCAACUUGCUCGAAGGCUAUGAGUUGGAGUGGCGCCCUCUGUACUAUGAAUUUUACAGGGUCCGCUGAGCCAUCCCUCCAGUACGGUUCCGUGCCCUUUAUGGGGUUUUUGCUUUUUGGUUCUUGUCCUGGGUGCCUGAGCAUGGUGCACCCUUUUGUUUCGGACUAGGGUUGUGUUCGGAGCCGGAUUGUCCCAAAACUUAGUUUCGGUUUUCCGGACACUCUCCAUCGCACAGUAUUUUCGUACUAUGGAUGCCAGGUCGGCGAAGCGUGUAAUUUCAUGACGACUUACGGCGUUCAAGAUUCCCUUGUCCGUGCAAUUGUUGCAGAAAAUUGAAAUUGCGUUUUCCUCAUGGCAGUCCUUUAUCCUGUCCAUAACCAGGAGGAAUCUGGCCCAGUAAUGAUGUACUAUUUCCGCGGGCUCUUGCCGGAUUUGAGAUAGAUCGCAUAUGUUUGGGUGGGUGGGUGGAAUUGAGUCCGGAACCCUGCCCAUCUUGAGGCUCAAAGGCCGAAAAGUUUCCGAAUUUGGAAGCUUGGAUUGCUGGACAUUGUCCGACGAGUCUGGUCUGCUGCCGAGCCUUCUGGAGCGAGCUGCUCUCUCGGAGGAGCAUCGUUCAUUAAUGGGCACGGUGCUCGAGAAGAUUUCGUCCACCAAAAGCGGUUUGAAUGAAGCUUUUACGAGCCUGCUCAGAGGCUUUGAGGUAUGUAAUGAAAAAUACUUAAUUUUUGGCUGUGACACACUCGCUAGGUGUGCUCCAUAUGGAUAGUAGCCCCUGAUACUCUGGUUGCCCGCCCUAGGCGGCAAACGGAGGAUCAUAUUGUUUAAGUAAUGAUUGUGCUGUAUUUAUGCGCAGGUGUCUAAGGAUCCAACAGCCGACCAGUCCGUUGAAGUUUCCGAACUAAGGAGGCAGAUUGGAGCUAUUGAUGCCGAUAUCACACUGGUGAACGAGCCGCUUAACGAGUCACAAGGUAUGUGUUCUGCUUUCAGUAUAAUUUUUAAUAGGAAAAACUGAGAGGAGCAUAAUGCUAAUGUUAUAUGCUCGGACUGCAGACGGUGCUGCUGCCGUGGAAGCCCUGAGGGCGAAACUUGCCCUGGCCAAGGAACAUGCCCGGGCAAGCAAUGCAGCUGCCCUAAAGGCGGCCGAAGAGUGGAGCUAGAAAAUGCUGCCAACCGGUAUGAGCUUCUUGAAAAAGAGAAUCAUGCGAAUAAGGCUGACCUGAAGAAGGCCCUUGAUGCAGCCAAGGAGACGCGUUCCGACAUUAGGGAUGCGCGGGAGGAGCUUCGACAGGCCGGAGAAAUCGCGGAAGGAAACCCCUAUUUGUUGCUGAUGAAGUUUUUAGAUCCGAAGUACGCUGCUCUGGAUCGACGCUGGAGUCCUGCAGACGCCUAUGUGGAUUUGGCGAAGAGUAUGGUUGAUGCAGCCAAGUUUUUUGAGGAUAAAAAAGAUGAUGAAGUGGAAAAGCUGUUUUGGUCGCAGUUCAGCGCUCCAACGCGAACAUUGCCGUUGAGUGAGAAGAUGGCUGCUGUGGCCGAGCUCCACAGGCUGUCCAGUCUUGCAAUGCGGUCUGUAAUAGACCAUCUAUGGCCGAAGGGGCCUAAGCCAGAUAGUUAUUUUGGUUUAGUGCAACAAUUCCUUGGUGCCGUAUCGCGGAUCGAUGCCAUGAAGAGGUCGGCGUGUAUAGAGGGUGCACGGAUGGCUCAUGCCCGUGUUAAAGCAUACUGGAUAGAUAUGGAGGCCACCGUCGUUGCGACCCAGACUCCAGCGGGGGGCCAGGAUCCGGCCGAGCACAUCUUGGAGCAGGUAGCAGAGGGUGCUCGCUUAAUAGAGGCUCAGUGCUCGAAGAAUGUCAUGUUCGAGUGACAAAUCGUGUCAUUGUAAAAACAACAUUGUUUUGAUUAUGGAGUCUAUAUUUAUACUUUUUGCCCGAAAGUAUUAUUGUGCCUCCCGUGCGGCCGUUUUUAUGUAUAUGUGUAAUCUGAAAGUUAGCAGUCGUUGGCUUCAGCCCCCACGCAUACAAUGCGGGGGUAUGCGCGAAAAAUAUGCAUAAUCACACUUGAUCCAACGUCAUGGUCCAUUAAGGAGGUGAUCGCUCGUCGAACUAGGCAACCAGACUAUAUAGCUGUAACACUUUCACUUAGCCAUAGGAGUUUGACGGUGGGGCUAUUAUGUAUCCCCUGGUACCUUUGCGUGCAUCUGAAUACGGGCACGUGUGUACAUGACCAGGAGACGGUCCUUCGUUAAUGCGGAGGAAUCCUAAAGAUUCCGAUAAGUCUUCGCGUGGUUGAACAGUCUCUCGCUAUAUCAUGAUAGUCAGUUUUUGGCUUUCUCUACUGAGGUGCUCAUCCGGAAUAACCAGGGCACAAUCACAGUAGUUCUCCUUUGGCCGCCUUGGCCGAUAAGAAUAGAACAUAAGGCGGCAAACCCAGGAGCCAGGCAAACCCAACAUUUGACCGAAGACAUGAUUCGGAGAUGAUGCAUGUAAGGCCAAACUCGCGACGCCGAACACUCCCGAAGGUAUUCGGACUUGAUAACAUAUGCUGGGCUGAGUAACGCCCUUUAUUAUGAACUCUGUAUUUCCAGGUACGAGAAUUAGUCUGCCGUGGCGAAAUGCCAAUACCGGCAAUAUCCUCUGUGGGUGUAGUUCCCAUGGGAUGUGUGAACAACAAGAUAAAAUAAAAAGGUUUAGACAGGGGCUUAAUCUAAAGAGAAACCUUUGAGCGAGGCCCUACUGCACGUCUGCGCCUUUGUCUCCGUUGUGCCGUGUCCUGGUAGGGUACCGCACGAAUGGUGUCUGUAAAAAGAAAAACUCAUGUAGAAGAGCGUGACGUAAGCGUGCGAAGAGUUGGCUAUCACUAAUGGAUUGUAAAAGUGAAAAGUCAUUGGCCUGUUAAUAGGGUGAGGCAAAAGGUGGGCUUUAUUGAAUAUUUGAAGCCCCUGGUGUCCUCUAUGGGAUUACAUGUGUAGCGCCUAGAUCAGGCUGAUCUGGGCUGCCGGACUCGUCUAACCGUGUCCGUGGUCUUAACGACCACUCAUGCUUUCUGGUAUUAGAGGCCGCUUAGAGUCCGGCUGCUGGAGCCGCCGCGUAUUCCUCCCCGCGUAAGGAACGCUCUGUGUUUCCGUUAACGAUGAUGACGCCACGUGGAUCGGGCAUCUUGAGUUUAAGGUAGGCGUAAUGCGGUACUGCGUUGAAGUGGGCGAAGGCCGUUCUCCCAAGCAAUGCAUGAUAGCUGAUUUGGAGGGUGGCGAUGGUGAAGAGUAGUUCUUCGCUUCUAGAGUUGCCUGGGGAACCGAAUGUUACCUCCAGUACGAGGGAGCCCCUGCUGUAGGCUUCAAUGCCUGGUAUCACCCCUUCAAAGGUGGUGUUACUUUGGCUGAUUCUGGAUGGGUCUACCCCAUCAUGCGAAUAGUGUCCUGGUAUAUUAGAUUAAGACUACUGCCGCCGUCCAUGAGGACGUGAGUAAGAUGUUAUCCAUCGAUUAUUGGGUCGAGCACCAAGGCAUCUGAUCCUCCAUGCUGAAUACUAGUCAGGCAGUCCCUGUGAUCGAAAGUGAUUGGGCAAGCCGACCAGUGGUUAAAUUUGGGUGCGACGGUCCCUAUAGCAUAUGCGUCUCUGAGCGCGCAUUUGCGCCUUCUCGUGGAUGUGCGAGUCGCGUGGAUCAUGUUUACUGUUUUUACCUCUGGUGGGAAUUUUUUCUGUCCCCCAGUGUUCGGCUGGUGAGGCUCAUCCUCGUCUUCACUUGGUGUUUCCCUUCCCUUGUGUUCGGCAUUUAAUUUGCCGGCCUGUUUGAAGACCCAACAUUCUCUGUGAGUGUGAUUCGCAGGCUUUUCGGAGGUGCCAUGAAUUUGGCACAGCCUAUGCAGGACUUUGUUCAGGCCGGACGGUCCCUCUUUGCUGCCUUUAAAUGGCUUCUUUUGUUGACCGGGUCGAGAGCCCCUGAAUACGGCGUUGACAGUUGUGUUGUCUGGACUUUCUUCCUUGUUUUGACGUUUGUUUUUAUUGCGCCGUGGCUUCCAGUUGCCAUCCCUGAUUUCGGAUGUACUUGGGUCGCUGGUGCCUUUACGGGCCAACCAGCUAUCUUCACCUGCGCAAAAGUGGGUCAUAAGGCUUGUUAAGGCUGCCAUUGUCCUCGGCUUUUCUUGGCCGGGGUGUCUGGCGAGCCACUCGUCCCGGAUGUUGUGUUUAAAGGCCGCUAAGGCUUCGGCAUCCGGACAAUCGACAAUUUGAUUCUUCUUAGUGAGGAAUCUGUUCCAAAGCUUGCGGGCGGACUCUCUGGGCUGUUGAAUUAUGUGACUGAAAUCGUCCGCGUCCGGAGGCCGGACGUAGGUCCCUUGAAAAUUGGCCCUGAAAGCAUCCUCGAGUUCCUCCCAACUUCCGAUUGAAUUUUCGGGGAGGCUUUUCAACCAGUGUCGAGCUAGUCCCUUCAACUUGAGGGGAAGGUAUUUGAUGGCAUGGAGGUUGCCCCGACGAGCCAUGUGGAUAUGCAGGAUAAAAUCCUCGAUCCAGACCCCGAGGGUCUGUCGUUCCGUCAUAUGCCUCUAUGUUCACAGGUUUAAAACCCUGUGGAAAUUCGUGGUCCAGCACCCCUUCGGUGAAGCACAGGGGGUGAGCAGACCCUAUGUAUCUGGACGUUUUGUGGUAUGCCAUCGGCUGUUGUUGUGUUCGGUACUGAUUCCAAACUGGUAUCCGAUCAGUCUGAUCGUUUUGGUGACCAUAGUCCUGCGCCGGGGCGUGUCCUUUAGAUCCGUAGAUGGACCUGGCCGCGUUGGCCUUUUUAUCUAGGAGCUCACAUAAAUCGUGUGCAGCGUCAGUAGCUGCUCUAUUGCGGUUACGAAGUGGUUUGUCCGGCCUCCUGGCCGUAUUGUUCUUCGGCGGAACGGCCUCAUCGUCGAAUUCUGGCAGCAGCUUGCGUUUUGGAUAGCUCUUUGUGUAUCGAUCGUCGCCGUACUUUUCUUCAGUGUCUAGCACUUUAUUCCAUCUGCGAUUGAGCAUUUCCUGUGCGACCUUAAGCCUUUGCUUCUGCUUCUUUAGACUUCUCGCAGUGGCCAUAAGCCUUCUGUGGAGGUUAUCUCGCUCCAAGCGUAUUUCCGGGAUGAUGAAUGCAUCAUCAUUAGGACUGUGCUCUUGUCCCAGGGCGGUUUGAUGAGUUCGUCCCUCGUGAUCAUUGUGAUCGGGCGUCUGCUCCGAGCUGUGUUCAACGUGACCUGGCUCAUCCCGCUCCAUUGCUGGGUCCAUAUGGUCGUUGUUGCCCUUGGAGUUGACUAGGGUGUCAAUCUUUCUAGCGCUGUUAUCGCUAUUUUUACUGUUGCUGGACUUGGAGCGGCGUCUGCGCCGUCGUUUUGGCUUUUGUCCGAGGGUUUUAUCCUCCAGUUUGUCGCCGUCGUCCUCCUUAGGUGUAUCCACCAUGUAUAUAUCGUAUGACGAGGUGGCGGUCCAGCGCCCCGUUGGUUCUGAAUCGUCUCCUGUGCCGACGUCCAUACCAUCGGUAUCAUUGGAGCCGAGGUCAAGUAUGUCUGAUACAUCGUCGACAAUGGCUAUGAAGUGGGUGGUGGAUGGGAAACGGAUUUCUCCGUCACCUUCUUCCCCCUUGAGCCGGACAUAGUUCGGCCAAGUGUCUCCCGACAAAGCGAGAGACUUUAAUGAGUUCAGCAUGUUGCCAAAGGGCGAGCACUAGAAGAUAUCCGCAGCGAUAAACUCCAUUACCGGAGCCCAACCAGAUUCGGCGGGCUCGGGGGUGCGCGGACUGGAACCUACAGCCGGAUACGAGUCCGGGGGUCCGGUGUCACAAGCUUCCUUGGGGGUGAAGUCUGUGUUUGGUUCUACCACCGAUGGGUGUGCAGCCUCCGGGGCGGGGUCCAUCCACCCGCCCUUGGGCGACGCAAUCUGCCCCGGAUUUAGGUUCGAGAUUCCUACAGGGGCGAUAUCCCAAGCAUUGUCCGACAGCAGGUCUAGGCCGUGCUCAUCGUGACUGUCCGGCGCUCCUGGCGCAGGCCCAAAUCCGUUGAAGAUCAAGUCUCCGCGGAUAUCGGCCGUGUAGUUCAAGUUUCCGAACAUGACCUGGUGGCCAGUGGCGUAGCUGUCAAUCUGAUCCAGAUGGCCAAGCGAAUUGGCCCGCAGUGCGAAGCCGCCGAACACGAAGACCUAUCCAGAGAGAAAGGUCUCACCCUGGACCGUGUUGUUGAUGAUUGAAGGAGCCAUCAAGCCUCGCCGUGACAACACAGAGGAACUCUCAAUGAAAGCACCAAUGUCGGUGUCAAAACCGGCGGAUCUCAGGUAGGGGGUCCCGAUCUGUGCGUCUAAGGCUAAUGGUAAUAGGAGGCAAGGGACACAAUGUUUUACCCAGGUUCGGGCCCUCUCGAUGGAGGUAAAACCCUACUUCCUGCUUGAUUGAUAUUGAUGAUAUGGGUAUUACAAGAGUUGAUCUACCACGAGACCGUAGAGGGUAAACCCUAGAAGCUAGCCUAUGAUGAUUAUGAUUCUGUCUCUAAGGACUAAACCCUCCGGUUUAUAUAGACACCGGAGAGGGCUAGGGUUUACAUGGAGUCGGUUACAAAGAUGGAAAUAUAAUAUCCGGAUCGCCAAGCUUGUCUUCCAUGCAAAGGAGAGUCCCAGUCGGACACGGGACGAAGUCUUGAGUCUUGUAUCUUCAUAGUCCAACAGUCCGGCCAAAGUAUAUAGUCCGGCUGUCCGGAUACCCCCUAAUCCAGGACUCCCUCAGUCAUCAUCAACCAUCCUCCAUCACCAAUUUCAUGAUGCUCACCGCCGUGAGUGAGUAAUUCCAUCGUAGGCUUGCUGGACGGUGAUGGGUUGGAUGAGAUUUACCAUGUAAUCAAGUUAGUUUUGUUAGGGUUUGAUCCCUAGUAUCCACUAUGUUCUGAGAUUGAUGUUGCUAUGACUUUGCUAUGCUUAAUGCUUGUCACUAGGGCCCGAGUGCCAUGAUUUUAGAUCUGAACCUAUUAUGUUUUCAUAAAUAUAUGUGUGUUCUUGAUCCUAUCUUGCAAGUCUAUAGUCACCUAUUAUGUGUUAUGACCCGAGAACCCCGAAGUGACAAUAAUCGGGAUACUUCUCGGUGAUGACCAUAGUUUGAGGAGUUCAUGUAUUCACUAUGUGUUAAUGCUUUGUUCCGGUUCUCUAUUAAAAGGAGGCCUUAAUAUCCCUUAGUUUCCGUAAGGACCCCGCUGCCACGGGAGGGUAGGACAAAAUAUGUCAUGCAAGUUCUUUUCCAUAAGCACGUAUGACUAUUUACGGAAUACAUGCCUACAUUACAUUGAUGAACUGGAGCUAGUUAUGUGUCACCCUAUGUUAUAGCUAUUACAUGAGGAAUCACAUCCGACAUAAUUAUCCAUCACUGAUCCAUUGCCUACGAGCUUUUCACAUCUUGUGUUUCGCUUAUUUACUUUUCCGUUGUUAUUGAUACAAUCACUACAAAACCCAAAAACAUUAAUUUUGCUAUCGUUACCUUUAUUAUCAUACUACUUUGCUACUAAAUACUUUGCUGCAGAUACUAAGUUAUCCAGGUGUGGUUGAAUUGACAACUCAACUACUAAUACUCAAGAAUAUUCUUGGCUCCCCUUGUGUCGAAUCAAUAAAUUUGGGUUGAAUACUUUACCCUCGAAAGCUGUUGCGAUCCCCUACACUUGUGGGUUAUCAUACUCCCCAAGCUUAGGCUUUUGGCCUAAGUUGGUCUAGUACCAUGGACCACUGCUACUCUCCACGGUGUACUGGGAGGUGAAAUCAGGAUACCACUGGCUGGCCAUCUUCGGAUCCCACUGGUAGGUUGAUGCACGAUAAGGGUCCAGUUCAGGUUCCGGCUCAGGCUCAGGUUCUGGAGUGGAUGCUUGGCCUCGAUGAGUGUACACCGCUUCCGGUGUAACAAGAAAAUUAUCUGCAGUCAAAUCAAACAACAGCGGCGCAAGCAAAAUAAUAGUAUCAUUGUGUUUCUUAUUAAAUCUAGGGUUAUACAAGAGCAUCUUCUCUUUGUUGUCAACAAUAAAGGUGUGUGCUACCAUGCUCUUGUAGUCUAAAAUGUAAGGAGGCAAUUUUGUCUCCUCUUUCUCAUGGUGCCUAAUAGGUAUCUCAAAAUAUCUAGCAAGAUGUGAAGCAUAGAUACCUCCAAAUAUGGGGCCUUUUGUACGAUUUAGGCUUAGCCGUUUAGCAAUGAUGGCAUCCAUACUAAACCUAUUAUCUCCAAACAAGGCAUGUUGAAGAAUGAUAAUAUCAGGAACAUUGAAGUUUCCACUAUUUCCACGACCAAUCAAGCAUCUACUAGCAAAUAUGGCAAAGUAGCGUAAAACAGGAAAGUGUAUGCUAGAGAUUUUUGCAUCGGAACCCUUCUUGGGAUCCUCUACAGUGAUAUUGUUAACAAAGCCAUCCACAUCUUCACGAUGAGGUUCCUCUAAUUCUCCCUCAAAAGGUAUCCAACAUAUUGCGCAAAAAUAAUUCAUCAUAUAAAUGAAAUGAUACUGAAGGCGGUGACUUCUUAGGAUAAUAAUAAAAGUUUUGCACGAAAGUAUUGGUGAGUAAGAGAUACUGAUCAAUCCGGUCAUGGAGGAAACCAGUGAGGCCUGCAUUCUCGAUCAAAGAAUAAAAAUCUUCAUGAAUUCCAACUUCUUUCAAGAAAUCAUCGCAUGGCCAUUCACACGGCCGUACUUCCGCUAUGCGAGGAAGAUUAUACUUGGCUUUUUCCUUCUCUUUAGCUUGUUUUUCUUGAGAUCCUUGGCUAGAAGAGCCCCUCAAAAGUCUCCUUAACAUUUUCUGAAAAUUUCUGAAAUUUUAGUAACUUCAAAAUAGAAGUGAAUAAAACUAAACAAGAUUGGUAGCAACUACUCCUACAAGUGCCUAGAGCCUAUAUCAUGCAUUAGAAUUACUUGGGACCUCAUAAAUUUGACAUGCAAGCUCAAGAACAUGGUUACCUAUGCAGCAAAAAUUUGCAAUGAAUAAAGCACUAGAACAAAAACUAAUUGGACCAAUGGAGGAGUCACAUACCAAGCAACAAUCUCCCAAAGCAAUUAUGUGAAUGGAGCUUUGAGCAAGGAGAUCGAAAAUUGCAGCAAAAUGAGCUAGAACUCGUGCUUGAGCUGGAUGGGGAUUUUUUUGGGAAGAAGAUGGAGUGUGUGGGUGCUGGCAUAAGUGGAGGGGGGCCACCAGGGGCCCACAAGACAGGGGGGCGCCCAGGGUAGGUGGGAGCGCCCUCCACUCUCGUGGCCUGGUGCUUGCCCCUCCUGCAGUGAUUUCAGUGCCUAAAAUCCUCAAAUAUUCCAUAAAAAAUCAUACUAAAUUUGCAGGGCAUUUGGAGCACUUUUAUUUUCGGGAUAUUUUUAUUUAUUGCACGGAUAAUUCAGAAAAUAGACAGAUAAUACUAUUUUUGCUUUAUUAAAUCUAAAUAACAGAAAGUAAAAAGAGGGUACAGAAGGUUGUGCCUUCUAGUUUCAUCCAUCUCAUGAUCAUCAAAAUGAAUCCACUAACAAGGUUGAUCAAGUCUUGUUAACAAACUCAUUCCAAAUAACACGAAACUGGAGAAAUUUUGAAUAACACUAAGUUACCUCAACGGGGAUAUGAAAAUCCCCAACAAUAAGAAUAUCAUAUUUUUUCUUGACAGUAGGGAGAGGAAAUUCAAAACCUCCAAUAAUGAUAGUUGGAACUUUUCCAAUAGAAUUGAUGCUAUGAACUUGAGAUCUUGGAAAGUGUACCGUAUGCGCAUUACCAUUAACAUGAAAAGUGACAUUGCCUUUGUUGUAAUCAAUAACAGCCCCUGUAGUAUUCAAAAAGGGUCUACCAAGAAUAAUCGACAUACUAUCAUCCUCGGGAAUAUCAAGAAUAACAAAGUCCUUUAAGAUAGUGACAUUUGCAACCACAACAGGCACGUCCUCACAAAUACCGACAGGUAUAGCAGUUGAUUUAUCAGCCAUUUGCAAAGAUAUUUCAGUAGGUGUCAACUUAUUCAAUUCAAGUCUACGAUAUAAAGAGAGAGGCAUAACACUAACACCGGCUCCAAGAUCACAUAAAGCAGUUCUAACAUAAUUCCUUUUAAUGGAGCAUGGUAUAGUCGGCACACCCGGAUAUCCAAGUUUCUUUGGUAUUCCACCCUUAAAAGUGUAAUUAGCAAGCAUGGUGGAAAAUUCAGCUUCCAGUAUCUUUCUUUUGUUUGUAAUGAUAUCCUUCAUAUUCUUAGCAUAAGGAUUUACUUUGAGCAUAUUAGUUAAGCGCAUACGUAAGAAGAUAGGUCUAAUCAUUUCAGCAAAGCGCUCAAAAUGCUCAUCAUCCUUUGUCUUGGAUGGUUUAGGAGGAAAGGGCAUGGGUUUCUGAACACAUGGUUCUCUUUCUCUACCGUGCUUCCUAGCAAUAAAAUCUCUCUUAUCAUAACGUUGAUUCUUUGAUUGUGGGUUAUCAAGAUCAACAGCAGGUUCAAUCUCUACUUCAUUAUUUUUGCUAGGUUGAGCAUCAGCAUGAACAUUAUUAUUAACAUUAUCACUAGGUUCAUGUUCACCACCUGAUUGUGUUUUAGCAUCAGAAAUAGAAAUAUCAUUGGGAUUCUCAGGUGUGUCUACAGUAGGUUCACUAGAAGCAUGCAAAGUCCUAUCAUUUUUCUUUUUCUUCUUUUUAGAAGAACUAGGUGCCUCUAAAUUAUUUCUCUGAGAAUCUUGCUCGAUUCUCUUAGGGUGGCCUUCAGGAUACAAAGGUUCCUGAGUCAUUCUACCAGUUCUAGUAGCCACUCUAACAGCAAAGUCAGGUUUAUUAUUUAAUUCAUCAAGCAAAUCAUUUUGAGCUUUAAGUACUUGCUCAUCUUGAGUGGCAACCAUAGAAGCAUAUUUGCUAAUGAGUGUAAUUUCACCUUUAACUCUAGCCAUAUAAUCACUCAAGCGUCCUAUCUCGAAAGCAUUAUUCUUUAAUUCUCUACCAACAUUAGCAUUAAAACUUUAUUGUCUAGCCAUAAAGUCAUCAAAUUCAUCUAAGCAUGGGCUAUGAAAUUUAGUAGAGGGGAUUUCAACUUUAUCAUAUCUAUAGAGAGAAUUUACCUUUACUAUCGGUGUCGGGUUAUCAAGACAAUGUGGUUAUUCAACAGGCGAUACAUUAAGACCAUGUAUUUCUUCAACAGGUGGUAAAUUCUUAACAUCUUCAGCUUUAAUACCUUUUUCUUUCAUUGAUUUCUUUGCCUCUUGCAUAUCUUUAGGACUAAGAAAUAAAACACCUCUCUUCUUCGGAGUGGGUUUAGGAAUAGGCUCAGGAGUUGGCUCAAUUGGUUCAGGAAUUGCCUCGGGAAUUGGCUCAGGAAGAGUCCAAUUAUUUUCAUUAGUCAACAUAUUAUUCAAUAGUAAUUCAGCUUCGUCGACUGUUCUUUCCCUGAAAACACAACCAGCACAACUAUCCAAUUAGUCCUUGGAAGCAUCGGUUAGUCCAUUAUAAAAGAUAUCAAGUAUUUCAUUUUUCUUAAGAGGAUGAUCAGGCAAAGCAUUAAGUAAUCGGAGAAGCCUCCCCCAAGCUUGUGGGAGACUCUCUUCUUUGAUUUGCACAAAAUUAUAUAUUUCCCGCAAGGCAGCUUGUUUCUUAUGAGCAGGGAAAUAUUUAGUAGAGAAGUAAUAAAUCAUAUCCUGGGGACUACGCACACAACCAGGAGCAAGAGAAUUAUACCAAGUCUUAGCAUCACCCUUUAACAAGAACGGAAAUAUCUUAAGGAUAUAAAAAUAACGAGAUUUAUCAUCAUGAGUAAACAGGGUAGCUAUAUCAUUCAACUUGGUAAGAUGUGCCACGACAGUUUCAGAUUCAAGGCCAUAAAAAGGAUUAGAUUCAACCAAAGUAAUAAUCUCAGGAUCAACAGAGAAUUCAUAAUCCUUAUCAGUAACACAAAUAGGUGAAGUAGCAAAAGCAGGGUCAGGUUUCAUUCUAGCAUUAAGAGACUGCUGCUUCCAUUUAGUUAAUAAUUUCUUAAGAUCAUAUCUAUCUCUACAAGCAAAGAUAGCUCUAGCAGCUUCCUCUUCCAUAACAUAACCCUCAGGAACAACAUGCAAUUCAUAAUCAUUAGGAGAACCUUCAUCAUCACUAUCAUCAAUAAUAGCAUCUUCAAUAAUUUCGUUCUCUCUAGCCCUAGCAAGUUGUUCAUCAAGAAAUUCACCUAAUGGCAAAGUAGUAUCACGCACAGAAGUAGUUUCAUCAUAAGUAUCAUGCAUAGCAGAAGUGGCAUCAUGAAUAACAUGCGACAUAUCAGAAUUCAUAGCGGUAGCAGGUUUAGGUGUCGCAAGCUUACUCAAAACAGAAGGAGAAUCUAGUGCAGAGCUAGAUGGCAGUUCCUUACCUCCCCUCGUAGUUGAGGGAUAAAUCGUAGUUUUAGCAUAUUUCAAGUUCUUCAUAGUGAUUAACAAAUAUAAAUCCCAAGUGACUCAGAGAAUAGAGCUAUGCUCCCCGGCAACGGUGCCAGAAAUUAGUCUUGAUAACCCACAAGUGUAGGGGAUCGCAACAACUUUCGAGGGUAAAGUAUUCAACCCAAAUUUAUUGAUUCGACACAAGGGGAGCCAAAGAAUAUUCUUGAGUAUUAGCAGUUGAGUUGUCAAUUCAACCACACCUGGAUAACUUAGUAUCUGCAGCAAAGUAUUUAGUAGCAAAGUAGUAUGAUAAUAAAGGUAACGAUAGCAAAAGUAAUGUUUUUGGGUUUUGUAGUGAUUGUAACAAUAGCAACGGAAAAGUAAAUAAGCGAAGAACAAUAUGUGAAAAGCUCGUAGGCAAUGGAUCAGUGAUGGAUAAUUAUGUCGGAUGCGAUUCCUCAUGUAAUAGCUAUAACAUAGGGUGACACAGAACUAGCUCCAGUUCAUCAAUGUAAUGUAGGCAUGUAUUCCGUAAAUAGUCAUACGUGCUGAUGGAAAAGAAUUUGCAUGACAUCUUUUGUCCUACCCUCCCGUGGCAGCGGGGUCCUAGCGGAAACUAAGGGAUAUUAAGGCCUCCUUUUAAUAGAGAUCCGGAACGAAGCAUUAUCACAUAGUGAAUACAUGAACUCCUCAAACUAUGGUCAUCACCAAGAAGUAUCCCGAUUAUUGUCACUUCAGGGUUGUCGGAUCAUUACACAUAAUAGGUGACUAUGGACUUGCAAGAUAGGAUCAAGAACACACAUAUGUUCAUGAAAACAUAAUAGGUUCAGAUCUGAAAUCAUGGCACUUGGGCCCUAGUGACAAGCAUUAAGCAUAGCAAAGUCAUAACAACAUCAAUCUCAGAACAUAGUGGAUACUAGGGAUCAAACACUAACAAAACUAACUUGAUUACAUGGUAAAUAUCAUCCAACCCAUCACCGUCCAGCAAGCCUACGAUGGAAUUACUCACGCACGGCGGUGAGCAUCAUGAAAUUGGUGAUGGAGGAUGGUUGAUGAUGACGAUGGCGACAAAUCCCCCUCUCCGGAUCCCCGAACGGACUCCAGAUCAGCCCUCCCGAGAGAUAUUAGGGCUUGGCGGCGGCUCCGUAUCGUAAAACACGAUGAAACUUUCUCUCUGAUUUUUUUCUCCACGACACGAAAUAUAUGGAGUUGGAGUUGAGGUCGGCGGAGCCUCAGGGGGGCCACAAGACAGGGGGCGCGCCCCCCACCCUCGUGGAUAGGGUAUGGGCCCCCUGGUCUUGAUUCUUUCGCCAGUAUUUUUUAUAUUUUCCAAAAAGUGCCUCCGUGGAUUUUCAGGACAUCCCGAGAACUUUUGUUUUCUACACAUAAAACAACAUCAUGGCAGUUCUGCUGAAAACAGCGUCAGUCCGGGUUAGUUUCAUUCAAAUCAUGCAAGUUAGAGUCCAAAACAAGGGCAGAAGUGUUUGGAAAAGUAGAUACGUUGGAGACGUAUCACCCGCCAAGAAGAAAACAGACACAACAGAGCUAUUUGCACUGAACGAUGAGUUGAAGGUAGAACUCGAUUCUCUUGGCUCCUUUUUUGUACAUCUUAUUGACACUGAACACUCUCAGGACGAUGCGGAGACCAGCCAGGCAGAUGUUCAAGAGGUAACUAUUAUUUCCUCCGACUCAGAGCCUUUACCAAGAAAAAUCAUUCGGUAAGUGACCCGGAAAGUAAGGUUUUCUCACCCUUUAGCUUACUUGGAUCCCAACUUUAUUUUGAAGAAACAACAACAUGAGGCUCGAUGCACAACCCGGAACAGCGGAGGCGGAGAACUCUCUGCCGGCUUACCCAACACGCCGGCCCCUCGCAAACACUUAAAAUAGGUGCUUCAGAGUUCAAUCUGUUGGAAAUAUGCCCUAGAGGCAAUAAUAAAAUGGUUAUUAUUAUAUUUCCUUGUUCAUGAUAAUUGUCUAUUAUUCAUCCUAUAAUUGUAUUAACUGGAAACCGUAAUACAUGUGUGAAUGCAUAUACCAACAACAUGUCCCUAGUGAGCCUCUAGUUGACUAGCUCGUUGAUCAAUAGAUGGUUAUGGUUUCCUGACCAUGGACAUAGGAUGUCAUUGAUAACGGGAUCACAUCAUUAGGAGAAUGAUGUGAUGGACAAGGCCCAAUCCUAAGCAUAGCACAAGAUCGUAUAGUUCGUUUGCUAAGAGCUUUUCUAAUGUCAAGUAUCAUUUCCUUAGACCAUGAGAUUGUGCAACUCCCGGAUACCGUAGGAAUGCUUUGGGUGUACCAAAAGUCACAACGUCACUGGGUAGCUAUAAAGGUGCACUACAGGUAUCUCUGAAAGUGUCUGUUGGGUUGGCAUGAAUCGAGACUGGGAUUUGUCACUCCGUAUGACGGAGAGGUAUCUCUAGGCCCACUCGCUAAUGCAUCAUCAUAAUGAGCUCAAUGUGACUAAGUAGUUAAUCACGAGAUCAUGCAUUAUGGAACGAGUAAAGUGACUUGCCGGUAACGAGAUUGAACGAGGUAUUGGGAUACCGACGAUCGAAUCUCGGGCAAGUAACGUACCGAUUGACAAAGGGAAUUGUAUACGGGAUUGCUUGAAUCCUCGACAUUGUGGUUCAUCCGAUGAGAUCAUCGUGGAACAUGUGGGAGCCAACAUGGGUAUCCAGAUCCCGCUGUUGGUUAUUGGCCGGAGAGAUGUCUCGGUCAUGUCUGCAUGGUUCCCGAACCCGUAGGGUCUACACACUUAAGGUUCGGUGACGCUAGAGUUGUUAUGGGAAAUAGUAUGUGGUUACCGAAGGUUGUUCGGAGUCCCGGAUGAGAUCCCGGACAUGACGAGGAGCUCCGGAAUGGUCCGGAGGUGAAGAUCGGUAUAUUGGACAAAUGGUAUUGGAGUCCGGAAUUGUUUGGGGGGUACCAGGUGAUGACCAGCGUGUCCGGAAGGGGUUUCGGAGGCCCCUGGCCGCCGCCCCCUCCUCUAGAUCCAUCUAGAGGGGGUGGCCCCCUCUCCCCUUCCCCUAUAUAUAGUGAGGGGGUGGGAGGGCAGCCACACCCUUCCCCUGGUGCAGCCCCUCCCUCCUCCAACACUUCCUCCUCCUCCGUAGUGCUUAGCGAAGCUCUGCCGGAGAACCACGAGCUCCAUCACCACCACGCCGUCGUGCUAUCGGAGUUCUCCUCAACUUCUCCUCUACCCUUGCUGGAUCAAGAAGGAGGAGACGUCCCCGAGCUGUACGUGUGUUCAACAUGGAGGCGCCGUCCAUUCGGCGCUAGAUCAGAUCUUCCGCGAUUUGAAUCACCGCGAGUACGACUCCUUCAUCCGUGUUCUUGCAACGCUCCCGUAUUGCGAUAUUCAAGGGUACGAAGAUGCACUAUCCUCUCUCUCGUUGCUAGUCACUCCAUAGAUUGAUCUUGGUGACGCGUAGAAAAUUUUGAAUUUCUGCUACGUUCCCCAACAGUGGCAUCAUGAGCUAGGUCUAUGCAUAGUUCCUAUGCACGAGUAGAACACAAGUUGUUAUGGGCGUCGAUUUUGUCAAUUUACUUGCCACUACUAGUCUUAUCUUGAUUUGGCGGCAUCGUAGGAUGAAGCGGCCCGGACCGACCUUACACGUACGCUUACGUGAGACAGGUUCGACCGACUGACAUGCACUAGUUGCAUAAGGUGGCUAGCGGGUGUCUGUCUCUCCCACUUUAGUCGGAUUGGAUUCGAUGAAAAGGGUCCUUAUGAAGGGUAAAUAGCAAUUGGCAUAUCACAUUGUGGUUUUGGCGUAGGUAAGAAACGUUCUUGCUAGAAACCUAUAGUAGCCACGUAAAAACUUGCAACAACAAUUAGAGGACGUCUAACUUGUUUUUGCAGCAUAUGCCGUGUGAUGUGAUAUGGCCAAAAGGAUGUGAUGAACGAUAUAUAUGUGAUGUAUGAGAUUGAUCAUGUUCUUGUAAUAGGAAUCACGACUUGCAUGUCGAUGAGUAUGACAACCGGCAGGAGCCAUAGGAGUUGUCUUAAUUUAUCGUAUGACUUGCGUGUCAUUGAAUAACGCCAUGUAAUUACUUUACUUUAUUGCUAAACCAUUAGCCAUGGUAGUAGAAGUAAUAGUUGGCGAGACAACUUCAUGAAGACACGAUGAUGGAGAUCAUGAUGAUGGAGAUCAUGGUGUCAUGCCGUUGACGAUGAUGAUCAUGGCGCCCCAAAGAUGGAGAUCAAAAGGAGCAAAAUGAUAUUGGCCAUAUCAUGUCACUAUUUGAUUGCAUGAGAUGUUUACCAUGUUUUUGCAUCUUAUUUGCUUAGAACGAUGGUAGCAUAAAUAAGAUGAUCCCUCAUAAAAUUUCAAGAAAGUGUUCCCCCUAACUAUGCACCGUUGCGAAGGUUCGUUGUUUCGAAGCACCACAUGAUGAUCAGGUGUGAUAGAUUCUAACGUUCGCAUACAACGGGUGUAAGCCAGAUUUACACAUGCAAAACACUUAGGUUGACUUGACGAGCCUAGCAUGUACAGACAUGGCCUCGGAACACAAGAGACCGAAAGGUCGAACAUGAGUCGUAUAGCAGAUGCGAUCAACAUGAAGAUGUUCACCCAUGAUGACUAGUCCAUCUCACGUGAUGAUCGGACACGGCCUAGUUGACUCGGAUCAUGUAUCACUUAGAUGACUAGAGGGAUGUCUAUCUAAGUGGGAGUUCAUUAAAUAAUUAGAUGAACUUAAUUAUCAUGAACAUAGUCAAAAGGUCUUUGCAAAUUAUGUCAUAGCCUACGCUUUAGUUCUACUGUUUUAAGAUAUGUUCCUAGAGAAAAUUUAGUUGAAAGUUGACAGGAGCAAUUAUGCGGACUGGGUAUGUAUACUGAGGAUUGUCCUCAUUGCUGCACAGAAGGCUUAUGUCCUUAAUGCACCGCUCGGUGUGCUAAACCUCGAGCGUCGUUUGUGGAUGUUGUGAACAUCUGACAUACACGUUUUGAUGACUACGUGAUAGUUCAGUGUGUAAUGUUAAACGGUUUAGAAUUGAGGCACCAAAGAUAUUUUUGAAACGUCGCCGAACAUAUGAGAUGUUCCAAGAGCUGAAAUUAGGAUUUCAGGCUCGUGCCCACGUCAAGAGGUAUGAGACCUCCGACAAGUUUCUUAACCUGCAAACUAAGGGGGAAAAGCUCAAUCAUUGAGCAUGUGCUCAGAUUGUCUGAGUACUACAAUCACUUGAAUCGAGUGGGAGUUAAUCUUCCAGAUGAGAUAGUGAUGGUUCUCCAUAGUCACUGCCACAAAGCUAUUAGAGCUUCGUGAUGAACUAUAACAUAUCAGGGAUAGACAUGAUGAUCCUUGAGCAAUUCGCGAUGUUUGACACCGUGAAAGUAGAAAUCGAGUAGGAGCAUCAAUUGUUGAUGGUUAGUAAAACCACUAGUUUCAAGAAGGGUAAGGGCAAGAAGGGAUACUUCAUGAAACGGCAAAUCAGUUGCUGCUCUAGUGAAGAAACCCAGGGUUGAACCGAAACCCAAGACUAAGUGCUUCUGUAAUGAGGGAACGGUCACUGAAGCAAAACUACCCUAGAUACUUGGUAGAUGAGAAGGCUGGCAAGGUUGACAGAAGUAUAUUGGAUAUACAUUGUAUUAAAUGUGUACUUUACUAGUACUCCUAGUAGCACCAGGGUAUUAAGAUACCGGUUCGGUUGCUAAGUGUUAGUAACUCGAAAUAAAAGAGCUACGGAAUAAACGGAGACUAGCUAAAGGUGAGAUGACGAUGUGUGUUGGAAGUGUUUCCAAGGUUGAUUGAUCAAGCAUCGCCUGCUCCCUCUAUGAUCGAGAUUGGUGUUAAACCUAAAUAAUUGUUAUUUGGUGUUUGCGUUGAGCAUAGACAUGAUUGGAUUAUGUUUAUCACAAUAUGGUUAUUCAUUUAAGGAGAAUAAUGGUUACUCUAUUUAUUUGAAUAAUACCUUCAACGGUCUUGCACCUAAAAUGAAUGGUUUAUUGAAUCUCGAUCGUAGUGAUACACAUGUUUAUACCAAAAGAUAUAAGAUAGUAAUGAUAGUACCACAUACUUGUGGCACUUCUAUUUGAGUCAUACUGGUAUAAAACGCAUGAAGAAGCUCCAUGUUGAUGGAUCUUUGGACUCUCUCGUUUUGAAAAGAUUGAGACAUGCGAACCAUGUCUAUUGGUAUAUAUGCAUGAAGAAACUCCAUACAGAUGGAUCGUUUGGACUCACUUGAUUUUGAAUCACUUGAGACAUGCAAAUCAUACCACAUGGGCAAGAUGACUGGAAGGCCUCGUUUUUCAGUGAGAUGAAACAAGAGAGAAACUUGUUGGAAGUAAUACCUUUGAUGUGUGCAAUCCAAUGAGUGUUGAGGCACGCAGUGAAUAUCAUUAUGCUCUUACUUCACAAAUGAUUUGAGUAGAUUCUGAGUAUAUUUACUUGAUGAAACAUGAGUCUGAAUUAUUGAAAGGUUCAAGCAAUUUUAGAGUGAAGUUGAAGAUCAUCGUGGCAAGAGGAUAAAAUGUCUAUGAUAUGAUCAUAGAGAUGAAUAUCUGAGUUACGAGUUUGGUACACAAUUAAGACCUUGUGGAAAUUGUUUCAUAACUAAUACCGCCUGGAACACCAUAGUGUGAUGUGUGUCCGAACAUCAUAAAUGCACCCUAUUGGAUAUGGUGCAUACCAUGAUGUCUCUUAUCGAAUUACCACUAUCGUUUAUGGGUUAGGCAUUAGAGACAACCGCAUUCACUUUAAAUAGGGCACCACGUAAUUCUGUUGAGAUGACACCGUAUGAACUAUGGUUUAGAGAAACCUAAGCUGUCAUUUCUUAAAAAAUUUGGGGCUGUGACGCUUAUGUGAAAAGUUCUGCCUGAUGAGCUCGAACCCAAAGCGGAUAAAAUGCAUCUUCAUAGGACACCCAAAAACAAAUGGGUAUACCUCCUAAUUCAGAUCCGGAAGCAAAAGUGAUUGUUCCCAGAAAUGGGUCCUUUCUCGAGGAAAAGUUUCUCUUGAAAGAAUUGAGCGGGAGGAUGGUGGAGACUUGAUGAGGUUAUUGAACCAUCACUUCAACUAGUGUGUAGCAGGGCACAAGAAGUUGUUCCUAUGGCGCCUACACCAAUUGAAGUGGAAGCUGAUGAUAGUGAUCAUGAAACUUCAGAUCAAGUCACUACCAAACCUCGUAAGUCGACAAGGAUGCGUACUACUUCAGAGUGGUACAUAAUCCUGUCUUAGAGGUCAUGUUGCUAGACAACAAUGAACCUAUGAGCUAUGAAGAAGCGAUGGUGGGCCCGGAUUCCGAUGAAUGGCUCGAGGCCAUAAAAUCCGAGAGAGGAUCCAUGUAUGAAAAAAAAGUAUAGACUUUGGAAGAACUACUCGAUGGUCGUAAGGCUGUUGAGUAUAGAUGGAUUUUAAAAGGAAGAUGGACAAUGAUGGUAAGUGUCACCAUUAAGAAAGCUCGACUUGUCGCUGAGAUGUUUUCCGACAAGUUCAAGGAGUUGACUACGAUGAGACUUUCCCACUCGUAGUGAUGCUAAGAGUCUGUUGGAAUUAUAUUAGCAGUUACUGCAUUAUUUAUGAAAUCUUGCAGAUAGGAUGUCAAAAAACAUUGUUUCCUCGACGAUUUUCUUGAGGAAAGGUUGUAUGUGAUACAACCAGAAGGUUUUGUCAAUCCUGAAAGAUGCUAACAAGUAUGCAAAGCUCCAGUGAUCCUUCUAAGGACUAGAGUAAGCAUCUCGGAGAUGGAACAUACGCUUUGAUGAGAUGAUCAAAGAUUUUGGGUUUAUACAAAGUCUAUGAGAAACUUGUAUUUCCAAAGAAGUGAGUGGGAGCACUAUAGAAUUUCUAAUGAGUAUAUGUUGUUAACAUAUUGUUGAUCAGAAAUGCUGUAGAAAUUCUGGAAAGCAUAUAGGGUUAUUUGAAAAGUGUUUUUCAAUGGAAAACCUGGAUUAAGCUACUUGAACAUUGAGCAUAAAGAUCUAUAAGGAUAGAUCAAAAAACGCUUAAUAGUACUUUCAAAUGAAUACAUACCGUGACAAGAUUUUGAAGGAGUUCAAAAUAGAUCAGCAAAGAAGUAGUUCUUGUCUGUGUUAUAAGGUGUGAGUAUUGAGUAUGACUCAAGACCUGACCACGGCAGAAGAGAGAGAAAGGACGAAGGUCAUCCCCUAUGCUUUAGACGUAGGCUCUACAGUAUGCUAUGCUGAAUACCGCACCUGAAGUGUGCCUUGCCAUGAGUCAGUCAAGGGGUACAAGAGUGAUCCAGGAAUGGAUCACAUGACAGCAGUCAAACUUAACCUUAGUAACUAGUGGACUAAGGAAUUUUCUUGAUUAUGGAGGUGGUAAGAGAGUUCGUCGUAAAGGGUUACGUCGAUGCAAACUUUGACACUAAUCCGGAUGACUCCGAGUAGUAAACUGGAUUCGUAUAGUAGAGCAGUUAUUUGGAAUAGCUCCAAGUAGCGCCUGGUAGCUGUAUCUAUAAGAUGACAUAGAUAUUUGUAAACCACACACAGAUCUAUAAGGUUCAGACCCAUUGACUAAUAAACCUCUCUCACAAGCAAGAUAUGAGCAAACACCAUGGGAGUUGGAUUCAAUACAAUCACAUAAUGAUGUGAACAAGAUUACUGACUCUAGUGCAAGUGGGAGACUGUUGGAAAUAUGCCCUAGAGGCAAUAAUAAAAUGGUUAUUAUUAUAUUUCCUUGUUCAUGAUAAUUGUCUAUUGUUCAUGCUAUAUUUGUAUUAAUUGGAAACCGUAAUACAUGUGUGAAUGCAUAGACCAACAACAUGUCCCUAGUGAGCCUCUAGUUGACUAGCUCGUUGAUCAAUAGAUGGUUAUGGUUUCCUGACCAUGGACAUAGGAUGUCAUUGAUAACGGGAUCACAUCAUUAGGAGAAUGAUGUGAUGGACAAGACCCAAUCCUAAGCAUAGCACAAGAUCGUAUAGUUCGUUUGCUAAGAGCUUUCUAAUGUCAAGUAUCAUUUCCUUAGACCAUGAGAUUGUGCAACUCCCGGAUACCAUAGGAAUUUUUUGGGUGUACCAAAAGUCACAACAUCACUGGGUAGCUAUAAAGGUGCACUACAGGUAUCUCCGAAAGUGUCUGUUGGGUUGGCACGAAUCAAGACUGGGAUUUGUCACUCCGUAUGACGGAGAGGUAUCUCUGGGCCCACUCGAUAAUGCAUCAUCAUAAUGAGCUCAAUGUGACUAAGUAGUUAAUCACGGUAUCAUGCAUUAUGGAACGAGUAAAGUGACUUGCCGAUAACGAGAUUGAACGAGGUAUUGGGAUACCGACGAUCGAAUCUCGGGCAAGUAACGUACCGAUUGACAAAGGGAAUUGUAUACGGGAUUGCUUGAAUCCUCGACAUUGUGGUUCAUCCGAUGAGAUCAUCAUGGAACAUGUGGGAGCCAACAUGGGUAUCCAGAUCACGCUAUUGGUUAUUGGCCGGAGAGAUGUCUCGGUCAUGUCUGCAUGGUUCCCGAACCCAUAGGGUCUACACACUUAAGGUUCGGUGACGCUAGAGUUGUUAUGGGAAAUAGUAUGUGGUUACCGAACGUUGUUUGGAGUCCCGGAUGAGAUCCCGGACGUGACGAGGAGCUCAGGAAAGGUCUGGAGGUGAAGAUCGGUAUAUUGGACGAAGGUAUUGGAGUCCGGAAUUGUUCCGGGGGUACCAGGUGAUGACCAGCGUGUCUGAAAGGGGUUUCGGAGGCUCCGGCAAGUGUUGGGGGGCCUUAUGGCCAAGGGGAGGGGGCACAUCAGCCCACUAAGGGGCUGAGCGCCCCUCCCACCCCAUCUCACAUAACGUGGAGAGGCAGGGGUGCCACCCCUAAGGCAGCCUCCCCUCCCCGCUUGGGGGCAAGUUUCCUAGGGGGUGGGGCGCCCAAACCCAUCUAUACGGUUUCCCCUGGCCGCCGCCCCCUCCUCUAGAUCCAUCUAGAGGGGUUGGCCCCCUAUCCCCUUCCCCCUAUAUAUAGUGAGGGGGUGGGAGGGCAGCCACACCCUUCCCCUGGCGCAGCCCCUCCCUCCUCCAACACUUCCUCCUCCUUCGUAGUGCUUAGCGAAGCUCUGCCGGAGAACCACGAGCUCCAUCACCACCACGCCGUCGUGCUGUCGGAGUUCUCCCUCAACUUCUCCUCUACCCUUGCUGGAUCAAGAAGGAGGAGACGUCCCCAGGCUGUACGUGUGUUGAACGCGUAGGCACCGUCCGCUUGGCGCUAGAUUGGAUCUUCCGCGAUUUGAAUCGCCGCGAGUACGACUCCUUCAUCCGCGUUCUUGCAACGCUACCGUAUUGUGAUCUUCAAGGGUAUGAAGAUGCACUCCACUCCAUAGAUUGAUCUUGGUGAUGCGUAGAAAAUUUUGAAUUUCCGCUAUGUUCCCCAACACAAUCUUCUCCUUUCCAAAGGCGGGUCUUAUCCGUCAACCACUUAAUCCUUCUAACUCAAAUUAUCAUGGAACCUCUCACUCAUCCUCCGGUGACUCUACUGGAACUCAGAUACCUCUCUUUAAAGUUGCCCCUGGGUGAAAACAUUUAACUUCUUUGCUGUAACAUUCUUGAACUGAUAUAUUAACAUCCUCAUGUGUCUCACUUUUAGCGGUAUAGCCAAACCACGCAAGAAUUUGAAGAUGAACAAGCCGGCCUAAGACCACAAGGUCACUGAGCCGAAGACACAAACAAUAUCAUAAGCUUCUCAUCAAACUCCUGAAGCUGCUACUGAUGAGCCGCCACUAGAGACUCAUGAUGUCCUAAUGGAUCCAGUAGGUGUUGACCCGUCCAGCACUAAGCCGCCAAGUCCCACCAUGCCUGCUGAAGAAAAUGCUAAAGACGUUGUGGUCACCGGGACUGGCUAUAUAGAACCAAGGAACCUGUUGGGGAUAUAACCCUAAGGUAUGACCUGCCCAGGAGAGGCCGGGUUAUACCAUUGGCGGCUUAUAGUGAAGAAGGCCCAAAAGGUCCAAGAAGCCCUAAAGAUGGUAGUUCAUAAAGCAAAGCUUAUUGGAGGCCCAAGACUCAGAGGUAGUUCAAGACCCGAAGGUGUGAGCCGUUCAAGGUUAACUUACUCUGUAAGGCAAUUUUGGUUAGAAACCAAGCCGGUUACGUUGUGUGAGCCGGACGGGACUCUAUAAGCCGCAGGGCAUCAACCUGUAUAUAAAGGUGACCCGACGGCGGGUUAACUCAAGAAAGAAUAAGUCGAGAACUAGGUCAAGUGUAUUCGCUCCCUUGUAAUUGAAACUCAAGUAAUACAACUCGAAGCGGGACGUAGGCUUUUACCUCAUUGAGAGGGGCCGAACCUGGGUAAACUCCUUGUGUCCUUUGUCCCGCUCAACCCCUUCAAGCUAACCUAGUUGCGAUGGCUCCACACUGAUACCUCUCCAUCGUAUCUAUAAUUUUUUAUUGUUCCAUGCCAAUAUUAUACAACUUUCAUAUAUUUUUGGCAACUUCUAUAUUAUUUUUGGGACUAACAUAUUGAUCCAGUGCCCAGUGCCAGUUCCUGUUUGUUGCAUGUUUUAUGUUUCGCAGAAAUCCCAUAUCAAACGGAGUCCAAAUGGGAUAAAAACGAACAGAGAAUAUUUUUGGAAUAUUUGUGAGAUCCGGGAAGAAGAAUCAACACGAGACGGUGCCCGAGGGGGCCACAAGGCAGGGGGGCGCACCCUAGGGGGCAGGCGCGCCCCUGACCGUCGUGGGCACCCCGUAAGGCGGUUGAUGCUCUUCUUUUGCCGCAAGAAAGUUAAUUUUUGGAGAAAAAUCUGGGCGAAGGUUUCAAUCCAAUCGGAGUUACGGAUCUCCGGAUAUAAAAGAAACGGUGCAAGGGCGGAAUCAGGGAACACAGAAAUAGAGAGAGACAGAGAGACAGAUCCAAUAUCGGAGGGGCUCUCGCCCCUCCCAUGCCAUGGGAGCCAAGGACCAGAGGGGAAACCCUUCUCCUAUCUAGGGAGAAGGUCAAGGAAGAAGAAUAAGAAGGGGGGCUCUCUCCCCCUUGCUUCCGGUGGCGCCGGAACGCUGUCGGGGGCCAUCAUCAUCACCGCGAUCUUCACCAACAACUUCACCGCCUUCAUCACCAACUCUUCACCUCUCUAUGUAGCGGUGUAACCCCUCUCUUAGCCGCUGUAAUCUCUACUUAAACAUGGUGCUCAACACUAUAUAUUAUUUUCCAAUGAUGUAUGGCUAUCUUAUGAUGUUUGAGUAGAUGCAUUUUGUCCUAUGGGUUAAUUGAUGAUCGUGAUUGGUUUGAGUUGCAUGUUUUAUUAUUGAUGUUGUCCUAUGGUGCUCUCUGUGUCGCGCAAGCGUGAGGGAUCCCCAUUGUAGGGUUUGCAAUAUGUUCAUGAUUUGCUUAUUGUGGGCGGCGUGAGUGACAGAAGCACAGACCCGAGUAAGUAGGUUGUUUGCGUAUGGGAUAAAGGGGACUUGAUGCUUUAAUGCUAUGGUUGGGUUUUACCUAAAUGAUCUUUAGUAGUUGUGGAUGCUUGCUAGAGUUCCAAUCAUAAGUGCAUAUGAGCCAAGAAGAAAAAUAUGUUAGCUUAUGCCUCUCCCUCAAAUAAAAUUGCAAUAGUGAUUACCGGUCUAGUUAUCGUUUGCCUAGGGACAAAUAACUUUCUCGUGACAACAAGCUCUUUACUAAAACUAAUUUAGUUGUGUCUUCAUCUAAACAGCUACUUUUUAUUUACGUGCUCUUUAUUAUUUUGCAAGCCUAUCCAACAACACCUACAAAGUACUUCCAUUUUCAUACUUGUUCUAGGUAAAGCGAAUGUCAAGCGUGCAUAGAGUUGUAUUGGUGGUUGAUAGAACUUGAGGGAAUAUUUGUUCUACCUUUAGCUCCUCAUUGGGUUCGACACUCUUACUUAUCGAAAGAGGCUACAAUUGAUCCCCUAUACUUGUGGGUUAUCAAGACCUUUUUCUGGCGCCGUUGCCGGAGAGUCAUAGCGUGGCGUGAAUAUUCUCGUGUGUGCUUGUUUGCUUUAUCACUAAGUAAUUUUUAUUUGCUGUUCUAAGUUGUUCCCUAUCUUUAGUUAUGGAUAUGGAACACUAAAUACCAAAAAAAUUAGGUGUACUUGGAGAUGGGGAACCUCCUAAAACCCUCGAUGCUCAUUAUGUGAAAGAAAUUAUGUACUACUUUGAUAAACCCGAGAAAACCCCAUUCAAUUAUGUUAUGGGAGACACGUUGGAUCAACAUGAAUACUUUAGGGAUUAUCGCUUGACACAAAAAGGGAAACUAUUAUGGGAUCAAAUUUAUAUGUUGCGUUGGUAUGCUCGGGAUCUAUGCUUGAGACAUGAUUAUACAUGUUGCUCUAGGAUGAAGGCUCCACACCUUCCCUUUUCUUGCAAAUUUAAUGAUAAUGAAACCUUAGCUUCUUAUGCUAAUGGUAUAUAUGAUUACUAUGGUGUGGAAUGAAUAGAAGAGUUCGUUGCUUGUAUGGGUGCUUAUGAAAUUGAAUCUUUGUUUAAAGAGUUUGAAGAUUUUGAUGAUUCAGUUUAUAGACCUGAAAAUUUUGCUACACUUAAAUAUUGUUAUGAGAAUUAUGAAUACAAUUCCGAUAUUGAUGCAUUUAUUGAGAAAGUCUCCGCUGUCCAAGAAGAGACUAAUAUUUUGCAGAAAACUAUGGAAGAGGAAAUUACUGAAACUGUGAGCUCAUUGGAUGAAAAAGAUGAUGAGGAGAGCGAAGAACAAAAGGAGGAAGAGCGGAUUAGCUACCCGUGCCCACCUUCUAAUGAGAGUAACUCUUCAACUCAUACAUUGUUUAAUUUCCCUUCGUGCUUACCGAAGGAUGAUUGCUAUGAUGAUUGUCAUGAUCCCUUGAAUUUGUUUGAAAUAUCCCUUUUUGAUGAUGCUUGAUAUGCUUGUGGCCAAGAUGCCAAUAUGAAUUAUGCUUAUGGAUAUGAACUUGCUAUAGUUCCUUAUGUUAAACAUGAAAUUGAUGCUAUUGCACCUACACAUGAUAGUCCUUUUAUCUUUUUGAAUUCUCCAAACUUCACUAUAUCGAAGAAGUUUGUGCUUAUUAAGGAUUAUAUUGAUGGGUUGCGUUUUACUACUACACAUGAUGAUUUUGGUAGAUAUAAUAUGCAUGUGCUUGCUGAUCCUACUUGCAAUUAUUAUCAGAGAGGAACUAUAUUUCCACCUCUCUAUGUUUCCAAUAUGAUAAAAUUGCAAGAAACUGUUUAUACUAUGCAUUGGCCUUUACUUGGUGUGCAUGAAUUGUUCUUUUAUGACAUGCCGAUGCAUAGGAAGAGAGUUAGACUUCGUUGUUGCAUGAUAUAUGUUACUUUGUGCUCACUACUAAAUCACAAAUCAUUGUUAAUUAAAAUUGGCUUUGAUAUACCUUGGGAUCUGGGUGGAUCCAUUACUUGAGCACUAUAUGCCUAGCUUAAUGGCUUUAAAGAAAGUGCUGCCAGGGAGACAACCCAGAAGUUUUAGAGAGUCAUUUAUUUCUGUUGAGUGCUUUUAUAUAGUCUGAAAACAAAAAAAAUAAAGAGGGGAACCCAGAACUUUUUCAAAAAGGAAAGUGAAAGUGAGAGAGACAAGCAUUGUUGAAGUGGGAGAGAUCCUUGAACUUUGUUCAUGCUCACGGAAACUUUGUGAAUCUUAAUUACAGAAACUUUUCAUCAAAAGCAAUUAUCCCCUUGUACAAUUCCAUUGUAUUAUAAAAUAAUGUGCCAAGGUUUGCCUUUAGGAUGUUUACAAUGCUUGUAUGUUUGUACGGUGCAGGACAGAAACUUUGUCUGUAGUGCGUGAUUUUACAUUUUUUACUGGAAUGUCAAAUGGUUCUGACUCUUUUUGCACUGUCUUGCUGUGCAAAUUUUUUAUUUUUCCUAAUUUUGGUAGAAUUGUUGGGGUACCAGAAGUAUGGUGAAUGUUCAGAUUGCUACAGACUAUUCUGUUUUUGAUAGAUUCUGUUUUUGAUGCAUAGUUUGCUUGUUUUGAUGAAACUAUCAAUAUAUAUAUCAGUGGAUUAAGCCAUGUAAAAGUUAUAUUACAGUAGAAACAAUGCAAAAACAAAAUUUGAAUUGGUUUGCAAUAGUACUUAGAGUAGUGAUUUGCUUUAUUAUACUAACAGAUCUUACCGAGUUUUCUGUUGAAGUUUUGUGUGGAUGAAGUGUUUGAUCGAGGAGGUCUCGAUAUGAGGAAAAGGAACAGAGGCAAGAGCUCAAGCUUGGGGAUGCCCAAGGCACCCCAAGUAAAUAUUCAAGGAGACUCAAGCGUUUAAGCUUGGGGAUGCCCCGGAAGGCAUCCCCUCUUUCUUCAACAAGUAUCGGUAUGAUUUCGGAUCCAUUUCGUUCAUGCGAUAUGUGCAAGUCUUGGAGCGUCUUUUGCAUUUAGUUUUCAUUUUUCUUUUAUGCACCAUGCUGGUAUGAGAUAGUCCUUGGUUGAUUUAUAGAAUUCUCAUUGCACUUCACUUAUAUCUUUUGAGUAUGGCUUUAUAGAAUGCUUCAUAUGCUUCACUUAUAUCAUUUGAAGUUUGGAUUGCCUGUUUCUCUUCACAUAGAAAACCGCCAUUUGUAGAAUGCUCUUUUGCUUCACUUAUAUUUGUUAGAGAAUGGGCAUGUAUUUUGUAUAAAGAAUUAAACUCUCUUGCUUCACUUAUAUCUAUUUAGGGAGAUGACAUGAAUUGGUCAUUCACAUGGUGAGUCAUAAAAUCCUACAUAAAACUUGUGGAUCACUGAAUAUGAUAUGUUUGAUUCCUUGCAAUAGUUUUGUGACAUAGAGAUGAUAAUAUGUGGGAGGUACUAGUAGAUGGUUGUGUUUAGUAAGGAUAUUGGUGUUAAGGUUUGUGAUUCCCGAAGCAUGCACGUAUGGUCUACUAACUAUGUAACCAAAUUGGCGCGCAUUGUAUUUUGAUUGUUUAUCUUUGCGUGAAGGUCGGGGGCGCGCGAUGGUUAACUCCUACCAACCUCCCCCUAGGAGCAUGCGCGUAGUACUUUGUUUAGAUGGCUAAUAAAUUUUUGCAAUAAGUAUGUGAGUUCUUUAUGACUAAUGUUGAGUCCUUGGAUUAUACGCACUAUCACCCUUCCAUCAUUGCUAGCCUCUUCGGUACCAUGCAUUUUCCUUUCUCACCUCGAGAGUUGGUGCAAACUUCGCCGGUGCAUCCAAACCCCGUGAUACGAUACGCUCUAUCACACAUAAGCCUCCUUAUAUCUUCCUCAAAACAGCCACCAUACCUACCUAUCAUGGCAUUUCCAUAGCCAUUCCGAGAUAUAUUGCCAUGCAACUUCCAUCAUCAUCAUAUACAUGACUUGAGCAUUCAUUGUCAUAUUGCCUUGCAUGAUCUUAAGAUAGCUAGCAUGAUGUUUUCAUGGCUUGUCCGUUUUUUGAUAUCUUUGCUAUGCUAGAUCAUUGCACAUCCCGGUACACCGCUGGAGGCAUUCAUAUAGAGUCAUAUAUUUGUUCUAGUAUCGAGUUGUAAUAUUGAGUUGUAAGUAAAUAAAGUGUGAUGAUCAUCAUUAUAGAGCAUUGCCCCAUAAAAAACGAGAGUCCAAAGAAGCCUAAAUAAAAAGGGGGCCAAAGAAGCCCGCCAAAAAAAGGGGGCAAUGUUACUAUCCUUUUACCACACUUGUGCUUAAGUGUAGCACCAUGUUCUUCAUAUAGAGAGUCUCUUGAGUUAUCACUUUCAUAUACUAGUGGGAAUUUUCAUUAUAGAACUUGUCUUGUAUAUUCCAACGAUGGGCUUCCUCAAAUGCCCUAGGUCUUCAUGAGCAAGCAAGUUGGAUGCACACCCACUUAGUUUUCAGUUUGAGCUUUCAUACACCUAUAGCUCUAGUGCAUCCGUUGCAUGGCAAUCCCUACUCCUCGCAUUGACAUCAAUUGAUGGGCAUCUCCAUAGCCCAUUGAUUAGCCGCGUCGAUGUGAGACUUUCUCCCUUUUUGUCUUCUCCACAUAAACUCCACCAUCAUAUUCUAUUCCACCCAUAGUGCUAUAUCCAUGGCUCACACUCAUGUAUUGCGUGAGAGUUGAAAAAGUUUGAGAAUGCUAAAGUAUGAAACAAUUGAUUGGCUUUUCAUCGGGGUUGUGCAUGAUGGGAGCAUUUUGUGUGACGAAAAUGAAGCAUGGCCAAACUAUAUGAUUUUGUAAGGAUGAGCUUUCUUUGGCUAUGUUAUUUUGAGAAGACAUAAUUGCAUGGUUAGUAUGCUUGAAGUAUUAUUAUUUUUAUGUCAAUAUUAAACUUUUGUCUUGAAUCUUUUGGAUUUGAACAUUCAUGCCACAAUAAGGAAAAUUACAUUGAAAAAUAUGUUUGGUAGCAUUCCACAUCAAAAAUUCCGUUUUUAUCAUUUACCUACUCGAGGACGGGCAGGAAUUAAGCUUGGGGAUGCUUGAUACGUCUCCAACGUAUCUAUAAUUUUUGAUUGUUCCAUGCUAUUAUAUUAUCCAUCUAGGAUGUUUUAUAUGCAUUUAUAUGCUAUUUUGUAUGAUUUUUGGGACUAACCUAUUAACCUAGAGCCCAGUGCGAGUUUCUAUUUUUCCUUGUUUUUGAGUAUCACAGAAAAGGAAUACCAAACGGAGUCCAAUUGACCUAAAAUUUCAAGGAGAUCGUUUUUGGACCAGAAGAAGCCCACAGAGUACCGGAGAUGGACCAGAAGAGCCCCGAGGCCACCACGAGGGUGGGGGGCGUGCCCUACCCCCUGGGCGUGCCCCCCUACCUCGUGGCCGCCUCGUGGACCCCCCUGACUUGUUCCCGACGCCAACACCUCUUAUAUAUACCCAAACUUCCAGAACAUAACCUAGAUCGGGAGUUUCGCCGCUGCAAGCCUCUGUAGACACCAAAAACCAAUCGGGACCCUAUUCUGGCACCCUGCCGGAGGGGGAUCCAUCACCAGUGGCCAUCUUCAUCAUCCCGGCGCUCUCCAUGACGAGGAUGGAGAAGUUCACCCUUGGGAUUGAGGGUAUGUACCAGCAGCUAUGUGUUUGAUCUCUCUCUCGUGUUCUUGACUUGACACGAUCUUGAUGUAUCGCGAGCUUUGCUAUUAUAGUUGGAUCUUAUGAUGCUUCUCCCCCUCUACUCUCUUGUAAUGGAUUGAGUUUUCCCUUUGAAGUUAUCUUAUCGGAUUGAGUCUUUAAGGAUUUGAGAACACUUGAUGUAUGUCUUGCAUGUGCUUAUCAGUGGUGACAAUGGGAUAUUCACGCGAUCUACUUGAUGUAUGUUUUAGUGAUCAACUUGCGGGUUCAGUGACCUUGUGAACUUAUGCAUAGGGGUUGGCACAUGUUUUCAUCUUGACUCUCCGGUAGAAACUUUGGGGCACUCUUUGAAGUUCUUUGUGUUGGUUGAAUAGAUGAAUAUGAGAUUGUCUGAUGCAUAUCGUAUAAUCAUACCCACGGAUACUUGUGGUGACAUCGGAGUAUCUAGGUGACAUUAGGGUUUUGGUUUAUUUGUGUCUUAAGGUGUUAUUCUAGUACGAACUCUAGGAUAGAUCAAACUGAAAGAAUAGCUUCGUGUUAUUUUACUACGGACUCUUGAAUAGAUCGAUCAGAAAGAAUAACGUUGAGCUGGUUUCGUACCCUACAAUAAUCUCUUCAUUUGUUCUCUGCUAUUAGUGACUUUGGAGUGACUCUUUGUUGCAUGUUGAUGGAUAUUUAUGAUCCAAUUAUGUCAUUAUUGUUGAGAGAACUUGCCUUAGUGAAAGUAUGAACCCCAGGCCUUGUUUCAACGCAUUGCAAUACCGUUUGUGCUCACUUUUAUCAUAGUUACCUUGCUGUUUUUAUAUUUCAGAUUACAAAAACCUAUAUCUACCAUCCAUAUUGCACUUGUAUCACCAUCUCUUUACCGAACUAGUGCACCUAUACAAUUUACCAUUGUAUUGGGUGUGUCGGGGACACAAGAGACUCUUUGUUAUUUGGUUGCACAGUUGUUUGAGAGAGACCAUCUUCAUCCUACGCCUCCCACAGAUUGAUAAACCUUAGGUCAUCCACUUGAGGGAAAUUUGCUACUGUCCUAUAAACCUCUACACUUGGAGGCCCAACAACAUCUACAAGAAGGUUGUGUAGUAGACAUCAGAUGCUCAUAUUGGCUCCUACAUAUUCUACAAAGAUCUUUAUCGGUCAAACCGCAUAACAACAUACGUUGUUACCUUUGUCAUCGGUAUGUUACUUGCUCGAGAUUCGAUCGUCGAUAUCCUCAUACCUAGUUCAAUAUCGUUACCGGCAAGUCUCUUUACUAGUUCCGUAAUGCAUCAUCCCAUAACUAACUCAUUAGUCACAUUGCUUGCAAGGCUUAUAGUGGUGUGCAUUACCGAGAGGGCCCAGAGAUACCUCUCCGAUACACGGAGUGGCAAAUCCUAAUAUCGAUCUAUGCCAACUCAACAAACACCAUCGAAGACACCUAUAGAGCAUCUUUACGAUCACCCAGUUAUGUUGUGACGUUUGAUAGCACACAAGGUGUCGUGGAUUUGUCACGGCAGAUGUCCUUGUGAAAGGACUUAGUCGUGGAGCCAUCGCUACGGGUUAACUUGAAGGGGUUAAAGCGGACACAAAGACACAAGGGUUUAUACUAGUUCGGCCCCUUUGAUGAAGGUAAAAGCCUACGUCUAGUUGUGAUGGAAUUGAUGUGGUCUCGAUGACUAGGGAGCAAACAAGCUUCGCCUAGGCCUCGAGUUGUAGUUGUCUCUCCUUGAACCGCCGCCGGGUCGUCCCCUUAUAUACACGGGUGACGCCCGUCGGUCCACAGAGCCCCACACUGGUUCAUACUCAUAUCCCAGUUGGUCUCUCUCUAUUCCUAACUUACAAUUCAAGUUUACAUAUCAAGCCGGUUUACGGCUACAAGUUCUAAACCGACUACAGGCCUUGGGCCUUCAUCUGCUUAAUCACCUUUAAACUACUAAUGAAGCUAACCCGGCCCAGGUAGGCCGGUUCACGCCCAGUGGUAAUAUCCCCAACAUUAGGCCCCAGAUUGAUUUGAACUGGUUCAUGUCAAUCCUUCACAAAAAUCUUUGUCUUCAACAUCUUCUGGUAAUUGGUAAACCGCCAUAUCGUCAUCAUCUCUGGUUGCUGUAAACCGGCAUGAUGUCAUCAUGAAGUUAACAUUUAUGACGCCUUCUUUUAUUAAUAGAUCUGCGAUACCCAAAGCAACAACUCCACUUCCAAAUUUUGUGGCUCCUGGAUCCGCGCGCCUGACACACGUCCUUUGCCUUAUAAAUAGGACCGAAGGGUCAUUUCCUUUUCUCCCCUUCGUCUCUUUCUCUUCGUCUUCCUUGCGUCGCUAGCCUCGGAGCUCCGCCGCCGCCGUUGACCUCUGCACCGUCUUGGGCUGCUGCAUCAACCUGAACGCACCAGAGCACCGCGGCAGCCUUCCGCGUCUUCCUCGAUUCUGGUAAGCCUUCUGUUCUUCUUAACAUAGAUCUGUUCUAGGGUUUCGUGUUCUUGCCGUGUUCAUCACUUGUUCAUGCUCGCACUUAGACUCCUGGCUAGAUCUGUGAAACCCUGCUCUGACUAGCAGUAGCUUUUUAACAUCCACCUGUAGUUUCACGCUCAAGUCUAUAGAUCUCAUCCACAUACCUGCCCAUUGAUUUACUUCCGUUCUGCUUUAACCUUUUGAAUAUUUUCUGUUUUUCUGAACUUGCUUCAGAUCCAUUGCUGCAAUAAGACCUUGUGAAACCUGUUUCUGCAUACUUAGCCAUCCGCAACCUCAAUUGCUUUCAAUGUUUAGAUCAGGCGGUUUAACUUAAUAUAGAAAAAUUUAAUAAACCGGUAUAUACCAUUAGUCCCCUUGUUGAACCGCCAGAACUCUUUAGCCAUAUAAGGCCACUUCAUAGAAAUCCGGUUUAAAUAUACUGCCUCCGGUUUAGCAUUGUUCAUACCAGCGCCUUCUUCUAUCCAACAUAUUCUUGAACCGGAAUCACCUGUUUCUUGUAGAUCUCACCAUGGACAAACAAGUAUAUGAGUGCAACUGGGUUCCUUCUCGUGUCACAGAAACUCAGUUGGAUAAUUUAGUCUCGAUCGGCGCUUUAGACAGCAAAGAGACUAUCCACUGGAGGGUUCCUGGUGAUGAAUGUCCUCCCACACCUCGAGAGGGAGAGGUUAUGAUCUUUGCGGAUCAUUUAGCCCGGGGCUUCAAACCGCCCGGCUCUAAAUUUUACCGGGAUGUGUUAGCCAAUUUUCAACUCUGCCCGCAAGAUACUGGCCCCAACUCUGUUACCAACUUAUGUCACUUCCAAGUGCUCUGUGAGGUAUACCUUCAAGAGGAACCCACAGUUGAAUUGUUUAGAGACUGUUUCCACUUAAACCGCCGCACAGAAUUCACUGAUGGUCCCAAUACCAAAUUGGGCGGUAUGGCAAUUCAGAAAAGGAAAGAGAUCACUUAUCCCCAUGCCAAACUACACAGCCACCCCAAGGAGUGGAAUGCAACAUGGUUCUACUGCAAAGACACCUCCCCUGAUGAUGAAAAUCCUUUGCCCGGCUUUCGUCCGGAGCGGCUCAGCAAUACACACCCCUUCCCAAAAAGGUUAAGUGCCAAGGAGAGGAGUAAAUACGCUCUACAAUUAUCCAAGCUCCGAGCCUUCAUGGCCAAUGGUUUAACAGGAGUAGAUCUCGCACGUUGUUGGAUAUCAUGGAGCAUACUGCCUCUCAGCCGGCGCUCUGGUUUAAUGUGCAAGUAUACUGGUAGCGUUGAUGACCCACUCCAACACACCAACAUCCAGCUCUCCGAUGAUGAAGUCACAGAGGCUGUGAAGAAAAUGCUGAACGAACCGGAACACCUCUGCGCUCAAACCGGCCUGCUCCCUUUCUGUGCUACCAACAAACCGCCAGCUGUAAGAUUUUGAUUGUACUUUUUACUGAACCUCUUAUUGCUAUCUCUGUCUGACAUCAAUUGCUGCUUAACCAGGGUGAUAAUCCGUUUUGGAGCAAGAAGCUUCCACAAGACAAACCGGAGAAAACAGAACGGUCAACCCGGCCAAAGACCAAGGUUAUCAAGAGGCUUGCUAAAAAGAGGAAAACCACUGCUUCAUCUGAUCCGGCUGUUGAUGAUGAUGUGGGUAACUCGGACCUUGAGGUAGAACUCGAUUCACUAGGCUUACUUUUUACACGCCUUAUUGAUGAUGAUACUUGUCAGGACGACGCUGAAGCCAGUAAUGCUGAUGUCGUUGAGGUAACUAUUCUCUCUUCCGAUUCAGAUCCUUUGCCUUUGCCAAAAUUUCGCCAGGCAAACCGGAAAGUUAAAUUUUCUCAUCCUCUUGCUUAUUUGGAUCCCAAAUUUCUUAUGAAGACUCAGCAACAUGAAGCUCACCGCACGACCCGGCACAGCGGCUAGGUAGUUACCUCCGCCGGUUUACCAAACAGUCCGGUUCGAAAACGCUGAUCAAAGGUCUCUGACCUUUUUAUUAAUUUCUAUCCUAAAGCGGGUUUCAUCCGUCAACCUCUUAAUCCGUCCGACUCCGAUUAUCAGGUUACUUCUCAUUCAUCCUCUGGUGAAUCAUCGGCCACUCAGCUACCACCACUGAAAACGGUUCUUGGGUAAGCUAGACUGAACAUAUGCUUCUGGUAUACUGCGUUAUAACUUAUGUUGUUCCUUGACUCUUUGUUUCUCUUUCAGGGCUAAACCUAAACCGAGCAAGAAAGCCCGCCUGGAUAAGGCGGCCGAGGAAGAUGUCGCCCCUGAACAGGAUAAAGCACCAGAUCUUGAAGCGUUCAUUCAUGGGGAUAUUCCCAAUGAUCCUCCCUUGCAAGAUGAUGCUAUUCCUGAGAAAAGGCCUAUCAAUACUUCAGUCCCUGUUGACCAGCCUGCCAGCUCCGUCCGGAUUGAAAGAUCCCGCGGUCCUUCAAAACCUGCCGAUAAACCGACCGUGCCAACGCAAACCGGUGAGUCCAAGGAUGAUGACGUUGUAAUUACCGGCGUAGGUCGCUUUAAACCAGGGAAUCCUGUCGCUUUAGCCAAGCAUACUGUGAAAGAAGAUUUUUCUGCCAUGAACAAAGGCAAAUGGGAUGUUGAUCUGGAAACAUAUGCUGCUCUGAGUGCCCAAGAUCUUCAUUCUGGCUACUUGAACCGGCUAUAUACUAGUCGUGACUGUGAAGCUGGUCUGGUAAAGAUGAUGAGAGAUAAAUUUGAGGUAACUUCCUUGUGCUUCUUCUUUCUUUAAUUACUGCCACUGUAUUAAUCCUCCUAGCCCCCAAGGGCCGGUUUGUAACCUUCUUCAAACCGGGACUUUAAUAUAGUCCUCAGUACUUUGAAAUCCCUCAAUGUAGCCCCCAAGGGCCGGUUCAACUUAGCAUAGUUAAACCGGGACUCCAAUAAAGAUUCUCACAUCAGAACAUAAUUGAGCAAAUAGCCAUUAGCCCCCAAGUGCCAAGUUGAAAUACCUGUAUUGAGCUUGGGACUUUGCUAUUUAGUAAUAGAUGAAGAUUGAAGGUGCAUUAGCCCCCAAGUAUCAAGCGUAUAACUUGUUAUGUGGUUGGUACUUCAAAUUCUUGUACCGUUUGUUUAAAGCCAAGCACUGUCUUGAUGCAGGCUGAAGUGAGGAUCAAAGAGGACCGGAUUACUGAUCUGCAAGAAACUUUGAAAACCCAACAAGCCGAAACCGACAAAGCAAGGGAGGAAUUGAUCAGCGCUUUGAGCAUCACGGAACAGCUGAAGGAGGGCUUCAAGAAGGAGCGGGCUGAUUGGGCCACUGAGAAGGCCGCUUUAAUAAAAAGAGCUAAAAACGCUGAAGCUGCCCUUAAACCGGUGGUAGAUGAGCUAACCGCCGUAAAGCGGCAAGUACAUUCCAUGACCGCUGCUAUCUUUGGUAAGCUCCUUUUGGUUUCUUUGACAACUCUGGCCUGCUUAUAAUAGAUCCGGUUUGUGAUCUUUCCUGUAUUGUUGCAGGUACACGCAUUGGUCACUUAGGGUCAGAUGUUCGGAAGAAGUUGAAGGCUUCCUACACUUUAAUUGAACAGUUGUAUACCGGAGCGCAGCGGAUCAUCACCACUGCAUCUCAUAACAAUCCGGCACCCACUUUAAUCCAAGAUACUCUGAAUAGGUUGUCAACGCUUCCUGCUUGGAUUGAAGAGCUGAAAAAAUCUGCUGCUCGAACCGGAGCCAUUAAUGCCUUGAUCCGGGCAAAAGCAUGGGUGCCGGAUUUCGAUCCUGUUGAAGCAGCUCAAGGCUAUCCCAGCUUGAAGGAAGAUGGCUUAGAGUUCAAUGAAGAUGAUUUGAGGGCGAUAAACCGUGCAGUACGCCCUCUGGCUUAUCAAUUGGCUGAAGAGGCAGACUUGUCGCAUUAUCAAGCUCAGUACAAUGAUCAGAACAAACGAGUGGCUGCACCAGUCCCUGAAGCGGAGAAUCUGAUUCCUCCAAUCCGUAAGCAUACUUACGCUCCUGAUAUUGAACCGUCUUCUCUGAUCCAUGAAGAGGCUGUCUUUCAAGCUUUAAUGGGAAUCGACUGGACCACUGUUGAUUUCCAGCCAAUGGAUAGAGAUGAGGAAGCUGAAGCGGCGCGGGACGAUCCACAACCAUCAGACCGGGGUGAUGAGCAGGCUUGAACCGGAAGCCGGUUUAAAUAGCUGCUUAAUUAUGAUCCGCCAGAACAACAAUGAUCUUAUUUGGGCACCGCGCUGCCUUGUAAUAGAAUAGCAAAUAUUGUUGUUUUAAAUAUGCCUUCGUGCAUAAGUACUGAUGCUUUUGCUUGAAAUCCUCAAUUUAUAUUUCCUGCAAUCAGAAAAUCUUGAACUGCGGUGGCGGUUAUACCGCCAGCCGAUUUAUGAUCUUUAUAUAUAUAUAUCGUCAAUGUAUUUAAGACAUAUAAUCAAAUAUGUGAUACAAAAUACCUGCCAUCGCUGGGCAUGAAGUUGGCUUAGCCAGGAUUGAAACGGAGUAUUUAUAAACCGUUACCAUCAAAGGGGAGAAAACAACUCCCAUGUAAACCGUGCUGGGUUAUUAUGAGCCCCCCUGCUACUCCAUGAUGUUAACAGGAAAACUAAACCGGGCAUAUUUCUCCGGAUUAAAAAUGAACCGAAUUCCGUCAGCUGAACCGGUAAAAAAGUGUUGUUGGUUUAAAGGAAACACAACAAAAAUUGAAGAAUAGUCAUAAAAGAAAUAUGGAAGCAAAGGCAAUGAUAAAAAACUGUUUGCAAAAACAUGCUUUACUGAGCUGAUCAAAUGGUGUUACCAUGAUCGGACAGGACCAAGCCCCCAAUAGGAUUGACAAUGGUUCAAGUCAGCCAGGUCCCCAAAUGAAACCGUGGCAUUUAUGCCGAUCAAAAAGGCGUGGCAAUGGUUCGGGUUCGACCAAGCCCCCAAGUGAUUCUGUGGCCUUAGGCCGAUCAAUAGGCGUGACUGGUUCAGACCUGACCAUGUCCCCAAGUGAUCUGGUGGCUUUCGCCUAUCAAAAGGUGUCGCAUUGGUUCGGACACGACCAAGGCCCAAAGUGAUAUCACAAAGCUUUUUUGAAAAGCAAAUUUCAAGGGGUAAACCGGAGGCCGCUUUAAAACAGAACCACUCCAUGUAACCACACAUGAUAUGAAAGGACAGAGACCCCGCUUUAGCUGAGGCUCCGGUUUUAUUAUAUCAAUGAUAAUAUAUACACUGUCAUAAUAUGUACAUAGAUAGAGCCGAUGGCUCAAGUGUAGUAAGGCCGAAGAUGAGCUAUGUUCCACGGCCUGUUGGUCUCCUCCUCUGAUGUGCGUGAGUCUUUAUGCUCUCGAAUAUCAAUCAGAUAGUACGACCCGUUGUGCAGAUUCUUGCUGACCACGAAAGGUCCCUCCCAAGGUGGGGAUAACUUGUGCAUAUCUGUCUGGUCUUGGAUGAGCCGAAGCACCAAAUCUCCUUCUUGAAAAGCUCUGGUUCUGACCCGGCGACUGUGAUAGCGACGAAGAUCUUGUUGAUAAAUCGCCGAGCGGGCAGCCGCUAUGUCACACUCCUCAUCUAAUAGGUCCAAAGCAUCUUGUCGUGCUGUCUCAUUGUCCGCUUCAACAUAAGCCGCCACACGAGGCGAAUCGUGCCGGAUAUCACUAGGGAGAAUUGCCUCCGCUCCGUAGACCAUGAAAAACGGCGUGUAUCCUGUAGAUCGGUUGGGCGUAGUAUUGAUACUCCAUAGCACAGACGGUAGCUCUUCAACCCAACAACCUGGUGUUCUUUGCAAUGGAACCAUAUGCCGGGGUUUGAUGCCUUGCAAGAUCUCUUGAUUAGCCCGUUCUGCCUGCCCAUUGGACUGGGGGUGAGCCAAUUAUGAUACGUCAAGUCGGAUGUGCUCACGUUCACAGAAUGCCUUCAUAGCACCCUUGGAUAAAUUGGUACCAUUGUCAGUAAUGAUACUGUGUGGAAAGCCAAACUGGAAAAUCACCUUUUUAAUGAACUGCACCGCUGUAGCUGCAUCACACUUGCUGACAGGCUCCGCUUCAACCCACUUGGUAAACUUGUCAACGGCCACCAAAAGGUGGGUUUUCUUAUCCUUGGAUCUUUUAAAAGGUCCGACCAUAUCCAGCCCCCAUGUUGCAAAUGGCCAAGUAAUUAGAAUCAUCCUCAAUUCUUGAGCCGGCACAUGAGCACGCCUUGAAAAUUUCUGACAGGCAUCACACCGUUUAACCAAAUCCUCCGCCUCAGCAUGAGCUGUCAACCAGUAAAACCCGUGACGAAACGCCUUAGCCACCAGAGACUUUGAACCGGCGUGGUGACCACAAUCCGCUUCAUGGAUUUCGCGUAAAAUUUCACAGCCUUCCUCAGGAGAGAUGCAGCGUUGAAACGCCCCUGAUACACUGCAAUGAUGCAAUUCGCCAUUGACAAUGGUCAUAGACUUGGAUCGCCGGACUAUCUGCCUGGCUAGAGUCUCAUCCUCUGGCAACUCUCCCCGGUUCAUGUACGCAAGAUAAGGAACUGUCCAAUCCAGUAUAAUAUGCAGGGCUGCCACCAAUUGAGCCUCCGGAUCAGGAAUAGCCAAAUCCGCUUCACCCGGGAGCUUGACUGACGGGUUGUGCAACACAUCAAGAAAGACAUAGGCGGGACCGGUUUACGCUGAGAGCCCAACCGGCUUAAAGCGUCCGCCGCUUCAUUUUUUCGACGAUCCACGUGAUCCACCUGAUAACCUUUGAAGUGACCCGCAACCAUAUCCACCUCACGACGAUAUGCAGCCAUAAGUGGGUCUUUAGAAUCCCAAGUGCCAGACACCUGUUGAGCCACGAGGUCCGAGUCACCGAAGCACUUGACCCGACUUAAAUUCAUCUCCUUGGCCAUCCGGAGACCAUGGAGCAAAGCUUCAUACUCAGCUGCAUUAUUAGUACAAGGGAACAUUAAGCGGAGAACAUAACAAAACUUAUCACCUCGUGGGGAAGUUAAUACGACUCCAGCCCCCGAGCCCUCCAAUUGCCUGGAUCCAUCAAAAUGGAUAGUCCAAUAUGUAUGAUCCGGCUUCUCCUCUGGUGCUUGCAACUCCGUCCUAUCAUUGAUGAAAUCAACAAGUGCUUGAGACUUCACCGCCGUCCGAGGUACGUACUUCAAUCCGUGCGGCCCAAGUUCUAUAGCCCACUUGGCAAUCCGGCCAGUCGCCUCCCGGUUCUGUAUGAUAUCGCCCAAGGGAGCUGAACUGACCACUGUGAUGGGGUGCCCUUGGAAAUACUGCUUCAACUUCCGACUUGCCAUGAAAACUCCAUAUACCAGCUUCUGCCAAUGCGGUUACCUUUGCUUGGAUUCAAUAAGCACCUCGCUGAUAUAGUAAACCGGCCGCUGAACCGGAUAUUCCUUGCCCGCCUCCUUGCGUUCUACCACAAUAGCCACGCCAACUGCGCGAGCAUUGGCCGCUACAUAUAGUAACAAUGGCUCCUUGUUGACCGGAGCCGCAAGAACGGGCGGAUUGGCUAAUUGCCACUUCAAGUCCUCCAACGCUUCAUCAGCAGCCGGACUCUAGAUGAAUUGAUCUGUCUUUCUCAGCAUCUGGUAUAAAGGGAUGGCCUUCUCUCCGAGGCGGCUGAUAAACCGGCUCAGCGCGGCAAUCCGACCCGCCAAACGUUGAACACCGUUGAUACACUUCAGUUUAGCCAGGGAGGUGAUAGCCGUAAUCUUCUCCGGAUUAGCCUCAAUUCCUCUAUUGGACACAAGAAAGCCCAGUAACUUGCCUGCCGGAACACCAAAGACACAUUUGGCCAGGUUAAGCAUCAUCUUGUAAACCCGCAAGUUGUCAAAGGUUUCCCUCAAAUCAUCAACCAGCGUCUCCUUCUGCCUUGACUUGACUACAAUAUCAUCCACAUAGGCGUGCACAUUACGGCCGAUCUGUUUAUGCAGGCAGUUCUGUACACACCGUUGAUAGGUGGCUUGGGCGCUCUUGAGCCCAAAAGGCAUAGAUACAUAGCAGAAGGCUCCAAAGGGAGUAAUAAACGCCGUCUUCUCCUGGUCCUUAACCGCCAUUUUGAUCUGAUGAUGCCCAGAAUAUGCAUCCAAAAAACUCAAACGCUCACAACCCGCCGUGGCAUCAAUAAUCUGGUCAAUGCGGGGGAGGGCAAAAGGAUCCGCUGGACAAGCCUUGUUAAGAUCCGUGUAAUCCACACACAUACGCCAAGUGCCAUUUUUCUUAAGGACCAGCACCGGAUUAGCAAGCCACUCUGGGUGGAACACUUCAAUGAUAAAACCAGCUGCUAAGAGCCUAGCCACCUCCUCUCCAAUAGCUUUGCGCCUUUCUUCGUUAAACCGGCGGAGAAACUGCUUUACCGGUUUAUACUUGGGAUCAACAUUAAGAGUGUGCUCAGCGAGUUCUCUCGGUAUACCUGGCAUGUCAGAAGGCUUCCAUGCAAAAAUGUCCCGAUUCUCACGGAUGAACUCGAUGAGCGCGCUUUCCUAUUUAGGGUCCAAGUUGGCAUUGAUAGUGAACUGCUUGGACGAAUCGCCGGGCACAAAGUCAACAAGCUUGGUCUCAGCCGCUGAUUUGAACUUCAGAUCUGAAUCAUGCUCCGUAGUUGGCUUCUUCAAAGGGGUCAUGUCCGCCGGAUCAACAUUGUCCCUAUAAUAUUUCAACUCCUCCGUGGCACAAACCGACUCUGCAUAGGCCGCAUCACCUUCCUCACAUUCCAAAGCAAUCUUGCAGCUCCCAUGAAUCGUUAUUGUCCCUUUGUUACCCGGCAUCUUGAGCUGCAAAUAGAUAUAACAAGGUCGUGCCAUGAAUUUGGCAUAAGUCAGCUGCCCAAACAAGGCGUGAUACGGGCUCCGGAUUUUCUCCACCUCAAAGGUUAGUGUUUCAGAUCGGGAAUCAUGCUCGUCCCCAAAAGCCACCUCCAGGGCUAUCUUACCAACAGGGUAUGCUGAUUUGCCAGGCACCACACCAUGGAACACCGUAUUAGACGGUCUGAGAUCUUUGUCCGUUAGCCCCAUGCGGCGGAAUGUCUCAUAGUACAGGAUGUUAAUACUGCUCCCACCAUCCAUGAGCACUUUGGUGAAUUUAUAACCUCCCACCUGAGGGUCUACCACUAACGCCAACUGGCCCGGAUUGUCAAUCCGGGGUGGGUGAUCCUCCCUGCUCCACACGAUAGGCUGUUCCGACCAGCGUAAGUAACAUGGUACGGCUGGUUCAACAGAGUUCACCACUCGCUUGUGAAGUUUCCGGUCGCGCUUAUCCAAGCUAGUUGUGAAAACGUGAUACUGCCCAUUGUUCAACUAUUUUGGCUGACUCUGAUAACCUGACUGCUGCUGCUGCUGCUGCUGGUUGUAACCCCCUGGACCGCUCUGAUUAUUCUGGUUGUUGUGACCGCCCUGAUUGAAACCUGAACCGGAAGCUCCAUCGUGACCCGGCCCAUGGAAACCGGAUCCUGAGCCACCACCUGACCCAUGGUCAUACUGGAAGGCAUUAGAGUUCUUAAAUUCCUGCAUAAUGUAACAAUCCUUCCAAAGGUGGUUAGCCGGCGCCUCCUUCGUCCCGUGCUUUGGACAAGGCUGAUUCAACAAAUAGUUUAAGUGAUCCGGGUUAGGAUUUGGAGCCCCGCUACGAUUCGCCGCUUUACCUCUGCGCCGCUGACCCUUGUCCUGCGCAUUAGUGUUAGCCGCAAAGUCCAUGCUGCCAUCCGCUUUACGCUUGCCUCCGUUUCCAUGGCCCGCCGGUUUGUAUUGAUGCCCCUUGGAGUUGCUAUUCUUCUUUCCCUUCCCUGCUUCGUCAUCGUCAAUCUCGGGAUCCUUGGUACUAUCAGAAUCAGCAUACUUCACUAAAGCGGCCAUGAGAGUUCCCAUGUCGUUGCAGAACCGCUUCAUAUGCCCCAACUUCAAUUUUAGAGGCUUAAACCGGUAGUUGCCCUCCAGGGUUAAGAUCGCAGAGUCAGCAUUGAUCCUGUCGGACGAAUGCAAGACCUCCGAAACACGACGUACCCAAUGGGUUGUUGACUCUCCAUCCUCCUGAACACAAGCCGCCAAGUCUACUAUGGACUUAGGCUGCUUACACGUAUCUUUGAAAUUCUGGAUAAACCGGGCUCGCAACUGGGCCCAUGAACUGAUAGAAUUAGGCGGCAGGCUCUUCAACCAAGUACGGGCCGUGCCUUCAAGCAUCAUGGUGAAGUACUUUGCACACGCGGCCUCAUCCACAUCCAGCAUCUCCAUGGCCAUCUCAUAACUUUCUACCCACGCUUCUGGACAUAAAUCAGCGGUGUAAUUCGGCACCUUGCGCGGACCCUUGAAGUCUUUGGGUAGGCGUACAUUGCGUAAAGCGGGGACUAAACAGGGCACUCCCAAGCUAGAUGCGGCCCCUGGCCCGGCAGAGGUGGUAGGACGAACCGGUGUGAGCUGACCCGCCUCGUUCUGUGCUGCUAACUCGGCCUCCCUUCGUGCCCGGGCCCGGUCCACUACAUCCUGAGCAUCAUGAACACCACCGGCCGGGUUAUUGCCACGGGCCGCUUCACGGCCCCGCGCAUUGCUUGAUAUGGUCGGUUCAUCCAGGCACCUACUAUAGCUCCGGCUUGGACGAGGUGUGGAAUGAAUCCGAUCGCGGCUGUAUGAAUAUGCCUCCUGUUGAAUCAAAGCAGUCCGGAGAAGUUCCUUAACCCGGCGCGUCUCUAUUGCUUGUGGAGAGUCUCCUUCGACCGGGAUAGCUUCUAAUCGCGCAGCAACUGCAACAAGGUUGUCCAUAGGAUUAGAAUAAUGACCCAGAGGUGUCUGGACCGGCGGAGGAAUCACAAUGUUCUGCCGAGGAGGUUCCAUCAGGCGGGGUUGGACCGUCGCUCCUGGCCCUGGUGCCUCGACCCGGUUUACCUCCAGGUGCCCCGGCGGAUUACUGGUUCCAGCUCCCGGAGUGUGAAAGAGAUUUCGAGGGUCGAACCCUAACGGCAGGCGUGAUCUGUGCUUCCGCUUCAAGUCCUCCUAUGAUGCGUUCUGGUCGAGCAUGAGCUUAUAGGCCUGGGCAUCCAAAGCGGCCCACUCUGCGGCCAUCAUGUCCUUCUCUGCUGCCAGGUCGGCUUUGGCCUGUACGAUCUGCUCUCUCACCUUUGCAACCUCCGCAUAAUGGGCCUCCUGAUCCGCCGGAUUGGCCUCUGCCAUAAGUACCGCUAGUGCGUCAAACAGGUCAGACAGAACUUGAACUGGUGGGCGCACAAGGCCUCCUGCCCCUGCUGCCGCUGCCGCUGCUGAUCCUGAGAGCAUUGCUGCUGCGGUCGAAGAGUGAUUCGCCGCCUGCGUGCCGGCCAUGAAUAUUCCAACCCGGUUGAUCUGAUCUGGGGGGGUCCGGAAUACUGUCGCCAUCGGAACAGCCCCUAAUCUGGUCGUCUUGCAACUGAUACAAUGAUUCGGUCUCUCCGGUUGAGGACUCGUCGCCGGAAUAGACGACGGUCUCGCUACCAUGUUCUGACUCGUCCUCAUGCUCUCCUCCGUGGAUGACUCCCACGAAGGCACGCUUCACGGCCGGUUUAACCUGGGUAGAUAUCGCACGCUGAGCCAUCUCGACGAGGUCGGUGCGGAUGUCCGGCUCAGGCCCAGGCUCACCAAUCUUGCCGAUAAAAAUGUGUAUGCCACCAAAGGGACCCGGUACCCGUACUCAAUCGAGCCGGCUUCGGGACCCCAUCCUGCAUCGUCGAUGUAGAGCUUGCCGCGACGACUCUUGGUCAUCCGGCCCACAGCAUAGCCUUUGAGUCCUUCGAACUUGACCUCCAAGAUCAUCAAACCGUCGUGCGAUAGCCCCACGGUGGGCGCCAACUGUCGUGGAUUUGUCAUGGCAGAUGUCCUUGUGAAAGGACUUAGUCGUGGAGCCAUCGCUACGGGUUAACUUGAAGGGGUUAAAGCGGACACAAAGACACAAGGGUUUAUACUAGUUCGGCUCCUUCGAUGAAGGUAAAAGCCUACGUCUAGUUGUGAUGGAAUUGAUGUGGUCUCGAUGACUAGGGAGCAAACAAGCUUCGCCUAGGCCUCAAGUUGUAGUUGUCUCUCCUUGAACCGCCGCCGGGUCGUCCCCUUAUAUACACGGGUGACGCCCGUCGGUCCACAGAGCCCCACACCGGUUCAUACUCGUAUCCCGGUUGGUCUCUCUCUAUUCCUAACUUACAAUGCAAGUUUACAUAUCAAGCCGGUUUACGGCUACAGGUUCUAAACCGACUACAGGCCUUGGGCCUUCAUCUGCUUAAUCACCUUUAAACUACUAAUGAAGCUAACCCGGCCCAGGUAGGCCGGUUCACGCCCAGUGGUAAUAUCCCCAACACAAGGUGUUCCUCCGGUAUUCGGGAGUUGCAUAAUCUCAUAGUCAGAGGAACAUGUAUAAGAAGAAAGCAAUAGCAAUAAAACUAAACGAUCAUUAUGCUAAGUUAACGGAUGGGUCUUGUCCAUCACAUCAUUCUCUAAUGAUGUGACCCCAUUCAUCAAAUGACAACACAUAUCUAUGGUUAGGAAACUUAACCAUCUUUGAUUAAUGAGCUAGUCAAGUAGAGGCAUACUAGGGACACUCUGUUUUGUCUAUGUAUUCAACAUGUACUAAGUUUCCAGUUAAUACAAUUCUAGCAUGAAUAAUAGAUAUUUAUCAUGAUAUAAGGAAAUAUAAAUAACAAUUUUAUUAUUGCCUCUAUGGGCAUAUUUCCUUCACUCCCCGCAAAGCAAAGUCAAGGCAAUGGUCGUGUUGCGUGCGUUGAUCCACCGCUUGGCCCACAGCUCAUGCAGCAAUGGGCCUAAGGUUAGUCAGCUCAAGGCCUUAGGGUUCGUUUGUGCGAUGGCUUUAGCGGCUGUAGAUUUAUCAUGCAGAUUGUAGAACAAGGUAAGCUUAAUUAGUGAUAUAUGCGAACCUACAUUAGGUUCAUAUGAUCUUUGAGCAGUAAAAUGUGGUCUUUCUUUUUUAUUCAAAAUUUUUUCCUCUUGUGUGUCUGGUUGGUUGCUGACUCACACAACACGAGUUGGCCACACUGUGACAAAUGGAGAGAAUGGCGUGAAGCAAAUGCAAGAGGGGCAGCAAUGGUCGUGGUACAACUACGGUAACGUCUAGCGGGAUUGUCUAUUAGUUAUUGCAUUUAUUGGUAUAGAACCGAACAAAGUAAUUUUUUGUUACAAUAUCACUGUGCACUAUUGUAAACUGAGCAACCAUAUUGAGAUACAUUCACUUCCAGGUGUCGUUUAUGGGUUCUUUAUUUGAUAUGACUUUGUUUACUCUUUUUAUGAAUUAUGAUAAUUGUGUAUUUGUUUCCAGGAUUCGACGUGUUAUCUCUUGCCCAAUACUUCCCUCGUGUGACUGUCGCGAAUUGGAGCACAUUAUCAUGUUGUUCUCUGAUGAAAUAUAUUGGUAAAUUAUUAUGGUGAGUGUUUUCCGUCUAUUUUUGCCACUGUUGCAGUUUGUCCAUCCCUUCGUCUGUGAGUACACUAACAAGAUAAAUGCAUAAGAAGGGGAAUCUCUUUCCAAAGGUCUUAGCCUAAUAUUUUCAUAGAGAGAGAAGAUAAUGGAAAAGUUCAUUGGAAUGAACAGAUGAUAGAACAGUGUGGUCGACUUUGAUAUUGUAACAAAUGGAGAGAAUGGCAAUGCCAAUCGUUCUCCCGUUUAGUUCUUCAAUAUUUGGUCUGUUUUUGCUUCAGGGUCUACAUAGAAGUUUAUUUUGUUAUUGUUGAAAUGGGAUCAUGGCAUGCAACUACAUGCAAUGCAACUAAUGAUUAUGUAUUUUUACCUGAAUUAAUGAUAAAUAGUUAGAAAUACCUAUUUAUAGACUAACUGUUGGUACAUAUACAAGUGUAUGUAAACAUGUUUAUGAACUCAAGUUAAUUGAUGUGGACUCAAGUGUCCUGAUAGAAGGAACUACCUCUCCAAAAGAAGAUGGUUGGUCAUCUGUUCACAAAAUGUUUGCAAAAUUUGAGUUGUUGAAUGCUACUUGCAUGCAUGAAACAUAUAAUGCAAUUCGCGAUAUGUUAAUACUCCAUUGUCGAGUACAGAUGAUCAUUUCGCGGGCAUGGCUAACCAUUCCUAUGACAAAAUCUUAAACUUAGUGGUGUCAUUUCUCCUCCUGAAAUUAACAUUUUGUUCUUAUGUGUAGGAGUUUCUAUAAGGAUUCUCAUCGGCGAGUAUGAUGUUGAACAAAUGGAUAAUGCCUUGAGCCAACAUUACAUGGCCAUAAUACACAGAAUGUUGUAGUGUGGGCUCUCAUUUCAGGUGAGUUCCAUCAUUUGCUGUGUUCUAGGUGCUGCAUGACUGUACAAAGAACAUUAUCAUUCCACUCUUAGGUUGUAUAAGUACAAGGGAACCACUUUGUAGUUACUUACUAUAGUAAAAUCAACUAAUUCAUCUUCAUUUUGUGCAUGACGUGGCCCAAAUAUUCUGAUGUAUUCUGUAACUUGGGCAUGGUGCUCUGCACAUAAAUUGUUAUCUGCUAUAUUUAAGCCCCAAUAUUCUGCAGUAAUGCUAACAAUGCCUUAGAAGUUUGUUAGCUUUUAUGUGAAGCUGAUUGGCAGUAUACAGAAAUAGUUUUUAUAUGUUAUCUUAUUUGAGUUUUCUAACAUACAGAAAUGCCAUGAUCUGUUAUCUCCAAUCUGCAGUUGGUACUCCAUUGAUGUAGAGUAUGUUGCAGCAGCUGGGCAUCAUCCUCCCUAAGUUGUGUGGUAGAUGCCUUCACCUACAGAUUUAGUUUUGACAUUUUGGGGAUUCAGUCAAGCAUCCUCACCUUGGCUCUAUUGUCGCAAGAGCUUUUUCCGACUCUGGAUGAGGUUUAUGGUGAGGUGGAUAGUGGUGGCUGCUGGGCGACGAGGCGGGGGCUGGCUUCGUGGUCGACGGCGGCCAGCCGGCAAUGAGGGGGUCAACGAAUGACAGUGCCAGCUCCGGCUCGCCACCCUUAGGGAAGGACGCCGCCCUCAGCGGGGCGCCACUGGUGGAAGGCAUCAUCUAUGGAGUGGAGAAGGGGCACCCGUGCUUCCCAGUGCUCGGGUCGAUGGCGUCCAUGGAGGGACGAUCUUCACAGUCGAUGGAGAGGAGGUGGUCGACGACGAGCACAGGUGGAAGGAGAGCGAGGACUGCAAACGGUGGUCUCCAAAAUUGAACCUUCACGGGCGGCGGGCGAAGGGGAACAAGGUGGUGGGCGAAGGGGAACGAGGCGACGGUGGCGGUAUGGGGAGACGGGAGGGAAGCCAGGCGGAAGCGGCGGGGCGACCAAAUCUGCCGACGUCAGAGGAGAUUGAGGAAGGACGGGGACCGCGUGUUUUGUCGGGAAAACGACGAGGACUAAAUUGCAAAAACAACCUCGCGACAAGAAUUGCGGGACAGAGGGAGUAUAUUAUUUCUUUUAUUUUCAUAUUUGCAUUUUCUUGUUGUACCGAUUAUUAUGAGAUCUGUCAAUUUAUUUCUUGUUGCUUUAACUUCAUGUUUGCAACUGUUGAUUCUGAUUAGUGUUGAAGUAAGAACACACCCAGUUUCAACUCACUUCUUUGAAGAUGUUUAUGAGAAAAUGUAGUACUAUCUUGCUUUGGAUUCUCGUGCAUCAAGAGCAUACUUCGCACAACAUGGAGAAAAGGUUCCCUUUGCUCAAUAUUUAUUCAGUGAGUACACAUUGAUCAACCAUGGGAAACCCUCUUUUAGAACCUUACUGUUGGAGCGACUGCUGCUGAUUUAUCUCAUUUACAAUAUCUUGUAAAUAUCCUCUAUUUUCAAACUAUAUACUAUAUCUUGUAAAUAUCCCAUAUUUUCAAAUUAUAUACUGAUCUAAUAAAUUUCCUCAGUUUUCCAUCAUUUGAGUUACUACAGAACACAUCUUAGGGUUUUGUGAGUGCUAGAUAUGUUUUCCUUGAUCUUCUAUGUUUGAUCAUAGUUGUUUAUUGUUGGUUUUGUCCAGCUUUGUUUAUUUUUUUAGUUUUGUAUAUGAGGAUCAUAAGAUGAGAAUGAAAGCGGGGAGGUGCCAUUUAAGUACACAUCUUCAGGUUAUCCCAAUUAAAAAUGUUGACAUAUGCUUCAGUUGUGGUCAGAGAUGCGUGUGGAGUAGGCAAAAUUAUAUGAGGGUGUUGUUUUGUUGACAGCUGCCUAGAUGCUUUGACCUUCUGUUUGUUUUCUUGGAGUUGCGUCUCCCUGUUGUCGACCAUGUUAGUCCUAGAUUCCUAUUCCUUUGGACGGAGAACAAUUUACUGAAAGUUAUAAGCUUGGUAUGUAUGACCAUUUCUCUGAAUAAAAUGUUGCAAUAUAAGUUGUACAGAAUGUUAUAAGUUGUACUGAACCUAGAUGCUAUUGCAAGAUAAGCUUGGUUUCUAUGACCUUUUCUCUGAAUAAAAUGUAGACAUUAACACACCUGGUCUAAGUAAAAUGUUGACAUUAGCACACUGAGACCAGCAACUCAGAGCAUAUGUGCAGCUACAGUUUUUAGUAGAAAACAAAAUAACUCUCCUUCAACAAAUGCAUAGUGUGUUUUUUUUACUACAAGACAACUAAAAUUUUAAAAGGUCAGAUUAAUCUAGAUGCAGCAGCACAAGGAGCAAGUCAAUAUUUGGGCAGAAGGAGCGAGGAACUAAACCAAGGAGCAUUUUGUAUACAUAGAAAUUAAAAAUAGUAGUUGGCAUGGGUAAUUGAGUAUAUUCUCCGAGAUUCUGAGAAUAAGAAGUGUACUAAUGGUUUGGAAUGACAAUUCAAUACCUUCAUAGCAUGCUUUCAGAUGAAAUCAUUUUCCAGUAGCAGUGCUUGCCUGUGAGAUGUGUGAUAUUUUCAUGUUUGGACAUGUCUCCAGUUUCCUCAUGUUUCUAAACGUCUGCUCUCGCGUGUAGCGGUAACUUGGCUAUUGUGCAAUGUGUUUCCAAAGAUGCAGUCAAGGUAUAAUUUUGAUGCACUUUCUUAACAUAUCAAACAACCACAUGUUGUUUCUCAAGCUUUAUGCCGACAGAACCUUGUAAGCUUUAGUGCACAUGAUAUUUUUGUGAAGCUUCCUUAUUAUAUCCAUUUGAAGUGUACGUUAGGAAACAAACACAUUGUUAGUGGCACAUGACAUGACAUACAUUGAAUAUGGAGAAGGUAGUGCCAAUAUGAGGGCUCUAGCAUGUGACUUAUAGGCUUCACUUGUGGAUGUUUUGGAAUGACAAUGACGCACCUUUGUUCUGCGUUGUUGUAUGUCUAUUUAUGAUCCAUAGAAAUAUAAAGUUAAGUGAUGGAGGUGCCGAGGGAGAAAGAGACCAUCUUAUGCGGAGAAGAAGGCAUAGCCCAUGUGUAGGUUGGAGGCAAACAAAACAACAUUCAAAUCAGUCGCUAAAUGAGGGUGUGGUGGAACGAAUGUUUUGUUGCCGAGUCCCUUCUCUUAUUUCAUUUUUAAUUCAUUUUUCUUAUUAUUUGCACUAAGGUGACGCACUUUAUGAAUCACCAUUCGCUGAUGGUUCGAAAUAUAUUAGAGAGCAACACAACAACAAAGAAGCCACAAACAUAGUGAAACGGCAGUGAAUUGAAAGAUCAAUGAUGUAGGGACGUAGAAGGUGAUCGAUAACAACUUGGAUGAAAAGGUAUGCUGGAGGAGUGAAUGUUCUUUGUUAAAAAUAGAGAGGAAGAUGCUUGUGUUGUCUCAUGGAAUAUCACACACAAUAUGCACACUCAUGCUAAAAAACUCGAGCAAUAUUUACAUUUAAUUGUUGGCCCGUGGCAACGCACGGGCACUCUACUAGUAUAGCUGGGGAUGCACUGCUAGAAGUAGUCCCACUAAACUGCUGCUAGUAGUGCAACCCAAAGUUGUCAAUGAUGAAACUCUGCUUGGGGUCCUUGUGAUUGUCGGCACUCGUCGGUCGACCCACCUGUAAUGAUGAAGUCAUCAUUGACCUGGAAGCACUGACGGGUUGUUGCAUGUCGGUGAUGAUGUGCUUUGGUCAAUCAGUGUUGUUUUUGGCCCUAUAGUACUGAUUAUGUCAGAUCUACAAAUAUAUGCUACAAUAAGAGAACACUUGCAACACCCUUUUAAAAAUAAAAUUACAUUAUAGUAGGAACACUUUCAUGACAAGAAACUUGGGAAAACAUGUAUUGUUGUGAUUGCAUUUACAGAUUACUUAUAUGACUAAGUAUUAUGAGAAAUGUCCAAAUAGCAUCCUGCACAGGCCUACCGCACACUUGGAUGACAUUUUUGGGCCUUCCAUGACAAGAAUAUUCGUGUAGAAGAGAGGGCGGGAACUUUUCGACGAUUGCUCGGGUGAGUUACACCUCACUCGAUAUACGCUCAAUGGUACCGACCUGGUCAUGCUCGGAUGCCAGCCUCUCAUACAAACGCCACAUGCGGUGUAGUUUGCAUCUAAUAUAUUUUCAAAAUAAUGUUCAUGCAUUUAAAAAACAAUUUUAAAACGAGUGGGAGAGGGCAGUGUAUGAACCAAGUGUAGGGAGCUCAUAGAGGAUGGCCCUCAUAUCCAACUCGACGAGGUUGUUUUUAAAAGUUUGAAACAUUCCCUAGCGCUGGCGUGGUUCAAUGGCAGGUCAUUCAGGUGUGUCAUGUGGUGGUCUAGGUCACUGCCUUGCUAUUGAUCAUGUUCGGACGCUUUGCAAUUAGGUGGACACGGCGACACUUUCAAUGAGGACAGGAGGUAGGAUAAGUAGCACUGUGACAACACAUAUGGGCGCCGUAUUGAAAUUGAUGGAAUUGUUGAGGAGUCUCGAGUCGUGCUUAUUGUGACAGGAGCAUACAAUUUUGUUCUCCAGUUACAAUGCACACACAUGUUUCCUAGUAUGGUUAAACAUAUGAAAAAAAGCUGUUUUCAUGCCUAAGCCCAUGUUUGUUUGGAUUUUUGCUUAUGCUUUUGCAGCUUUUUCACUUUGGCAAAAAAGCCACAAAAGCUCCUAGAUAGGGACUUUUUGCUUUGGCUCCAAGAUGGUAUAAGCCAAAAGCGGAAGCAAAAAAACACCUUUUUAGGAGCUUAUUUGGCUUUUUUUUUACCAAAGUGAGAAAGCUGAAAAAUAGAAGCAAAAGCCCAUACAAAUAGGGUCUAGCUCAUACAAUUAGAUACCUAUCGUGCUUCUUUUGCUCAGACUCCCUUUUUUGAUUACAAAAAAUGUGAUACCUAUCGUGCUUCUUUGGUAAGCAAGACCUUCAAAUGGAUGACAUGAAAACUUGUUUUCUGAAAUACCUUCGAAAGGACACAAAUUUGAACUGAAAACUAAUGAAAAUACAAGCUUGACAAAAUUAAAAGGUAAAUAUCUAUAUCGGCCGACCGGCCUUGCUCUUCGUCGGUCGUCCCGCUUACUCGCUUUUAGUAGGCUCCUUAUGUAAGCCACAUACGCUCGGUAGGGCCCACCCACCGCUUAUCCCUUAUUUCUUUAUCCUAUCAAACGGAGAGCACUUAGCCAUUCAUCUUCUCCCGCACCUCUCUCCUGCUCGUGUCACACCUCCCACCUAGCAGCUCACCAGCGAUGGCCGCCACCACCCCAUGCGCACAGUCAUUUGCCCGCACACGCGUACACCCCUGUCAUGAUGUGGCAUGCAAGGUCAUCGGCAUGGGGACGGCAGGGACCGCAUGUUGCGCCCCUAGCCAGUCACCGGGACGACGAGCUGCGAUGACAAGUCCCUCCCCCCUCGCACAUGAAGACGCCAUGACCGUGUUGCGCGCUCCGACGGGUCGUGCUACAACCGGCGACCAGUCGUGUUACGACCAAUGACCGAACAUGAUGCAACCAUGAUAGACGAAGAUGCGCCCGUGGGCGGGGCGUGCUACAACCGCCCAGGGAGGAGUAAGCAACCUGUAAAUCCCCCAUAAAACUCCGGACGUCUAGCAAAGUCCAAAAAACAAUUAUGCGAUUGAUACACCUCAUUUUGGCAUGUGCUUAAGACCAAUACAAACUAAGAUUGAUUUUUGUACCAUCCAAUUUCUCUAAAGCCAAAUUAGCAAUGAAUUUUCUAUCUGCCUUUACCAUCCUCUUCCUAUUUAUGAUAGAAAUUCGUCAAUAGGAUGCAGAGGCGUCCAGGUUUUUUAACUGAAGAAAUCCUAUUUAUGGACUGAGAAACUGAAGACGUUCUACUACUUCUUUCUUCAGUCAGUUAAAACAGCUGGAUUAACAGCGCGUGAGAUUGCCGCAGCCGAGCUCAAGUUCGAUCCCAGUUCCAAUUCAGCCGGCGACAGUUCCAAUCCGAGUUCGGCAAGAAUCAGGAGCUCUCCCCUGAAUAAAUGGGCGGCGCCGGUGGGAGCAGCAGCCCCAGUUCGAUCUGCUCCCCCACCUUCCCGAUCUCCAGACCUAGGCACGCCAUCGAUGGCGGCCAAGGUGCUCCAGCUCCGCAGCGCCGAUGGCAAGGUGCUCGUCGCUCCGGCGUGGGACCAUCGCCCGGCCGCCGCCCAAGCCCUCCCGCUGGAGACGCGGGUGCCCUCGCGCGUCCUCGAGAGGGUGCUCCAGUACUGGACCAAGCACAGCCUGGCCAAGGCCACCGGUGAGUCCCGGGACUCCCUCGCCCGCUGGGACGCCGACUUCCAGCGCCGUCUCGAGGAAGACGGCCUCGCCAAGGAGGCCGCCGCAGCCGCCCAAGAACUCCGCCGCCACGGCGUCCACCAUGGAGGGCGUCCCCAUCGCCACGCCGGCACGGGCGCAUCUGGUGUCGCUGCUCCAGCCACCGCUACCCGUGCUGAUCCCGUCCGUGCCUGGUGCCAACUCGUUCACCACCUCAAGGGUGUCGACCACGGAGAACCUAGCCCAGCGCCGACGGCGCCCAUCGCUUUCCAUGCCUCCGAUAUUGCCGUCGCCGCGCGUCCUGGGCCUGCCACCACCUUGCCGGCCGCUGCUGGUGCUCAACCCGUUGGUGUCCGGUGCGCCAUCCGUGCCCGUGGACGCCAGAUGGAUGAAGACGAGGAGUCCGCUUGCCACCACCGCAAGCUCCCGGCUUCCAAGGCUUCCAAGCCUCGCUCUUCGGUCUGCCUGCCUGCCACUGCUGCUGCGCCCGUGAAGAAGGUCUCUCGUCAGGUCGCUUCCAAGGCUUGCUCUUUCGUCGGCUCUACACCACUGCCUGCCCCUGCCACUGCUGUGAAGAAGAUGACUCCAGCAGCUUCAACUCUGCGCGCAAGAAGGGGGAUGGGGGAGCUCAGCUGCAACGUUCCCAAGCAAAACCAAUCGCCAUUGCCUGUCAUUGCUGUUGCAGCACCAAUGAAGCAACCAAUUCCUUGGCUGCGUCCAGUGGUAUUACGCCUUCCCUAGUCUUUUAGUUGCUUCCUAAACCAUGCACACAUAAGUUUCAUUUAAUCUUUGCAUCUCUAGGUUCUGCACUUGCUUACCAAGAUUUCUAGUGUUCUUUGAAUCCCGUUCAGUCAUUAGUAAUUUUACUAGAGUGUCAGCAGAGUCUCCAUCUAGUCUAGGCAGCAAAAACCUUGUUAAGAUGUGUACGACAUAGUUACCACUGCAUCCAUACCUGAUCCUAAGUUAAGGGUUUAAGUAAAUAAAGGGCAUUUUCAAUAAAUCAAAGUAAGCAGAUGAGCCUAAAAAGGAAACUCAUGUACUGCAAUUCCGGCACGAGACAGAGCGUAAAACGCACUCGCCGCAAAAUCCAAAACGCCCGUUUGCUACCCGGCUUGUAGCAGGAAAAAAGGAGUAGAAUUGAACUUGUCGAUACACGUAAUCUUGUGAGCUGCCUAGCGUUUGGAGACUAUGCUGACUCUCCUGUAAAAUUAAUCUUGGCUGAAUUGGAUUCUUAGGCAUUGGCGUCUUGGUGAGUUAAAGUUGCAGUUUCCGACGAGUAACAUUGGUUAGUGAACUCUUGUGUGUAUGUGUGGGUGAAGCUUUGAGCUAAGCAAGUCCUCAAUGUACCGACUAUCAAGUC